rnacentral:lncRNA from 1 species
CCAGGAUGGUUUUUCACUCCAGUAGGAAAUCUAUAUUCCUCUUCUUCUGCUCCUUUCUAUUAACCACUUUUUCUGAGUUGUAGGCAACAAUCUGUGUCUUGUACUGUGAGGUGCUUUGAUAGUCAAUCUGGUUUUGUCAGUACCAUGUUCCAUCUCGAGAAACAGCUGGAUGUUGAUAGUUAUCAGCCUUUAUUUCUUUUUCCGGUCAUCUUCUGUUUGGAAACAUAAUAGCAUAGCACUUCUUUUCAGCAUAAGAAGGCUGUUUGCGGUAGUCACUCAAUGAUAAACUAUAUGCCAAAGUAUUUUCUUAAUCACCUUCAUAGGUGCAGCCAACGUUUUUCACAAGCAUCUGUCCCGUCUUUUCCUGUUUUCAGCAUGCUUUGCCAUCAUCGUUGAGUCCAUUAUUAGGAUUUGGAAUAGUUCAAUCACAUCUUUCUCAUAAUCGGUUUUUGGAAUGAUCUUCAAUAGGUUCCUUGUGAAAUACCAGUGUAGGCAAUCAUUUUCUAAACUGUGUUGGCAAUCAUAUUCUAAACUCCCAACUGGGAUUGUCUCUAAAACAAGUUGUUGAGGAGCCAACUCGUAAAGAGGCCAUACUAGAUUUAGUGUUAACAAAUGGAGAUUUGGUAUCAGAUGUUACUGUAGGUGAAAGUUUAGGAUCCAGUGAUCAUCAGUCAGUGUGGUUUAAUAUAAGAACAGUGACUGAGUGACACCACACAAAAACAAAAGUUUUAGACUUUAGAAAACAGACUUUUCUAAAAUUAGAAUAUGGGUAGAGGAGUCAUUAUCAGACUGGAGCAAUUUAAAUGGAGUCCAAGAAAAAUGGGAUUAUUUAAAAGUUGCACUAUUGAAGGCAACAGAAAAUUGCAUUAGGCUUGUCAGUAAAAGCAAAAAUUUUAAGAAACCACUGUGGUACUCCGCAGAUGUGGCCAAAAUAGUUAAAAACAAAAAGUUAGCAUUUAGGAAUUAUAAAAAAAACCAGAGUGAGGGAGACAAAAUGAUCUAUAAGAUUAGGCAGAAAGAGGCAAAGCAAGUUAUAAGAGCUUCCAAAUCACACACAGAAGAGAAAAUAGCACNNNNNNNNNNNNNNNNNNNNNNNNNNNNNNNNNNNNNNNNNNNNNNNNNNNNNNNNNNNNNNNNNNNNNNNNNNNNNNNNNNNNNNNNNNNNNNNNNNNNAUAAAGAGUCCAUAAGCCCCAAUAUGCCCACCGACAGUCUUAAAGGGACAUACACACCAAAUAAAAGUGCAUACAUUUUCACAAUCUCCCAGGGGCCAUAGUCAUGCGGGAGGAGGCUGGCAAGUAGGCUUCUCCACAACCCAGGGAAGCAGGGCAAUAUGCCAUUUAAAGGGCCCGUUACAAAUAGCAGGUUGUAACAAGGUGUCAAUCCAUAUCUGCCAAGUGACCCGAUGUAGGGGGAACAGUCCCUAUUCUGCUCUGUGUCAGUGUGUAUCAGGGAUCCUUAGGACAGGUGUCAAUCCAUAUCUGCCAAGUGACCCUAUGUAGGGGGACCAGUCUCUAUUCUGCUCUGUGUCCGUGUGCACAAGGGGCUCUGAGGACAGGUGUCAAUCCAUAUGUCAAGGUGUCAAUAUGUCAUAUGUCAGGUGUCAAUCCAUAUUGAUUGUGAUUUAGGAAUGUUAGGUGAUUUCUGCCCUUUAUGGAUUAAAACCAGACUCUGUAUCAACUGUGUAAUUUUCCAUGGGAGUUUUGCCAUGGAUCCCCCUCCGGCAUGCCACAGUCCAGGUGUUAGUCCCCUUGAAACAACUUUUCCAUCCCUAUUGUGGCCAGAAAGAGUCCCUGUGUGUUUUAAAAUUCGCCUCCCCAUUGAAGUCAAUGGCGUUUCGGGCGGUUCGCCGGUUCGCGAACAUUUGCGGAAGUUCGCGUUCGCGAACCGAAAAUUUCGGGUUCGCGACAUCACUACUACUGAUAUUCAUUUAAGUUUGCAGAGUGAUAUGAUUAAUAUAAUCUAAUUAAUAUAAGUGAAGUACUUCAACAGUUAAAAUUUAACUGAAAGACAGGCAGAAACUUUACUUCAACUAUCACAAAGUUUAUUUAUAAUGAUAAACAUAUUCAGUCUGCCAGAGCUAAGGCCAGUCAAUGGAAAGUAAAAGAGUAUUAUGGAUUAACCUGUCCAGGUGAUAUACAUGAUUAUUUUGGAAAUUGAUCAUUAAGAUCACCUAUUGCAAACUGGUGAAAAGAUGGUAAUUGUUGAUCUGUUCUUCCUGACCCUGAGGAAAGUCCUGAGCGGGGACUGAAACGUUGGUCAUUGUUUUUACUUUGAUUUCAUAAACUUUUUUCUAAGACUGGAGAGCAGCCAUUGCUAUUUUUGGAUUUGUGUUACGUGGAGCCCUGGUGUUUGCGCCCUGCGGUGAAGUAUUUUGUACGUGAGUGCAGGGGAUUUCUGUAUUUUUAUAUAUAUAUAUUUAUAUAUAUAUAUAGAUUUUUUUAUGAUCUUUAUACACAUUAUGUAUGAACCCAAAACAAUGUAAGACGAUUUUGUUUUUUGUAUGAAUGUCAUAAUAUUGACUGUUUGAUGUUAUCUUUAAUUGUUAUGUAUAAUUUCAUAUUCAUCUUAAUUGAUUUACAUUGUAAGAUUAUCGGGAGUUGAUACUCUGUUUUCCUUCUUUUUUCUUUCUAUGUAUCUGCCUUUCUGCUUUACACCCUAGCACACCAUGGGUUAAUAUGAUACAAGCAGACUUUCCAUUUCCUAACGAAAGAUCAGGACAUUUAAAAGAAAGCAUCAUUUGGAAAGACUACAUGACAAUUCCAACAACAAGAAAGGACUUGAAUUUACUUUUUGAAAAGAGAAGCUUUGAAGAAUCAAUUGUGAGAAGAUGUACACAGCUAACAGGACUCCGUGUGAGAGCACCAGUUGACUACCGUGGAAUAUAAUGUGAUAACGAGGCACGGACCGCACGCGUCUUACCUGUGGGUGGUAAUGAUGCGAGCGAUUCACAUGCACCAGCGUUCUGCUUGCUAAUUUGAGCGGUAUUUAUAAGACAGACGGUGAACCAUGGAACUACUCUACUUAUCGAUCCGGUUGAAGAAGCCACACUGCAGUGGCGAAACUCAUUCUGAUUUUAUCUGGACAUUGUGCCAUUUUUAUUUUAUACAUUGUAUUAAUAAAUUUUAUUUUAUUUUCAACGUUUCUUCAUCCUGGUUCCCGAUCUUAUUAUUCUACACACGGGAGUGCAGUCCCUAAACUGCACAACACCUGCAUAUAGAGUUAUUUGAGACUCCCUGUUUGUAAGUACCCACUUGGGAACUCUGUCCUUAUUUUACAGACAUUACUACGCUAUAUUGUGUCUAUUCAUUCCCCUCAGGACAAGAUGCAUCCCUUUCAAGGGUGGGUCGCCUAUAUGGACCCAGAAGUGAUCCACACCAGAGCUGGCUCCUUAGCUCUCUGUUUGUGAGUGUGUAUACACCAUACAAAUGUACACUUUGUUAUCUUGUACUAUCUACACUAUAUUUGAUUGUCUCUUAUAGAUAUCAAUACCAUUGAUGUUAAAGUGGGGAUUUCCUCCUUAAUUUAACCAAAAAAGGUGAUCAUUGAUUUUUCAUAUAAGCGCUACAUAGUUAAAUAGUUACAUAGCUGAAAAGAGACUUGCGUCCAUCAAGUUCAGCCAUCCUCACAUUUGUUUUUUGCUGUUGAUCCAAAAGAAGGCAAAAACCCAGUACUUGACCCUUCUUGACCCCAGAAUGGCAGUCAGAUUUAUCCUUGGAUCAAGCAGUUAUUAUCCUACAUUGAAAGAUUAUAGGCAAAAGCAAAUAAAUAAGGGAUGGGUCUGCGCCAAUACACAAAAUAAAUAACAAUAACAGUCCUGAAUGGGAUAGUAUUGAUAAAACGGAGUUCAGUGGAGUAGAGUAUUGGAUCUUAUAUGUGGUCUCCGAAGUUGUAAGGUUCUAUUUGUUGCAGUAUAAAAAAUUUGUAGAGGAAGGUGGUGGGUGAUGAGAAAGAUUAUCCAAAAUAGUAAAAAUAGGAGAGGUCUUACUUACAGUUGGCAGAGCUUAAUCCAGCUCUGGUGUGAAUGGCUUGCAGCAGUAUUAUCCCCGCUUACAGGAUAUAUAUAUAUAUAAUUUAUUUAAUUUUAUAUAAUAUUUUAUCUGCUUUUUAUUAUCUACCUAUGUAUAUUCUAUAAUUAUUCCGACUAUUUAUACUAUUAUCUUUAUUCUAUCAAUUUUUACUAUUUAUUAUUAUCAGGUUUUUGCAGGCUGUAUGUCUGUUACAAUUUCCCAAUAUUUAUUUCAUGUUUUUCAUAUUUUUAUUAGGUACUCAUUUGUACCACAAGCAAGAUGGCCACUUGCUAUGGGAAUUAGAGCUUUAAAAAGCUUAUUCCGCAACCAAGAUGGCCGCUGCCAUCAUCUCCUUCCCCAUCAGCCCCAUUUCCAGCUGACCCUCAGCCACUCCUCCCCCCCGGUCCUCGGCCACUCCCCUUCUCUAUUAGCCCAAUAUAGGGCUUUAUCCCACUGCCAGCAGACACUACACACAUGUAGUUCGCUCCCCAACUACAUGUCCCAUAAUACCGAGCGGCCGGAAGUGACGUCACGCUCAUGACGCGCGUCACGUGUUCCGGCCGAAAAUAUUAAUAUUCUUGUGAUGAGACCAAUCUCGCCAUUGUGCAUUGGAGGAGCCUGGUUGCCCGCCUGCUGCCUUUAGACUAUGGUCCCAUGUUAAAACGCUUGAUUUUUUCCUGCGAAGACACGAAAGCCGGGUCAUUCGGUGCUUGCCCUGUUUGAGUGGUGAUACCCCAGAUAGCUAUGUCAUGGAGCCCAUUCGUAUAAUGAAAGACUAUGGGAAAGACUUUGGCUCCAUGGCAAUUGAACUGUAUGUGUGUGCUCUGAGUGCCAUUCAGUAAUAAUGUGCGCUCAGAUCUGAGCUAUCUGGGGAUAUGUUGAAUGUACCUGUUUUGUGCAAUGGCUGCACAGUUAUAUGUUUUUAUGUGUUUUAUUGUCUUUUGCUGCCAUGUGUUCAAUGGAGUAUUGCCUCUGUCCUUGGAGAUAAUUGGAUUACUUCCCAAUUAUCUCCAGGAUAGAAGACUCUGUGAAACUGGUUUUGGGCAGAAAAUCCAUGCUUCCUUUGGUCACAAAGGACUAUGAUCUAUCUUUUGAACCACUGGACCAAUUUGGAUGAUUUUGACAUAUGUUUGAACUUGGAGUAUGCUGAUUCUGAAAAUGUAAGUUUAUGUGAAUGUGAUGCAUACUUUUAAAGUAAUGAAUAAUGUAGAAAAACUGUAUUUCUCUGCCUGUGAUAAUUACAUUACUCAUUGUGCAAGGUAAUUGAAUCAGAGGGGAGGAUUUUGUGUGGGAGUGUCUGAGUGUAUUGUACAUGUUUAUUGGUUGUUUUCCAAAGCCCUGUGGGUGGUACUAAUGUGUAUAUGAGAACAAUAAACCCACAGCUCUGUCUGUUCCUGCUUGACCCGCAAAGCAGAGCCUUGUCUCGUUCUUGGGGUUGAUUUAUUGUAUGCUGUUCCAGUUCGACUGCUAGGAGUGUAAACCUUUCAUAUGGUUUUUCCUAUUCGGCUGUUUACAGCAUUCAUAUGGUUUCCUGUUCGGUGGAUUGGUGUUCUGCAGUAGCUGUGCCUGUGUCUCUGAAAGAUCUACUAAAUGGCAGUUUAACCCUUUUAUGCUGAGGGUGUCGUUACAAUUCUCAUUCAAUAACGCUCGUUUUUAUAUUUAAAUCACACAACAUGUAUCUUAUAAGUAAUAUCUAUACAUUUUUAAUCAUGAAAUGUUGUUAUUUAUGUGCAAUAAUUAUUUGCUCUGUGAUUGGUCUGUGCAAUUGUGGUGCCAAUUUUAAUUUGUUCUAUACCUAUUGUGAUCCUUGUCUGCAGGUAGCAUGGUCCUCUAGGGUAAACAACAGGCACAGUCCUUUGGUUUGCAUAUAAUUCAGGCAGUUUUAUUGUCAAACUCCACCACAGCUACAGCAGCAAAUGAAAACAAAAUGUAACAAAAUCCUAUAAACAAAAACCUAGCUCGGUCUGAGCACUAACUGACAUCAAGUUCCCUCUCUCUCAAGGGUUUAAUCUAUAACAAAAACAAGAAAUGGUUUCACCAACCUAGUGUCUUUUUCAGCUCUCAGCAUUCCAGUGUUUUGGACAGCCUGCUGCUUCCAGCCCUUCCAGAGAGAAAUAAACAUUCUCCUCUACCUGCCUAGCAGGGAGGGAUUUAUUCCCACUGCUGUAGCUGAUUACCUGCAGCUGAGCAGUGUAUUGGAGACAGUCCAAAGCCUGGUCUGGACCUAGUCUCCCAAGAGAAAACAGUAAAUAGUGGAGUGGAGCACUGGCCCACCCUUCUCUCCAAAUGCUCCACCCCAGGGGCCCAUAACUAAAUAUGCAUUCAAGUCAUAUACAUACAUACAUUCCCCCAAGGGUUAAAGAUCAUAUGCCUCUCUGAACAAUGUAGAUGAAAUAUAAACUCCCUCACAGACCACCCCAUUCACCUUAUCACACUAUAUAAACCCCAACUAGCCAGGUUGAAAAGUUUUUUAUCCAUUGAUAAAGCCUUAUAUGGUGAAACGCGUUUGGAUAUUGUACUGCUUUUAUAUACUGUUAAUAAAUAGAUUUUGGUCAUUUUUUACGUCUAUACCAUUAUCCUUUGAUCAUUACCUGGCCUUUUAUUUAUAUAUAUAUAUAUAUAUAUAUAUAUAUAUAUAUAUAUAUAUAUAUAUAUAUAUAUAUAUAUAUAUAUAUUAUAUUUUUUUAUAUUCUUUUAUUUUCCUUUUAUUUAUCUUAUUUCCUGGUAUUAUACUCCAAAGAAUCCCAGGUGGGGAUUAUACCACCUACGCCUUUGUCAUAGAGCAGUUAACCUGCCCUAUACACUGUGAGUAUAUUUUAUAAUAUUUUAUACAUCAACAAUAUUUUACUGAGAGCACUAUCGCUGUUUUAUCUUCUCUCUGAGCUCCUGAUACCCCUUCAAGAACACUUAUCUGAUAUCCUACAAGCGGGGAUUAUACCGCUGUAUGCCUUCAAUACUAGAGCUAGCAGAAGCUCUAUCAAAUGUGAGUGUAUCUACUAUAUUUUAACAUCUUUUAUUUCACUUGUGGAACAUACUGCACCAUUAUUGUUUCCAUUUUUAUCUCCCACUUGGCUGUCUGUCACUGCAUAGAAGAGGAUACUCACCGUAUAUCCUGUAAGCGGAGAUAAUACCGCUGCAAGCCAUUCACACCAGAGCUGGAUUAAGCUCUGCCAACUGUAAGUAAGACCUCUCCUAUUUUUACUAUUUUGGAUCAUCUUUCUCAUCAUCCACCACCUUCCUCUACAUUUUUGGAUACUGCAACAAGUAGAACCUUGCAACUUCGGAGACCACAUAUAAGAUCCAAUACUCUACUCCACCAAACUCCGUUUUAUCAAUACUAUCCCAUUUAGGACUGUUAUUGUUAUUUAUUUUGUGUAUUGGCGCAGACCCAUCCCUUAUUUAUUUGCUUUUGCCUAUUUAUUCCAAGGACAUUUGAGGGAGUCCCAGUCCCCUUGUCUGGGACUGUUGCCUUUCUCUCCUUCCAAACCGAUUAGCGCUGACUCUACUCUCUGUAUUGAAAGAUUAUAUCCUUGAAUAUUCUGUUUUGGAUCAUUUUUCUCAUCAUCCACCACCUUCCUCUACAUUUUUGGAUACUGCAACAAGUAGAACCUUGCAACUUCGAAGACCACAUAUAAGAUCCAAUACUCUACUCCACCGAACUCCGUUUUAUCAAUACUAUCCCAUUUAGGACUUUUAUUGUUAUUUAUUUUGUGUAUUGGCGCAGACCCAUCCCUUAUUUAUUUGCUUUUGCCUAUUUAUUCCAAGGACAUUUGAGGGAGUCCCAGUCCCCUUGUCUGGGACUGUUGCCUUUCUCUCCUUCCAAACCGAUUAGCGCUGACUCUACUCUCUGUAUUGAAAGAUUAUAUCCUUGAAUAUUCUGUUUUUGCAAGUAUGCAUCUAGUAGCUGUUUGAACAUCUGUAUGUACUCUGAUAAAACCACUUCCUCAGGCAGAGAAUUCCACAUCCUUAUUGUUCUUACAGUAAAAAAACCUUUCCUUUGCCUUAGACGAAAUCUUCUUUCUUCCAGUCUAAACGCAUGGCCUCGUGUCCUAUGUAAAGUCCGGUUUGUGAAUAGAUUUCCACACAAUUGUUUGUAUUGGCCCCGAAUAUAUUUGUUUAAUGUUAUCAUAUCCCCACUCAGGCGACGUUUUUCUAAACUAAAUAGGUUUAAAUUUGUUAGGUCUUCCGAACGAUAUAGAGUAGGUCUUCUUUGGCACUUGUAAAAUGAAUAAAUAAACCAAAGAUACUGGGUACUCUCUAUUGCCAUCUCCACUCUCUAGUGGUUUACAUGCUGUUUUAUUAUUUGGAUUUUGUAAGUGCAUUUUUCAUAAUAAAUCAUUGUAAUUUGUUCCAUCUGCACUAUCUUUGGUUUAUUUAUUCAUUUUACAAGUGCCAAAGAAGACCUACUCUAUAUCUUUCUGAAGACCAUUUCUGGGCCUGAUAUUCAUUCAUAUUUUGUGAGUUUAAUAUAUUCUACUUGCGUGUUCACAUUGUUAUACUUUUAUUGCUCUAUGUGUAUUUUGUAUAUCUUUUAUAGAUAUUUGUCAUCACGCUACCAAUAUCAUCAGGUUGUAUAAUUUAUUUACACCCUAGAUGUGAUUAUUGUCACUAUAUUCGCAUCCUUACUGCUUGUCUUUUGUUUUACUACUUGUGACGAGAGCAAUCUCGCCACAUUGCAUUGGAGAAGCCUGGCUGCCCGCCUGCUGCCUUUUGACUAUGGACCAGACUUUAUGUAAAUGUGUUAACCCAGAUAGCUAUGCCAUGGAGCCCAUUCGUGUAGUUAAAGACUUCGGCUCCAUGGCAAUUGAACUGUUUGAAUAGGAUCUGAGCGCUAUUCGGUAGUUUUGUGCGCUCAGAUCCCAGCUAUCUGGGGAUAUGUGAAAUGUCUGUGUGUUAUGUGUAAAAGGUGACUUUAUGUAUUUUAAAGUGUCCAUAUGUUGUUCACCUGAAUGGAUUGAUUGUGAAUAUGUAAUUUUAUGUGAAUGUGAUGUAUGGUUUUAAAGUUAUGAAAGUUGGGUAGAAAGUAUGUUUUAACUGUAUGUGUAAUUGAGUUUCCUCUCAGGAUAAGGAGAGGGAAUAUGUGGGAUAUAACUGUGAUGUGAUUGGUUAUUUUAUACCUCCCUGUGGACGGUCCUGUAUUUGAAAACACUGUAAUAAAAACCAAGCUGGGUGUGCCAGCACCUCAGACCACUGCUUGACCCUCAACACAGAGCCUUGUCUCUUUCUUGGGGGGAUUCACUGUAUGCUGUUAGAGACUGAUUGCCAGGAGUGUUAGCUGAUUGUCUGCUUUUCCUGUUCGUCUGCUAGCAGCUAUUUGGGAGGUUCCAGUUCGGGAGUUGGAGUGCUAUUUUGUAUCUAGUUCGGGAGUUUGGUGUUCUGCAGUAGCUGUUCCUGUAUCUCUGGAAAGGGGGCUGAUCGCCUAAACGGUUUUUACCCCGUGUGUGCAAAACGGUCUGUUACACUACUAUAUUGGUGUUUUAGAGGGCACACUUUCAGUAUGUUUGCCUUUUUAUAUAUUUCAAUUGUAUUUUUAGUGAUCUGGUAUAUUCUCUUUUUGGUGUAUUAAAUUUGUUAACCUUUCUUCAUAGCUGAUAUGUUCCAUUCCUUUUAUUAAUUUUGUAGCCCGCCUCCGCACUUUUUCUAAUGCCAUAAUAUCCUUCUUUAGAACAGGUGCCCAAAAUUGCACAGCAUAUUCAAUAUGUGGUCUUAGCAGUGAUUUAUAAAGAGGCAAAAUGAUAUUCUCGUCCCGAGAAUGAAUGCCCUUUUUCAUGCAUGAAAAUACCUUACUGGCCUUGACCACUGCUGAUUGACAUUGCACAUUGUUGCAUAGUUUGUUGUCUAUGAAAAUUCCCAAGUCCUUUUCGUGUGUUGUUAUCCCUAAUUGGCUUCCAUUAAGGGUAUAUGUUACUUGUGUAUUCUUUACUUUGCAUUUUUCAACAUUAAAUUUCAUCUGCCAUUUGAGUGCUCAGCCCCCCAGUCUAUCUAAAUCCCUCUGCAGUAAAGUAAUAUCUUGCACAUUGUAUUAUUUUACAGAGUUUUGUGUCAUCUGCAAACACUGAAACAUGACUUUCAAUGCGGUCUUCAAGAUCAUUUAUAAACAUGUUAAAUAGAAGGGGUCCCAGAACAGACCCCUGAGGGACACCACUUGCCAAAUCUGUCCAGCUUGAAAAUUUACUAUUAAUGACAACUCUUUGUACUCUGUUUUUAAUCCAAUAUUCUUCCCAAGAACAAGCUUUUUCAUCUAGACCGAUUUCCUUGAGUUUGAACACUAAUCUAUUGUGUGGAACUGUAUCAAAUGCCUUGGCAAAAUCCAAAUAGAUCACAUCCACUGCAACACCCUGAUCUAUACUUCUACUUACUUCUUCGUAGAAUGCAAUCAAGUUAGUUUGACAUGACCUGUGCUUCAUAAAACCAUGCUGAUUUUUGCUGAUAACCAUUUUCUUCUCAAGGAAUUCUUGAAUAUUAUCCCUUAAUAACUUUUCAAAUAUUUUCCGAGACACAGAAGUUAGGCUCACAGGGCUAUAAUUUUCAGGCAAGGAUUUUGAACCCUUUUUGAAUAUAGGAACCACGUCUGCUUUCCUCCAAUCCUCCGGAACACUUCCUGAAAGAAAAUAAUCUUGAAAGAUUAAAAACAGAGGUUUACUUAUUUCUACACUUAGUUCCUUAAGUACUCAUGGAUGGAUACCGUCAGGCCCUGGAGCUUUGUUUAUAUUAACUUUCUUCAGUUGCUGCAUCACCUUGUCUUGAGUUAACCAAUCACAAUUAUUCUGCAAGUUUUUAGCAGCAAUCAUUUGCACAUCUAUUGCCAUGGGUUCUUCCUUAAUAUAUAUAUGGAGGAGAAAUGGUUAUUUAAAAUUCCUGCCACUUUCCUGGUCUUAACUAACACCCCCGUUUCAGUUUUUAGUGUACCUACACUUUCAUUUUUGGGUUUUUUAGAAUUUAUGUACUUAAAUGCUUUUGGGCUGUUUUUGCUCUCUUUAGCUAUCAUUAUUUCAUUUUGAAGUUUAGCAAGUCUAAUUGCCUUUUUGCACUCAUUAUUUGCUUCCUUAUAUCUUUUAUAAAACGCACCUGAUUUGUCCAAUUUAAAUGCUUUAAAUGCCCUUUUCUUAUUUUUAAUCUCUUGUUUUACUGCUCUACUAAGCCACAUUGGUUUUAAAUUUGUUUCUCUUACUACUGCCUCUAGUUCCCCCAUUUUGUUAUUUAGGCUCAUUGCAUUAGUAAGCAUACAUUCAAUAUCAUGAGUCAUUUUAACUUUUUGUGAAUAUCAACAUUACAUAUCUUCUCUGUUCUGAGCUUGCCCCUUCCCCCGUCUCCUCCCCCCUUAUACUGUGCUAAAGCCCAUCUCCUUUCUGUUCUAUCUCCAUUUUGUAGAUUGCUAUGACCCUCCCCCCUACUACUAGUUUAAAAUCUCCUCCAACCUUCUAGCCAUCCUAUCCCCCAGCACUGAAGACCCUCUCCCAUUUAGGGGAAAUCCAUCACUACUAUAAAGGUUGUACCCAAUCGCAAAGUCGGCCCAGUGCUCUAAAAACUCUCCUUCCUGCACCAAGACUUUAGCCACGCAUUGACCUCUCUAAUCUCCCACUGCCUUUACACUGUAGCGUGUGGCACAGGUAAUAUCUCAGAGAAUACCAUCUUGGAGGUCCUUUUCUUAAGUUUGCUACCUAAUUCCCUGAAAUCCUUCUUUAGGACUUUCCAUCUUCCUCUUACUUUGUCAUUGGUACCAACAUGCAACAUGACCAAGCCCCUCCCAAUAAUCCAUCCACUCUGUCAGCAACAUGCCGGACCAGAGCACCUGGGAGACAGCGAACUGUAUGGUUGAACCGAUCAGAGCGGCAGAUUGCACUAUCUGCCCUCCUAAUGAUAUAGUCCUCUACCACCACAACCUGUCUUGCCUUCCUUACAUUCUGAUCCCCACCCAUACUACGGGGGCUGUUACCUCGGCUGUUGGAAGUAACAGCUUCCUCUAAUACAGCUACUCUUGAGCUGAUGCUCCCAACAUCUUCACUCAAACGGGCAAAUCUGCUAGGUUGCACCAAAUCAGGACUAGCUAGCCCUUUCCUUUUCCCUCCCCCCCUGCUUCCUUGCCCACUGUCACCCAGCUACAUGCCUGUUCCCCAUCUGUCUUAUCUCUUCCCUCUCCACUACCUGUCCCCACUAAACUCUGCUCAGUGAGCAGCAGACUCCUCUCAAGAUUGUCAAUCUCCCUCAAAGUUGCGAUUUGCUUCUCGAGAUCUCCAAUCUGAGCUUCCAGAGAAUCCACUCGCACACAACCAUCACAGAUGUAUGGACCCUGGAAGGGUACAUCCAGGCAUCCAUACAUGCAACAUGAUGUGCAUUGAGUCAAACCACCAAUCUACAUCCUUUUUUUUCGUUUGUAUAUCUUGUUGGUGACAUUGUAAGGAGUCAUUUUAAUAUUUAGCUGCUCAUUGUACAUAGUGAUUUAACAAAAGUUUGUAUAUUAUUUAUCUACAUCCAUAAGCACUAGUCUUUAUCCACGUUUUGCAAUUUGAAAGAGUGGACUGCGGUCAGUGUGCGAUUUUAAUUUGUUUUUAUGGAUAGGUGGGAAUUGUGCAAUUUGUGUAAUUUAGAUAAUGUUCCAAAGAUCAUUGUGGCAGUUUUGUCAGUGUUUAUGAAGAGUUUUUGUGAUCCACUUGUCUAGCUCUGUGAACUGGUCUUGGAGCACAGCCUCAAGCUGCGGUAGAUUGGAUUUGCUUGCGUAGAUUACUGUGUCGUCUGUGUACAUUUGAGGAUUUGCAGACAUUAGGCAGAUCAUUUAUAAAUAAUGUGAAUAGUAGGGGGCCGAGAAGGGAACCUUGGGGAACACCACACGUGACUGGGAGAGGGAGGGAGUCACUUCAGAAAUGGAUACAUAUUGUAAGAGAUCCGAUACAUAUGAUCGAAACCAGGUUAGCAGACAAUCACCAAUACCUGAGUUUUUGAAUUUGUGCAGUAGAACUUUGUGGUCUACUGUGUCAAAGACCUUUGCAAAAUCAAAUAAAAUAGCUCCAGUUAGGUAUCCUUGUUCCAUGCCAGUUUGGAUGUCAUUGCAAACUUUUAAGAAGUCAGUUGUAGUGCAGUGAUUCGGGUUAAAACCCGAUUGAUCAGGGGUCAGAUAGUUAGAGUGUUGGUAAUACUCACAUAGUUGCGUAUAGACGCAUUUUUAUAAGAUUUUUUACAAUACUGGGAGCAAUGAUAUUGGGUUAUAAUUAGAAGCCAAAGUAGUGUCUCCACUUUUAUGGAUAAGCACUACUCUCGCAGUCUUCCAAAGUUUGGGUAUGUAUCCAAACAACAAGAAUUUAUUAAUUAGGGUUGUGACAGGUUUAGCAAUUGCCGGCAUACUGAGCUUCAACAGCAUUGCUGGAAUUUGAUCAGGUCCAGACUGGCUUUUCAUUUUUAGAUUAUUAAGGUGUUUCUUAAUGACACUAAUAGGUACAGGUCUAAAAAUGAACUUGUCUAUAUUAGGGCUUGAUCCACACUUGUAUUUUCAGGAUGAGGCCCUGGGGAGAUAGCGCAGCUAAGCGGACAAGGGCACAUGUGUGAGUGUGUGAUUGGUUGUGUAUGAAUGUGUGGGUGGGAUAAUGUGUUGUGUGAGUUAGUGGAGGGUGAUCUUACCUCAGUGCAACUUGGGAUUUAGGCUCCUGUUUGUUCUGUGCCUGUCAGUUUUACCAGCUUGAGUAAUGGAUGUUGAGGUGAUUCUGGCAUCUCUCAGAGCUCCUGCAGCGCUGGAUGGUGGCCGGCAACUACGGGAGCAAUUUGCUCACCUCAGUCGAGGUAUGGCUGCCAGGUAUGGCUGCCACAUGGCCUACCUCCUCCAGGAACCUCCCCUGCAGCCUCCCCUGCGGGCCAUGCUAGUACCGGCCGGCGUUCUCGCCCAUGUGAUUGACCCCUGACACCAUUCCUUGGGCCCGAGGCAUCACCAGGACCGCAUGUCUGGGGCUCCCUGGUCUCCGUUCUUCUCCCUCUGGCCCCUCUCCCAUUUCCCCUGUCUCUGCUGGUUCCCACCCCAUCUUCCUGUGUUAUCCCCCUCGGCCCUGCUCUCUCUUUUCCUGGGUCCUCUACUCUCCCUGUUCCCCCUCUGUCCUCUCCCCACCCUCUUCUCUCCCUGGGCCCCUCUCCACCCUGCUGGUCACUUACCUCAGCCACCUCUUGUCAGGUGUGGGCUCACCUCCUCUCCACUGCUGUUUUCUCAGGACCCAGCUGCUGUUGCUGGAGCUGACCACCAGGUGGCACUUGGAACAAUAUGAGGAUACAAUGGAUGUUGGAAUUCCUGUCUCUUUGCCUCAACCUUCUGGUGUGCAGUGCUGAGGUUGGAACGCCAGGCUGCAACCGGGAAGUGCGGUGUUCCCUCUUCUUCUAGUCCUUCAGGUCCUGCGCUGGGGUGGUUCCUCUCAGGUCUGCAUGGGUUUUUAGAUCAGUGGGAGCGGGGUCACAGUGGUUAGCUGUGGUUGGUUUGGUCCCCAGCCCUGCUCCCUACCGUGGUUCAGUCCUCGCCCUCCCCUGGGUCCUUGUCCUUGGUGGGUUGUUUUCCAUUGCCUUAAGAGCACCUGGGUCCCCCUUUGCCCGUGGUGUUCUGUGCUGUUGCCAGCUGGGGCGAUGCUCCUCUCGAGGUAGGUGUUUCAGAUGUGGCAUGUGGCGUGGCUUACAUGUGCUGGUCUGGCCCCCUGGGCUUGCACUUGAAAUAAGGGGGAAAUUUUGGAAAAGGGGAUUUUGUGGAAAUAUUUUCCCUCCUGCCAUUGGAGGAAGCUCCUCCGGUGGUGGAAAAGGACAGUAUGAAGUCUGAAAAGGAUAGGGAAAAGUAAGGCUAUCGGAAAAUUCCCAAGACAUUUGGGAAUUAGAUUCAGGCUUUUUCCAUUUUGGCCAGUGUUGUGGGGGAGAAGUCUCCUCAUAAGUGCUCCGCAUUGUUCUGCUAUCAGGACACUAUUUGGAAUGCUUGUCGCACCUAUAGGGGCUGGGUUGGUGGAGGUAUGAUGAACAGUUUCGCCAGCGGCUGGCAGUGCGUCCUUUGCUUUCCUGGGACCAGAUGUAUAUAGGCCUCUGGCUCUCAAUUAUGCAGGGCGCUUUUUCGUCCUUUCUUGGGGUGGGGGGGGGUGGGGGAACACCCUCCUCCCCAUCGGCCCCCAACCAGAGUCCGGGCUGUUGUUGGAAGUCCAACGACAGUCACACAUGUCAUGUGUCCUUAAGUGGUUAAGCACAAGUGCUUCGGUUGCGCCCAUUCCAUCCUCUGCUGUUUCAAAUGCAAAAAUAGCAAGAAAGUGGACAUGGGGUGUAAGGGCGAUGACUCUGGUAGUUGUAAAUGUGAUGCACCCAUGGCUCGACCUUUAGAGGAAUGGAAAAGCGGCACAGAUCUUAUCGGGGGGGGGGGGUGUAACGGCACCCCCAGGCAUAAAAAGGGUUAAACCGCCAUUUAGUAGAUCUUCCCUUCCAGAGACACAGGCACAGCUACUGUAGACACCAACACACCGAACCGGAGAAGCAUAUGAAUGCUCUCAAACAUACGCAUGCUGUAGACAUACGAAUAGUUUUACACUCCUAGCAGUCAAACUGGAACAGCAUACAAUAAAUCCCCCCCCCAAGAAUGAGACAAGGCUCCACUUUGCGGGUCAAGCAGGAACAGACAGAGCUGUGGGUUUAUUGUUCUCAUAUACACAUUAGUACCACCCACAGGGCUUUGGAAAACAACCAAUAAACAUGUACAAUACACUCAGACACUCCCACACAAAAUCCUCCCCUCUGCCUGUGAUUCAAUUACCUUACACAAUGGGUAAUGUAAUUAUCACAGGCAGAGAAAUAAAUUUUUUCUACAUUAUUCAUAACUUUAAAAGAAUGCAUCACAUUCACAUAAACUUACAUUAUCAGAAUCAGCAUACUCCAAAUACAAACAUACGUCAAAAUCAUACAAAUUGGUCCAGUGGUUCAAAAGAUAGAUCAUAGUCCUUUCUAACCAAAUGAAGCAUGGCUUUUCUGCCCAAAACCAGUUCCACAGAGUCUUCUAUCCUGGAGAUAAUUGGGAAGUAAUCCAAUUAUCUCCAAGGACAGAGGCAAAACUCCAUUAAGCACAUGGCAGUAAAAAGACACAAGGUUAGAUUUAUUACAUAAAAUACAGACAUGCAACAUAUCCCCAGAUAGCUUAGGUCUGAGCGCACAUUAUUACUGAAUGGCGCUCAGACCACACACACACAGUUCAAUUGCCAUGGAGCCAAAGACUUUUAUUACAAGAAUAGGCUCCAUGGCAUAGCUAUCUGGGUUAAAUUAGUUCAUUCAGCAAAUCCGAGAAUCUACCGAACGCCAGGGCAGAAAUACAUUAAUAGACCUUUCUGCAUAGGAAAAUAAAGUAUUUAAAUGCCGGUCCAUAGUCAAAAGGCAGCAGGCAGGCAACCAGGCUCCUCCAAUGCACAGUGGCGAGAUUGGUCUCGUCACAGGGGGUUUAAGCAGGGUUUUUGGAUUCCCUUCUCGGAGUGCCCUACCUCGCUCUCUGUUUGGAACCUUUGGUCAGUGCAGGAAUUCCCUCAGUUGGUGCAGGAAAAACUGGAUAAGGAAGUCUCCUUGGGCCAAAUGGCCGGCCCGUUUUCUACUCCCCCUAUGUUUAAUCUGCAGGUUUCUCUUUUAGGUGUGGUGCCUAAGAAGGACCCCAGUAAAUAUCGCCUGAUUCAACAUUUAUCGUACCCUCCAGGGGGUUCGGUGAAUGAUGACAUUUUGGCUGAAAUCUGACAGGUUUCCUAUGCAUCCUUUGAUGCAGUGGUUCACAUGAUGUGGGCUGUGGGCCCAGGGGCACUGCUGGCAAAGGCGGAUUUGGAAUCUGCUUUUCGUCUGCUUCCGGUGCACCAGGAGUGUCAUCAUCUCAUGGGCUGUACCUUUGAAGGCCAUUUUUUUGUGGCUAUUACAUAGUUACUGUCAGGGCUUACCUGGGUUGGGAGUCUGGCAGGCAGAGAUGUAUGCUCACCCUUGCAAGUAAACACAGGCUGAGGUGGUCAGGCAUGAAUUCACCUGGCCUGUGAGUCGGUGCACAGGGGCUGUGCAGGAUAAUUCUCCAAGUCACAGUACAGGAACAGAUAAAGCAGGAGAAUCAUCGUGUGAAACCAAAGGUCAGAGGAUGCCAGAAAUCUGAAUAAACGAAACAACAAGCCAAGGUCAAGAGUAAGCUGGAGAACACGAAACAGCAGUAUGAUCACCAGAGUCAAGAAACUGACACUGCCUUCUGUGAGAGGCAGUGUUUUAUACCUGGCUAACGAGACCAUCAACAUCAGGUGUACCAUGAGAGACAGGAGAAACAUCAAUACAUGUCCAGCCCCCAGUACUGGAUACAAGACAGAGCUGGAUACUAGCAUCACUAAAGCUGAAUGGUGGCUCAGAGGUAACAUAGCAGCCCAAGGACUGCAAAGUACUCAGGUUCAAAUCUGCUACUGGGGCAACCUCGUUUGGCACUCCAGAAGUUACGGUGGGAACUGUGAUAGUUAUAUAGCUGAAAAGAGACUUGCGUCCAUCGAGUUCAGCCUUCCUCACAUAUGUUUUUGCUGAUGAUCCAAAAGAAGGCAAAAAACCUAGUCUGAAACACUUCCAAUUUUGCAACAAACUAGGAAAAAAUUCCUUCUUGACCCCAAAAUAGCAGUCAGAUGUCUCAUUGGAUCAAGCAGCCCCACUAAUUAGAAAUUAUAUCCCUGUAUGUUAUGCUUUUGCAAGUAUUUAUCCAAUUUCAGUUUAAACAUAUGAAUGGACUCUGACAAAACCACCUCUUGAGGCAGAAAAUUCCAUAUCCUUAUUGCUCUUACUGUAAAAAAAAACCUUUCUUUGCCUUAGAUGAAAUCUCCUUUCUUCCAGCCUAAAUGUGUGACCUAGUGUCCUAUGUAUAGCCCUGUUUAUGAAAAGAUUUCCAGAUAAAGGUUUUUACUGGCCCCUGUAACGGCACCCCCCAGGCAUAAAAGGGGUUAAACUGCCGUUUAGAAGAUCUUCCCCUUCCAGAGACACAGGCACAGCUACUGCAGAACCCCAAACUCCCGAACAGGAUACAAAGUAGUACUCCAAACUCCCGAAUGGGAACCUCAUGAAUAGCUGCUAGCAGCUGAACAGGGAAAGCACCCAAGCGGCUUACACUCUUAGCAAUCAGUCUCUAACAGCAUACAGUAAAUCCCCCCAAGAACGAGACAAGGCUCCAUUUUGAGGGUCAAGCAGGAACAGCCAGAACUGUGGGUUUAUUGUUCUUAUAUACAUAUUCUACAGAAAAAGUCCCACCCACAGGGUUUUGUGGAACAUCCAAUCAAAACAUACAACACAGAUAAAAACUCCCACAAUGACAUCACAAUCCCUCCUCUCUAUCCUGGAGAUAAUUGGGAAGUAAUCCAAUUAUCUCCAAGGACAGAGGCAAAACUCCAUUAAGCACAUGGCAGUAAAAAGUCAGUAAAAUACAAUAAAAUACACAAGGUUAGAUUUAUUACAUAAAAUACAGACAUGCAACAUAUCCCCAGAUAGCUUAGGUCUGAGCGCACAUUAUUACUGAAUGGCGCUCAGACCACACACAUAUAGUUCAAUUGCCAUGAAGCCAAAGUCUUUGAUUUCACAAAUAGGCUCCAUGGCAUAGCUAUCUGGGUUAAAUGAGUUAAUUCAGUAAAUCCGUGAAUGAACCGGCCGCGUGUGAACUGCAGACUGCUGCCAUCCAGUAUUCAGUAUGCGUUGUCGCGGCCACCCGGUAUAGUCAAUUAAGCUGCAGUUAACCGCAGCUACUGGGUCGUCAACUGGCAGCGCUUGCCGGCUUCUGGGCGGCCAAUUAACGGCACCUGCCAGCUAACCGCGGCUCCUUGGAUGCCAAUAGAUGGCUGUUUGAUUUUAUCUACCGAACGCCCGGGCAGAAAUACAUGAAUAGACCUUUCUGCAUAAGAAAAUAAAGUAGCAAGGCAAAAGGCAGCAGGCAGGCAACCAGGCUCCUCCAAUGCACAGUGGCGAGAUUGGUCUUGUCGCAGCCCCGAAUAUAUUUGUAUAAUGUUAUCAGAUCCCCUCUCAGGCGUCGUUUUUUUUCCAAACUAAACAGAUUUUUUAACCUUUCUUCUUAACUAAAAUGCUCCAUUUCCUUUAUCAAUUUUGUAGCUCAUCUCUGCACUUUUUCUAGUUUCAUGAUAUCUUUCUUUAGAACAGGUGCCCAAAAUUGCACAUCAUAUUCAAGGUGUGGUCUUACCAGUGAUUUAUAAAGAGGCAAAAUUAUAUUUUCAUCUCCAGAAUUUAUGCCCCUAUUUAUACAUGACAAAACCUUACUGGCCUUAGCAACUGCAGAUUGACAUUGCAUGUUGCUGCCUAAUUUGUUGUCUAUAACAAUUCCCAAAUCCAUUUAGGGUGUAAAUUGCCUGUGUUAAUUUUUAUCCCCGAAGUGCAUAAGUUUGCAUUUCUCUACAUUAAAUUUCAUCUGUCAUUUUUUAUUUUUUUAUUUCAGACAUUACCAGCCUCUUAUGUUCUUUCCUGCUUUGCGUCUCAGGCUUGGUAUAUUCGUCAUCAUCAAUGUUCUCUUUCUCUCUCCUUUUUCCUAUUAAAUAACUUUAAUUUAUAGAAAACACAUUAUUAUUAAUAAACACACAAAAACAUAAAAUAACCAUACACAACAUUCAUACAUGAUGAUGGAACCUUCUUCCCUCCUCUCUCUGCAUUGCUCUUCAUAGUACUAAUAUAUGAGCUAGCAUUUCUCUUUUCUUUUUCUCCUUUCUUUCUUUUUCUCUCCUUUUCUUUUUCCUUCCUUUCUUUCCCUUUCCCUUCUUUUCCUCUCCCUUUCUUUUCUCUCUUCCUUUCUUCCUUCCCUUCCUCUUCUCUGUCUAUUAAUCUACUGCCAACAGUUUUUCUAACCACUUAUUUAUGUGAAAAAAAAUGUUUUCCUUCAAAUUUCCAUUCAAACCUCCCUCCAUCCUAAGUUGCGAAAUUAAUAAGUUUUUUACUAUAUCCCAAUUUGGAAGGGUUUUGGUUCUCCACCUUUUUAGCUAUGGAGAGUUUUGCUGCUAUUAAUGCAUGGGCAAGAAAAUAUUGCAAAUCCACAUUAUACUGAUAAAUAUUUAAGUGUAAUAAGCACAUUUCCGGGGCAAUAGGAAAAUUAAAUCCAGUUAUCAUUUCUAUUUUAGACAAGAACAUUUUCCAAAAUUCUUUAAGUGGGGGGCAGCUUCAUCAAAUAUGUAGGCAGUCUCCCACUCCCCCUUCACAUCUCCAGCAUGUAUCUGUUUUACUCUGGUCUAUUUUUUUUAGACGACUAGGAACCAAGUAGAGUCUAUUAAUAAUCUUAAAAUGUAGCUCCACUAAAUUUAGACAUUUAAUGCGCCUAGCAACUGUCAACCAUGCUGUAUUCCACUCUUGAGCAUCGAUUUUUUUUUUUUUAGAUCUUUCUCCAAUUUUUUUAUCGCUGGAAAUGUCAGGUCACCCUCUAGUUGUCUCAAUACCGAAUUACACUUAUUUAGUAAAUUUUUCAUGUCCUUUCCUUUCAGUAAAUUUCCUAAUUUAUUGUUAAAUUCCCAUUUCUCUUUAUUUAAAGUUUUAUUCAGAUGGCUUUUAAUCCUCAUAUAAUUAAAUUUCUCAGUUUCGGGAAGACUGAAAUUUGUGCAUUUUUGUUCUUUAUCUGUCAUUUUAGUGCCCAGUCUUCCAAUCUAUCCAAAUCCCUCUGCAGCAAGGCAAUAUCCUGCUCACAUAUUAUUACUUUGCAAAGUUUUGUGUCAUCUGCAAACACUGUUAAAUGGCUUUCAAUGCCUAUUUCAAGAUCAUUUAUAAAUAUGUUAAAUAGAAGCGGUCCCAAAACAGAACCCUGAGGGACACCACUUACAACUUUUGUCCAGCCUGAAAAUUUACCAUUAAUGACAACUCAUUGUACUCUAUCCUUAAGCCAAUGUUCUGCCCAAUGUUACAAAAGCUCUGUUACAAUAUUGUUCUUUUCUGUUUCUACACAGAACCUUGUUUUGGUAUUUUAACUUUGUAACCUAAUCCCCAAACCGAUUUCCCGUUACCCAUUCUUGUAUACGAACAACGGACCACCUGACCACCUGGCCUUAACCCUUGUCACCUUUCCAAUACCUGAACAGCCGACCACCCUACGAGUGGAGCGUGCCUCUAAUUAAUCACCAAGGGAGCUGCGGUCUGCGGUUAACCACAGCCUAAUUGACUGUCCCAGGACAUUCCCGUUCAUGGACUACUUUCCGAACUAAAACAAGUGAAAGACUCAUGAACAAGGACCACCUACAUCCUGGCGUAUGGCCUCAAUUAGAAUGUUGGUUUUGCGGUUAACCGCAGGUUAAGUACCCCUUUCCUGCAGUCUCCGUUCAUUUCCCGAACGGCUGGGACAACCAUUAUGAGAGCGGGCAUUCGUGUAAACCCCUGGCCGCUACUCGUUCCAUGAGUUUGGGGUCGAGGUCCCGCUGCCCAUUAACUCACCUGAAAACAUUGCCCUCGUCUCAUGUUCGGGACAAAAGACACGAACAGACUUUAUAUUGAAACUAGCCAUACCGUUCGUGAGUUCUGAGCGCUAUUCGACUAUCUGCUGCGCUCAGAUCUGGGCUACAUAAUGAAUUGUAGAAUGCACAAAUUAUCUAUUAAAAUGCUAAAGUUAUGUAUUUUUAUACUGUUUUGUAUGUUGCAAGAAAACGUGGGAUUUUGGGCGCUUGGAGAUAAUUACAUUGUCAUAACCGUUGGAUUCAUUAUCUCCAAGCUGGGUGGUAACAAUUUCAAAAGAUACAUUAUGUUUCUAUUGGUUAACUGUUUACAUUGUCCUUGUAUCCCAUGAGGUCCACAGGGGGCUAUCCCUGGACCUGAGGUUUUGCAUAAAUAGUGAUACCUGUGUGCCAUUAAAGACAGUUCUUUCUUGACCCUCAAAUCGUAGCCUCAACUUGUUUUGUGGGUAAAAGGGUAUCCUAGCUAGUGGGAUUAUUCUGCAUGUACAGGAUUCUUGUGGUAUAUUGACUGGAGCGGCUCUUCUCUCUCUCUUAACCGGGGAACCAGACUAUCCAAGCGGUCCAGAUUCCAGCUAGCCUGGAGGUAACCGUAACACCCAAGAACAAGAAUAUUAAUCCAGACCAAUUUCUUUUAGUUUGAAGACUAACCUAUUGUGAGGAACCGUAUCAAAUGCCUUUGCAAAAUCCAAAUAGAUCACAUCCACUGGAACACCCUUAUCUAUCCUUCUACUUACUUCUUCAUAGAAUGCAAUUAGGUUAGUUUGACAUGACAUAUGUUGCAUAAAACCAUGCUGAUUAUUGCUAAUAAUAAAGUUCUUCCAUAUGAAUUCCUGAAUAUUAUCCCUUAAUAGCCCUUCAAAAAUGUUCCCAGUCACAGAAGUAAAGGAUUUUGAACCCUUUUUAAAUAUAGGAACAACAUCUGCCUUCCUCCAAUCCUCCGUAACAAUACCUGAAACAAAAGAAUCUUGAAAAAUUAAAUACAGAGGUUCACUUAUUUCUCCACUUAGCUCCUUAAGUACUCGUGGGUGAAUACCGUCAGGCCCCGGAGCUUUAUUUACAUUAAUUUUCUUUAACUGCUGUAGCACCUUGUCUCGAGUCAUCCAAUCACAAGUUAUCUGCAAGUUUUUUGCAGCAAUCAUUUGCUUAUCUCUUGCCAUAGAAUCCUCAAUAAUAUAUACUGAAGAAAAAAAUAUAUUUAAAAUUUCUGCUUUUACCUGGUCUUCUUUAGCUAACAAAUCCAUCUCUGUUUCCAGUGUACUAAUACGUUAGUUUUUUGUUUUCUUAGAAUUGAUGUACUUGAAAAACUUUUUGGGGUUGGAUUUGCCGUCUUUGGCUGUCAAUUUCAAAUUUUCCAGAUUAGCCACUUUAAUUGCCUUUUUGCAUGCAUUAUUGGCUUCCUUAUAUCUUAUAUAGUAUGCCUCUGAUUUAUCCGAUUUAAAUGCUUUAAAUGGUUUUCUUGCUUUAAAUGAAUCUCUUGUUUUACUUCUCUACUAAGCCACAUUGGUGUCAAUUUUUUUCUGUUAUAUUUAUUACCCAAUGGCACAUACUGAGAAAUGUACCUUUCUAAUAUUUGUUUGAAUAGUUUCCAUUUAUCCUCAGUGUUUUUAUCACUAAGGAGUUUAUGCCAGUCGAUAUGUUGUAGAGCUGCCCUAAUCUUAUUGAAAUUGGCGUUUUUAAAAUUAUAUGUUUUAGUAUACCCCACAUGCUUUUGCUUUUUUGAGUUUAUUAAAAAAAUUACCAUAUUGUGAUCACUAUUUCCCAAAUGCUCCCCUACUUGAAUGUUGGUGAAGAGAUCAACAGUAUUUGUUAUAACGAGAUCCAGAAAAGCAUCCUUUCUAGUUGGUGCUUGUACCAGUUGUGACAUAAAGGUGUCAUUUAACACAUUCAAAAACCUGAUUCCCCUUGCUGAAGUACUAGUCCCUCUAUCCCAAUUUAUGCCCGGGUAAUUAAAAUCUCCAAUAAUUAACAUGUUACCCCGAUUUGCAGCCUUCCCAAUUUUCUCUAACAACAGUUCUUCCUCAUUGAUAUUUACAUUAGCUGGUUUAUUACAUAUGCCAACCAAUAAUUGAUUUCCCUUUGUUUGCCCCAAGCAGAUAUCUAACCAUAAAGCUUCCACAUUUUCCUCGUCACACUCCAUGUAUGUACGUAGUGGGGAAUCACGAUGCAGCAUAAUACAUAAACCAACCCAAUUCAUCCCCCUUCCAAAAUAAUGACAGACAACGUAGUAUGGAUGAAAACAGGCCGCAGCAUUUAUUAUAACAUAUGACAAAUACUGUAUGACACAUCCAUAAUUUAUUUAAUAAUUUCUCUUCUUUUCAGUAACCAAAACGUUAAACAUAAAUAACCAUAACUUAACAUAUAUAUGCAUAUAACUAAACACAUAGUGUCAUACAGUGAACCCAACCGUCCUUGCCAAUAAACUGACCAUGCGCCUAUGUACCACUUCCUCUCACCUCCCCCCCUUGGCAUAAAAAUCAUUUCCUUCCAGUGCCUUCCAUCAGCCGACCUUAUCCACGCUCGAUGGGCACGACAUGCCAGGUAACCUAAGGUUAACCCUUUAGAGCAGGGGAGGUAGAGACCUUAAAAACUUGUUCAUCUCAUACCAUAUUCUUAAACGUAACCCCUUAAAAACAUACCCCCGGCCACAACCCCACUAUUUUAUGCCUAAAAUCAGCAGAGGUCCCCACAAAAACCAUCCAUGGCCUGUUCAACCACUUCUUGUAGAGCGAGAUUAACAAAGGCCUAGUCCGACCUCCAGCAAGUGCACCCCAACCCCUCGAGAUAACAAGGCCACAUCCCGCUCAGAACCCUAAGGCGAACUGGAAUCCCCCAAGCCCCCAAGACAAACCUAGAAACUCGUCUUGUUCGAUUUCCAACGCAGCGCACUAGGGCACUCACAUUGCUGAGUGCCCUGCCAAAAGGAACGGGUGAUAACCUCAGCCCAGACCUUGUGAACAUAUGGAAAGAAAACAGAAUGGGUGACAUGUCCAGAUUUAAGGUCAGCACAAAUUCCAAACGAGCACCGAACAGGUCAUUCCCCCCAGAUGGAUGACAAACCCACGGUACCCCUAGGAGGCUGGACUGCUAACCCAGGUCAGGGAGGAGCCACACCCACCUCAUGUAUCUGGUGCCAAACCACCGAACCUCCGCUCAAGAAGGCGUAAGAUCCAACCACUCGCACCAGGUCAGACCGCCUGCCGCCUCCCGGCCCAAAUGACAUAGGAGCAUUCCACCAUCCCUAUUCCGGGGGAACCAAAACUGCGGAAAUAAAUCAACUCUAGAGACCGGCAGGGUAAACCUACGUAACCUACCGCCCUGACUCCCACCAUCCGAGCCUUUGAACCAUUGGCGCAGGCACGCCAAGCCUAGCAGCGUCUGGAGCCAACCCUAAUGAAUGAAUGCCCCUUGAAAUCCACACAAUCAUCACCCAGGAAUUCUAGCCCCAAGUGGAACACCCCACCGAAAUAGAAGCAGUAGAGAAUGGGAGGAGCUCCAAGACAGCCAGAGUCUUCAAGAGCUCCGAUGCUUGCCAGCUUACUGGGCAAGAGUCAGCACACCAUUGAGAGCCCAAAAUGGCCCGAGCCUCCCAAAUCUGCUGCAGCGGUAAACAGGAGAAAGUCAGUGGAAGGGACCUACGGGGGCUGCCUGCACAAGCUACCAUUAUGGGAGGCCAAGAAGGAACCACAUACAGCCCAGCUUACCCAGGAGAGCCCAUGGGUAGCACAGCUGAAACCCACAUUGCCCCCAAAACCACCGACACCUCCCACCUGAUAUCUAAAACCGCAGUCAGGGGCAACCGACGUUCCCCUGCCCUGGGAUCGAUCCCACUAUCCAGGAAACUACAGCACGUAUCCCGACCCACGGUUACGUUCUGGGCCACUGAACUCCGAAACGCUGAAACACUACCACAAGAAAACACCACAGCAGCAGAGCACGGACGUGCGACACUAUCGGCCCCACUCAUAAGCGACAUUGGAAGCAACCCAUGUGGAGGCACAUAGCACCAUAACACUAACCAUCAGAAAUACAGCCUGGAAAACAAUAACCUGGCGCGCACAGCCGCAGCAGCUGGAAAGCCGAUUCCACAGCUGCCUUUGUCAGCAAGGCCACAAAGCCUUGCAGCCAUAACCACACGGACCAUUGCAUCAUGCCAUCAUAUAGGAAAAACCAGAGGCCUAAGUCCCAGGCCAAGAAGGGUCGCACUGCCAACCGUUGACAAAAUUGCAAGACAUACCUCCACCAACCCAGCUCACCCUAGGGACCACAUGUGUCCCAGAGAGUGUCCUGACAACAGAAAAAUGUGGAGCAUACUCGGGGUGCCCUCUCCCCGAUGAUGCUAUCCAGAACAUACGAUGCCCGGACACAAUUCCCGCGCGUCAUGGGGUGUAACCGAUUACGGUAUUUUUUCCACGUCCCUCCCGAAGUCCCUACCGUCCCUUUAAAGCAAGAGGCCCCCAGCGGCAUGAGGGCAUGAGGGAAAAUAUCUCUAAUAAAACCCCUUCUCCAAUCUGCUCCCUAGUAUUUUGCGACAUACGCAAGCCAAGCGGGCCAUACUAGCGCACAUCAGCAGCGUCCUAAGCCACCUGAACCGCCUGCCUCCUGGGCUGCGCAGGAUGCUGCAGGAAACUGUACUUUAACAUAUGAUAAAUACUGAUAAUGGAAUGGGGGGGGGCUGAAUAACCAGAGUGGACUCCCUGGUAAGCGGCGUCCAUGUACUGUUUUUUCUUCUUCUUUUUUUUUUUUUAAAUUUAUGAAUUUUUUAUUUCUCAUUUUAUUUACUUAUUCAGAAUUUUUUUUUUAUUACCGUGCUAAGACCCCCCCCCAGAUCUAAAAGAACCCCCCGGGGACCCGACUGGAUAAAAGAAGGAACAAUGUACUCAUGUACACCCCCGUUGUACCGCCCGUGGCAUAGCAAGCGUAGAGGUCCUGGCAGAAGACACUGAGAUCAGCUUCCAAUGUGUUCUUCCAAGGUGUUCCAGGCGCCACCUGCUGGUUAUUUCUGUGAACUGCAGCCAGGACCUGUGAAAAGGGCAUGGAGAGGAUCUGAGCCCACGCUCCACCAGGAGGCAGCCUAGGUAAAUAGCCAGCAGAGAGAAGAACAGAAGGCAGAGAGAAGAACAGAAGGCAGAGAGAGAAGAACAGAAGGCAGAGAAGACCCAGAAGGGACAGAAACAGGUAAGAGCCGGGGAGGAAAGGAAAGGGGGAGGAGAUAGGACACAGAGGAGAAGAACAGAAAGAGGGGAAGGGGGAGAGAACUGACAGAGGGGAAGAGGGGGAAGAACAACAGAUGGAUCAACAGCAACAAAAUGAAAAAUAGGGGGACACCGGGGGAGGAGAUGAGGGCCCUUUAGAGAUUAGUCCCUGCGCAACUCCGCGGGGCCCAUUCUCCGCUGGAUGGCCACACAAGUCGCAGGACACGCCGCCCGCCUCCUACUGCCUCCGGCACGAAACCUAACGUCGGAGGCCGCAGCCUGUCAUGUGGCUGCAGGAGGGGAAGGCUGCAAGUCCUGUGCGGCGGCAGGAGGCUGCACAUCCUGCGUGGCAGUUGCAGGUCUCGUUUCUAGAGCCUCAGACAUGCAGGCCAGGUGAUGCCUUGGGCCCGGGCUCGACCUCCUCAACCGGGCCUGAGGAGCAGUGUCGGGGGGGGGGAAGCUUAGCCAGUGGGCGGGAAUGCGGGCCGGCGCCAUCACGGUCCCCAGGAGCAGGGGCCACAGGGAAGGCCCCAGAGGGAGACAGGCCGCGGGGGGGGGCGACCCACACCAGGGGAGAGGAGAGCACCUGGGUCAGGAGUUGCCGGCCACAAUCCACGCUGCAUCAGCUUGGAGGGAAGCCAGACAGCCUCAACCUCCAUCCCAUAAGCUGGUAAACCUGCAGGCCCAGGACAAACAGGAGCAGGAGGACAGGAAGAUGUUUGCUGGCCCGAAUCCCAAGUGGCACUGAGGUAAGACCUCCCCCACACUAAUUUACACAACAUAAUCCCACCCACACAUUCUUUCCCAGAACAUAAUCCCACCCACACAUUCUUUCCCAACCAAUCCACUGCAUCUAUCCACACACACAUACAUGUGCCCUUUUCCGCUUAGCUGCCCUAUCUCCCCAGGGCCUCAUGCCUAAGAUUUUACUUUAACUCAUGGUUGGCAUACAAACAUACCCCACCACCCUUCCUGUUUUUCCUAUCCUUCCUAAAUAAAGUGUACCCAUUUAAGUUAACUGCCCUUCUUGGCCUCAUCCCACCAUGUUUCUGUUAUGCCCAUUAUAUCAUAUUGUUUAGUGUAUGCUAUUGCCUUUAGUUCCCAAUUUUGUUAUAUAGGCUCCUUGCAUUAAUAAGCAUACAUUUAAUAUUAUCAUGAGUCAUUUGUACUUUUCGUGAAUUAUCAAUAUUACAUACCUCCUCUGUUCUGAGCUUUCCCCUCCCCCCAUUUCCACCCCCUUUAUUCUCAGCUAAAGCCCAUCUCCUUUCUAUCCUAUCUCCAUUUUCUAGAUUGCUUUGACCCUCCCCCCUACUACUAGUUUAAAAUCUCCUCCAACUUUCUAGCCAUCCUAUCCCAGAGCACAGCAGACCCUCCGUUUAAGUGCAAUCCAUCACCACUAUACAGGUUGUACCUAAGUGCAAAGGUGGCCCAGUGCUCUAAAAACCCAAAAUCCUCUUUCCUGCACCAAGUCUUCAGCCACACAUUGACCACUCUAAUCUCUCGCUGCCUCCCUAUGGGUUGCUCUCUAUCCUGUUUUUACACCCUGUUCCAAAUUAUUAUGCAAAUUCUAUUUAAGUGUCACAAAGAUUAAAUAUUUUGUUUUUCAGUUUAACUCAUGGAUGGCAUUGUGUCUCAGGGCUCUUUUGAUCACUGAAAACAAUCUCUGACACCUGUGAUAAUUAGAUUGCAAGGUGAGACCAAUUUAAGGAAAAACUACUAAAGGAGGGUGUAAGAAUAUUAAAUAGUUAACUUGUUUAUAUGUAUUUUAUGCUUUUAUAAGGUUUAUAACAUGAUUAUUUCUGACUGAAGGGAUAUUGAAUACUUAAAGUCAAUAUGCUGACUGUGACAGACUAAGGUAUUUCUUCUAUAGGAUGUAAGACAAUGCUAAAUUUCAGGAUGUCUUGCCCAUUCCGAUUUUAAGGAUAUUCUUUUCCAGACGUAUGCAAAAGCUUAUCUUUCCAUUGUCAGAAUAACGUAAUACAAGGAAGUAAUAAAUCUUAUAGUCUGUACUGUAUUUGCAUAUACCAUGGCUAAUGUAAGCAAACUAUGUAUAAAAGCCAGCUCUGGAAUACACUCAUUUGAGAGUCUUGUAAAGCUGUUGUCCGUGUGUUAUUGCUUACAAAUGAUUCUCCAUCAACUUGAUUAUGGUGACCGAGGGAUCGAGAACCGAGGGGAUUAGAGUCCAUUACAACAUUAACCCUUUCAGCUUGGUGUCUAGAAGUGGGAUAGAUAGAAGUUGGAUCAGCAAAACCAUUUGCGGUGAGUAGCCUUUUUGUGUCUUAUUGACGCUGAUUGUCUAUGACCCCCGUUUGGUUCAGUAAGACUGUAUCCAGUAGAUAGGAAAGGUGUAAGGACUCUAGUUAUAUUGAGACUAUAAGAGGUCUCCGGUUUAUUAGACAUUUGGUCUAAAUAUAUAUAGGGGUUCUUGGUAACCCAGGUUAGUAUCUAAGAUAGAUACAGGUUUUUGAGACCAUAAAAGGUCUCCGGUUUAUUAUAGGGUUUUGGUAACCCAGGUUAGUAUCUAAGAUAGAUACAGGGUAUCUCAGGUAGAUACAGGUUUUGAGACCAUAAGAGGUCUCCGGUUUAUUAAGUCUAUAGGUGUUCUGAUCUAUAAGUAUAACCCAAACUUCUCUUUCUCCCGGUCACCUUUGUUUGUCUUAAGUGUUUUUUUGUGGGUGAUUGUUUGUCUAUAUUGGGGACACACUUUGGUAAGUUAGUAGUGUCCCCACUCUGAGUCAGCAGUAUGGGAAAUGUGAGUUCAUGUCCUGAGUGACCAAUAUAUGUACAUGUAUAUGUGUGUGUAUGUAUAUAUGUGUAUAUGUAUGUAUAUAUGUAUGUAUAUGUAUAUGUGUAUAUAUAAGAUAGCAGUACUUUUAAACAAAUGGAGGUUUUAAAAAUACAUAGGGAUUAAGGAGAGAACGCAGGUAACUUGUUUUUCUUUGGUUUUUACCAUAUAUUGGGGCUGAUGUGUACUGUAGUCCUUGCUGCUGUCCAGUAGUGAUGGGAGUGAGCGCAGGACUUAUCUUUCUGCAAGAUAGCAGUACUGUAUAUUAGAAAAGAAAUGACUCAUAGGUUGUACCUGAUAGACCUACUUAAAUCUUUUUACUUUAUUCUUUCUGUCGCAUAGAAGUAUAAGUUUAUUACUCUGUUUUAUUGUAAGUUAUUUCACAUGGGAUCUAUGUGCCUGGUAUGAUUGUUGCUUUAAAAAUACUAUAAGCCCACUACACUUAUUAUGAGAGUGGGAUAGUGUAAAUGUGUUGCAUUGUUUGCAUGAUGAGCUCAGUAUAUUUAAUAACUGAGACAAAAAGUCACUUCAUUAGUAUUUGAAAGUUAAUUCCCCAUAUGGGAUUAAUUGUAUAGAAACACCAAUCAGCACAUCUUCCCUGCCCUGUGUGUUUGUUGCAGAGGAUCCAUACUGUAAAUAUGAUUUAUGUUUGAAAAUAACAGAGCAACAUUUACAUUUUCAGCGGUCCAACACAUGCUUUAUUUUGCACUGUAAAUUAACCUUUUUAUUGCAACAGGUUCCUUUUAAAUGAUCCAGUGUAAUAACUACUGCUUGUGUCUUCUAUGUCUCACAUUAUGUGAUAUUUUAAAUUGUGGUAUAUAGCCUGAAUCAGACAUCAUGGACAAAGGUUUUUUACCUGUGUUACUAAGGGCUCUUGGAGACUGACCGGUCUAAAGGUUUGCCAUGCCUUUAAAACAUGGUAUAGUAUAAAUUUUUAAGUCUCUGAGAGUUCUGAAAGAUUCAGGUGAAACCAUGUCUGUUUAAUCUGGUCCAGAUGUUUGCAAAAAAAAAUUUCUGUAAGAUUUAAGUUGAUGCAGCAUCAUCUCAGAUUAGUUAAUGGAAGUUUUAUACAAAUAGUUGAGUUAUGAGCGCGCUAUAUAAAUGGAUCCUUUCUUUAAAUACAAUACUAUAGUAGAUUAAAGUAAUGAAGUUAAUUAAGAAAAUGUACACAUAAGAAUCCCUAAAAUAAAUCUAAACUAAAAUUGGUAUACCUUCCAAUAAUAUGUUCUGAAUACAGCUGUUUAUUCUGUGUAAAUGGUGACUGUGAUAAUGUGUGAUAAGUGUGCAGUUUAACUUGAAAGUGGUUUAAUUUAUAUGUUGCUGUAUUGUUUUAAAUUAUAUGUGAAUCAGUUUGUCACAGUCUAGUGAUACUGAUAAGAAUGACAACCAAAUAACCUAGCAAAUAACUGUUUUAUUAGUUGUUGAAUACUAGCGUUUUGGCCAAGAAUAGUUGGAGAUUUGGAGGUGUUAGUUUAAGAUUGCUUUUAUAUUGUGUCUAUCUGUGUUUCCUAGGAAGGAGACAGAGUGUGUAGUUGUGUGCCCAUAAAUGUGAUUUCUGUAUUGGCAUAUCUGCUGGGUACCCAUUAUGUGUUUCUACAAAGAUAUUGUUUUAUGAGAUGACUAAUAUUACAUGGGAUGCUGAGUAUGAGUUAUAUGGUUUGAAAUGAAUUGGUGAUUAUGAGCUUAGUACUUCAGUAUGAUGUGCUAAAAUCUGGAACAAGGUGGAAGCUGAAAUGUUGGGAUUAUGGAAGAAUAAGCAGUCUAUAUUCACUGCUUUGGCAUAUAAGCAAGAUGCAAAGGAAGAGAUUGGUAAUAUGAUUUUUGUAAAGAAAUUUUACAAGUGUUGGAAGGAUGAGGCAGGUUUGAUGUCUGGAGAUGAUAUAGAUCUCUUUAAAAUACAGUCAUGCCUUGGUAAUAUGUUGCCACAGUAUUCUUUGCUUGUGAAACAAUUGAUCAGACUGGGCCAAUUUGGAUAGCUCAGAUUUUCUUACCAAGGUUAUAGAAAAGGAAAAUGCAGGUUGUUUUGAAUUAAGAAAAGGUUUAGGAAAGUAAGGUUGCUUAUUAUGCUCAGGGAUUGCAACAUAUGUCCAGCUACACAGGCUGAGAGCGAGGAUGGGAUGGAGCACAUAAAGCCCGCGGAAGGGGUGGUCAAAGAGGGGCAAGGGGAUGGAGACAGGGAAAUCAGGGUUAUAGGGGCAGGGGUAACCAAGGAGGAAUAGACAGGAACACUUGUUUCAACUGUGGCCACUGGAGGAAUGAGUGUCCACACCCCAGGAAACCCCACACACCCCACCAACCCCACAAUUCUCAAAAUAUGCCCGGUAGGCAAGAACAACACCAGACCCACUCCCAACACCACUGGCCAGCAUAUCGCUUAGUUCAGGACUUUAGAGCCCUGAAUAGUUUAAUUGUGCCCAUUUCACCCAUUGUCCCUGAUGUGACAUCCCUCAUUACAGCCAUUCCACAUGAUGCCACUUGCUUCACUGUCAUUGAUUUAAGUAAUGCAUUUUUUUUUCUAUACCUAUUGAUCAAGAGACACAGCUACUUAUGGUUUUUACUUUUUGAAGGCUGUCAGUUUACCUGGACACGCUUACCCAAGGCUAUGUGGAUUCCCCAGCUGUUUAUUCGUUGGUACUCCAACAUACUCUAAAAAACAUGGACCACCGGUCAUGGUUCCGUCCUUUUUGCAAAAUGUUGAUGAUUUGUUGUUAUGUAGCCCUAGCUAUGAGGCAAGCACUGUGGAUACUGUCAGCAACUGUGGGUCACAAGGUUGUUAAACACAAAAUGCAAUUGUGUAAAUCAAAGGUUGAAUACUUAGGUUUUGUUCUGGCUUUAGGCACCAGACAAUUGAGUCCAAAAUGUAUUGAGGUCAUUCAGAGGAUUCCUACACCCACUACUCGGAAGGAGUUGCUCACCUUCCUCGGCAUGAUUAAUUACUGCCACCAAUGGAUCCCUGAAUGCUCCCAUUAUGACUCAAUCCUAAGGGAGGCUGUACGUUCUGACAGCCCUGAAAAUGUCUGCUGGUCACCAGACAUGCUAGCUGCAUAUAUUGCCCUUACAGUUGUUAUUGUGCAAGCCCAGGCUUUAGGACUACCUGUGUAUUGUAAACCAUUUCAUUUGUAUGCUUGGGACAAUUGUAAAACCAUGGCCGCGGUCUGUGCACAAGAGCAAGGAGGCGGUAUGCGUCCCAUAGCAUUCUUUUCCAAAGUAGUUCAAGCUCCGGUACAGGGUAUGCCGGCGUGUCUCAGAGCAUUGAUAGCAUGUGCAAUGGCUGUUGAAACUGCUACUACUAUCACACUAGGGCAUCCUACAAUACUUCAUGCCAGUCACCAGGUCACUCAGCUGACAAAUCUCACCACACAACACAUGACAGCCCAGCGCUUCAGUGGUUAUGAGAUUCUUUUUUUAAAUACCCAGAAUCUGUCUUUUGGAUUAAACAAGGUUUAGAGAAAGAUCAGAAUGAUCUGUUCUCUAAAGAGGGGAGAAUAGGCAUACUUGAAGAAUAGGCAUACUUGAAGCAAGCUGAUUUAUUUUCAUCAGUCAGGCACAUAGCAAGCACCAUUCAAUUCCUCAUGAAUUCAUUUUAUAUUAGGAAUCUCAGGCAGCAUGUACAGUCUUUUGUAAGAUCGUGUGAACACUGCUCUUUUUACACACUUACAGAUUGAUUUUAUUCAUGUAUCCAAAAUUGGUAAGAAACAGCAAUACUUACUGGUCAUAGUUAAUCAGUUUAGUAGAUGGCAUGAGGCCUUUGUGACAUCUAGGGAAGAUGCUAGUGAAGAUUAUUGUUACUGAAAUUAUUCCCCGGUAUUGCUGCCCUCUGCAGAUUGGCUCUGAUAAUGGCCCGGUAUUUGCAAGUGGGGUUGCCCAGGAACUUGCUAAAUUCUUGCAAGUUACCUGGCAGUUUCAUAUACCCUAUCAUCCACAGAAUACAGGGGUAGUUGAAAGGAUGAAUAGGACUAUUAAGGAAAAGCCCAGAAUUUACCCAGGAACAUGGGUAAAUUGGACUAGAUAUCUACCAGCUAUUUUAGCUGAGAUAAGAAUAUAUCCCCACAAGGUGAAUUGUUGAUAAAACCGAAUGGUAUGUAUGACAAUGUUUCUUCGCAGUUUUCCCUUACCUUCACAGGAACCUACUCAUUCAAACCAGCCCGGUGACAAGGUGUAUAUCCGUCAGCUGAACAGGACCAAGAAAGGAGGAUACCCUUUUGGACCACCUGCUACUGUGAUUGCUGUAACCAGAACCGCUGUCCUCACAGAUUCCCAUGACAUCUGGAUUCACGCAUCCCGAGUGAAGCUGUGUCCAAAGAGGGGAACCAAGGAAGACAACACCACUCCUCGCUCGGAAACAGAAGAAUUUCUCCUCAGCGAAGCAUCAUGGCUUUUACACCAUAUCGUAGAUUGAGAGGAUCAUACGUACCUGAGACCAAGAUUAUGUUGUGCGCUAUGCUUUCUGGAGUUGUUAUACUCCCUCUGAUAUUGUUCCUUGAAUGCCAUUAUGAGUACAAGUCAAUGGCAAGUUUGAAACCUGUUUGUUUCUGGAAAAAGACUCUGACAUGAUGAACAAUUCUUCAAUACCCCCAGCCCAAUUAGGCCUUAGCCCCUCAUCUAGCAUUCGUCACACACGCCCCCUCAAGAACCUUUCUCCACCACCUUUCUAUCAGCAUGUAAUAUGCAAUCAUUCAUUCACUGAACGCAUUUGGAUGAAUUGGACAAAUAGUAACCCUUAUAAGUACCAGUUACCCAUAUGAAAUGUGUCUACAGCUAAUGAAACCGAUGCAUUAUGUUUGUUUGAAGGUUCACAGAAAAUUGUUAGAUCUUAUAACGCAGAAAUGUGCACAGUUAAGGUUGCAUAUCAAUGUAAAUAGACAGGCCUUAUUACUUUUAAUAAUGAUUAUAUAACUGGUAUCAUUAAUUGGAAAAAGGGGACAAAUGUUAGUCAUUAUGAACGACACUACAAUUGAGAACUAUACACUACCUUAUAUUUUUACACCUUAUUACUGUCCUUCAUCCACUAUCAUAGAACCAAAAGUCAACCACGACACACACACACCUAUUCCAUCCACAUGUGUUAAUACAACUGCCUUCUUACAAGCUGUACAUGUGUCAUUAAAAGUCACUACUCUUGUUGUAACAUUAUGUAACACAACAAACAAAAGGCAGAAAAGGGAAUGGUAUGACACACUGUUAGAUGUUGCUGGAACCACUAUGGGUAUACUAAAUAGUUAUAGAUAUGGAGACCCUCAAGAAUAAGUUAAACACAGCCAGCAUGCAUAUAGGGACUGGUUUUCAUGCUACUGCAAAUUGGGCUCCAAUUGUUGUUAAAUCACAGGUUAUAGGAUUGGAUUUAGAUAAAUCAAUGUAUAAUUAUUUAGAUAAUUUAACUGUUGCAACUAUGAAAUUCACUACAGGUCUAAGUAACUGGAGUACCUGUGCCAUCAGGUAUUUAUGGAUACAACAACAAGGAUUGGCAUUAGAAAACACACUAAUGAUUCCUAAACUAGAGAAGAUUAGAGGAAUGUGUAACCUCACAGAUAAUGAUUGGUUACUUCUAAAACCCCAAUCCAGUAAAUGCAAUGGAUGGUUAACUGGUAAUGUUUCACAUUUUUCAUGCUCUUGCUAUUUUACAUUAUAUCAUACAUCAUCAAAGGAUGUUAAAUUAGCUUGUCAAUUUAACACAUUACCAGUACCAGUUUAUGAUCUUUUUGCCAAGAAUUUAACCUGGUGGGCACCCACAUACACAGGGGACUAUAUUUUUCCCAAAGCCACACAUAUCCUAAAAGGAGAACUCCUUAAGGUGAGUUUACAAAUUCAGAAUGAUUUAGCCCAUCAUUGGUACAAUGCUUUACUGGUUGGUCCCCUACUGGAUCUCAGAUAAUGAAAUCAUUCUUCUAUCCUUUUGUUAUUAUAGUCCUGAUUUUAUUGUGUAUGAUUUUAUAUAACUGCCAUCUUACUUGUACAUUGAGGAAGAGAGUACAGAAAUGAAUCCAUAAUGCAGAACAGAAACAAUUAGAAAUUCUCCUCUCUGCCACUGUAGAGUAUCAACCCAUCUUUAAACUGGGCCUUAGGAAUUACCACAUGGGAAUCGAGGUGAAGAAAUUAAUGAAAGUCCCGCAGGGAGUGACUAGCACCCCUGAAAAUACCAUGUGGAAGUUUCUCUGUCCUGGUAAGAUUUUAUCGAUAAGAUGAGCAAUUGUUUUAUUGCUCAAAGAGGGGAAUGUAAGAAUAUUAAAUAGUUAACUUGUUUAUAUGUAUUUUAUGCUUUUAUAAGGUUUAUAAAAUGAUUAUUGCUGACUGAAGGGAUAUUGAAUACUUAAAGUCAAUAUGCUGACUGUGACAGACUAAGGUAUUUCUUCUAUAGGAUGUAAGACAAUGCUAAAUUUCAGGAUGUCUUGCCCAUUCCGAUUUUAAGGAUAUUCUUUUCCAGACGUAUGCAAAAGCUUAUCUUUCCAUUGUCAGAAUAACGUAAUACAAGGAAGUAAUAAAUCUUAUAGUCUGUACUGUAUUUGCAUAUACCAUGGCUAAUGUAAGCAAACUAUGUAUAAAAGCCAGCUCUGGAAUACACUCAUUUGAGAGUCUUGUAAAGCUGUUGUCCGUGUGUUAUUGCUUACAAAUGAUUCUCCAUCAACAUUGAUUAUGGUGACCGAGGGAUCGAGAACCGAGGGGAUUAGAGUCCAUUACAACAUUAACCCUUUCAGAGGGUGUUUCAUAUUAUUAAGCAGAGCACCAUUUUCAUGCAAUAUGGGGAAGAAAAAUGAUCUCUCUGCUGCUGAAAAGAGUGAAAUAUUUCAAUAAUAUGUAUGUGUAGACCACCCAGGUGCAGCAAUAUAUACAAAAUAAAGGUAAUUACUUCACUUAUAUGUCAGGGUGUAACAAAAGGAUUCCUCAAAAUCCUCAAAAGUCAAAUAUAAAAUAUAAGAUACACCUAAAAGAUAAAGGCAGAGAUAAAAUUCAUAGGGUAACACUAUGUGAUGAAAAGUGGCCCCUUGGUAAUAAUAAUACACUCACAAGAUGUACGGAUAUUAUGAGCCCAUCAAGGUUCCUUUAAGUACUCAGCUACAGACGUCCUCAAUGUCCCAGGAUACAUGUCAAAAAGAAAAAACUGGACAUAGUACAGUAGUGCUUAAAAUGUAAAAAAGACACUUUAGUUAAACACACUUACAGGAAGUGAAAGAUAAAAAUGCUCAUCAAUAAGUCUCUGUGUCCCUCUGUUUCAGCUGGAUAGGAGACAGGAAUAAGCAGCAAUACAAAGCUCAACGCAUUUCGUCUCUUAAUAUAGACUUCCUCAGGAGAAAAUGAAUUAAAAUACAAUUGUAGCAGCAAAGAAUAAACAUUACAAAGUAUAAAAUGUCCAAAGUUCCUUUUAAAGAUCCCCCCGUCUUGUUUCCAUUGGUUCCGCCAAUCAGGGACACUGAGGUCACCUGUCCGCAGUUUCUUCAUUAACUUGUGGCCAUAUAUGGACUUCCGUUUUUCUUCGUGGAACGCAUAUGCGUUCCACCUAUCGGCUGUUCAAGAAGACGUCAUCGGUCUGUGCGUGGAAUGGGGAAAAUCUCAAGACACAAAGCUGGAUAUGAAAAAAUAAAUGUAUUGAACAAAGUUACACACAGUUACCAGAUAAUAAAAAUAUAUUGAGUUUGGUAAAACAAGCCAUAUGUGUAAAGUAAAUUACAUCUGAUAUGCAUUGGAUAUACAUUGUAGAGCACUUCUCACAGAGAGCAGUGAUUAAGGAUAUCACAAGCUAUAUAGGUGCCAAUUCAAAAAAAUUCUAAAAAAAUGAAAAGGAAAAAAUAAAUGAAUGUAAAAAAAUAAUGAAUAUGAAUAAAUAAAUAAAUAAAUAAAUAAAUAAAAUAAGGAUACAAUUAAUAUAGAAAUAAGAAUGAAAAUGAAACUAAAAAUAAAUAUAAAAAUAAAAAUAAAUGUAAAUAUAAAAAAAGAUGAAAAAAAAAUGAAGAUGAAAAAAAUAUAAAUAAAAUUUAAAUUAAAAUAAAAAAUAAAUAUAAAAUAAAAUAAAAAUAAUAAUAAUAAUAAUAAUAAUGAUUAAAAAAAUAAAAAUAAAAAUAUAAUAAUAAUAUAAUAAUAAUAAAGAAUAAUAAUUAAAGAAAACAAAUCAAAUCAAAAUCCACAUUCAACCCGAACGGUUUAAGUGUUUUAAGCUUGUGAAUCCAAAAUCCUUCCCUCUGUCUGAGUCUCAUGACAAUAUCACCUCCCCUUACACCCAGUGAUAUUUGUUCUAUUACGACCCAAGAGAAAACAUGUGUGUCAAAAAGCGGACACCUUUUACAAUGAACUGGAACAGAGUGAUUUAACAUCCCUUUAUGGAUGUUAUUCCUAUGUCCCAGAAAGCGUACCUUAGCUUUCCUCACUGUCCUCCCAACAUAUUGUGCUCCACAUCCACACGUGAGGAGAUACACAAUGUGUGUGGAGGAACAUGUGACUUGUCCGUGAAUUUUAAAUUCCUCUUUGGUAACAGAGCUAUAAAAGGAAAACAUGUGGAGGGGCUGUCCUCUACAUGCCUUGCAUGUUCCACAGGUGUGGAACCCCUUAAAGUUAUUAGUUUGAACAUGAGUCUUCUUCUGAAAAAGACUUGGUGUAAGAAAACUUGAAAGGUUACUUCAUUUUCUAUAGAUGAUUUUAGGGUGUUUCGGGAGCUGAGGACCUAUGUAUUCAUCGUACUUAAGAAUGUUCCAAUAUUUUUUAAAUAUUUUAUUAAUGGCAAAGGUUUUAGAAUUGUAUUGAGUGUUAAAUGAAAAUUCAAAAGAUCUAUCCGAGUUAUUAGUUGAUUUAACUUUAUUCAUCAAAAGAUCUCCUCUUUUGAUAUUCCCAAUUCUUUUGACUUCUAGAUCUAAUGUUCCUCUCUCGUACCCCUUCUCUACAAAUUUUGUGGUUAGGAUUUCAGCUUGUUCCAUAUAAGUACUUUUAUUGGAACAAUUGCGUCUCAGUCGAGUAUAUUGGCUCUUAGGGACCCCUGCUAACCAUCUCGGAUGAUGUCCGCUCUUGGAUUCAAUAAAACUAUUAGUAUCAGUGGGCUUAAAGUAAGUUUUAGUUUAGAUCUGAGAAUCUUCAAUGAAAAUGGUCAGAUCCAAAAAAUCGAUGGAAAUUGAACCGAAUACUGGGCUGAAAAUUAAAGAGAGGAUAUUAUCAUUAAGAUACCAGAAGAAGUCAAGUAGUUGUUCUUCAGACCCCUUCCAUAUGACAAGGAUGUCGUCUAUAUAACGACGCCAGAGCACCAGGUUUGCCGCAUAUGGAUUAUUGUCCCAAAUGGACUUACGUUCCUAAAAAUCCAUAAAGAUGUUGGCAUAACUUGGGGCAAACCUGGUGCCCAUGGCUGUUCCCUUGAUCUGCAGGAAGUACUCAUCAUUGAACAUGAAAAAAAUAUGAGUUAAUAUAAAUUCAAUGGCUUCUAAUAGAAACCCUGCAAAUGCUUGGUUUAAAGAUGUAUCUCUGUCUAGAUUAUCUUUGACAGCUUGUAUACCAAAUUGAUGAUCGAUCACUGUGUACAAUGAGCCUACAUCUAAGGAUGCCCACAUAUAAUCGUCAUGCCAUUCAAUGGAGUCCAACUCCUGCAGAAGGUGUUUAGUAUCUUUCAAGUAGGAUUGGGCUGAUUGAGCAUGUACUUGUAAGGAAUGAUCAAUAAACUGGGAUAGGUUAGAUGUUAGUGAAUUAAUACCACUAAUAAUGGGUCUACCUGGUGGAUUAACUUUGCAUUUGUGUACUUUAGGCAAGAAAUAAAAGGUCGGAAUCCUGGGAUUUUCCUGAUAAAGAAACUGGUAGAUCCCGGUAUCUAUUACUUCUUGUUGGACUGCUUUCUACAAUAAGGUCUUCAAUUGAAAUUUGAAAGCCUCAUUGGGAUUCUUAGAGAGUCUAGUGUACAUAUUUGUAUCCCCCAAUAAUCUAUAAAAUUCCCCCAAAUAAAAUUCGACGGUCAUCACAACAAUGCCCCCCACUUGUCAGCAUUUUUAAUUAUGAUAUCGUCCCUCUUUUUUAAGUCAUUAAGAGUCUGUACCUCAUGCUUAGACAUAUUAUUACAAUAUUCCUUCUUGUUGGUUAUAUUUUCGAGGUCUGACAUCACCAUCUUAUUAAAAGUCUCUAUUUGAACCCCUUUGUCAUAAGGGCAAAAAGUUGACCGGGGAUUACAUUUCUUAAGAGAAUCCUGAUCAGACGUGUAGUCAUAUUCUCCUCUUAAAGGUUCUUGCAAUUGUUUCUUAAUGAAGAACCUUUUGAGGCUUAAUUUUCUAACCUGGUGCUCUGGCGUCGUUAUAUAGACGACAUCCUUGUCAUAUGGAAGGGGUCUGAAGAACAACUACUUGACUUCUUCUGGUAUCUUAAUGAUAAUACCCUCUCUUUAAUUUUCAGCCCAGUAUUCAGUUCUAUUUCCAUCGAUUUUUUGGAUCUGCCCAUUUUCAUUGAAGAUUCUCAGAUCUUAACUAAAACUUACUUUAAGCCCACUGAUACUAAUAGUUUUAUUGAAUCCAAGAGUGGACAUCAUCCGAGAUGGUUAGCAGGGGUCCCUAAGAGCCAAUAUACUCGACUCAGAUGCAAUUGUUCCAAUAAAAGUACUUAUAUGGAACAAGCUGAAAUCCUAACCACAAAAUUUGUAGAGAAGGGGUACGAGAGAGGAUCAUUAGACUUAGAAGUCAAAAUAAUUGGGAAUAUCAAAAGAGGAGAUCUUUUGAUGAAUAAAGUGAAAUCAACUAAUAACUUGGAUAGAUCUUUUGAAUAUUAAUUUAACACUCAAUACAAUUCUCAAAUCUUUGCCAUUAAUAAAAUAUUUAAAACAUAUUGGAACAUUCUUAAGUACGAUGAAUACAUAGGUCCUCAACUCCUGAAACACCCUAAAAUCAUCUAUAGAAAAUGAAGUAACCUUUCAAGUUUUCUUACACCAAGUCUUUUUCAGAAGAAGACUCAUGUUCAAACUAAUAACUUUAAGGGGUUCCACACCUGUGGAACAUGCAAGGCAUGUAGAGGACAGCCCCUCCACACGUAUUCCUUUUCUAGCUCUGUUACCAAAGAGGAAUUUAAAAUUCAGGGACAAGUCACAAGUUCCUCCACACACGUUGUGUAUCUCCUCACGUGUGGAUGUGGGGCACAAUAUGUUGGGAGGACAGUGAGGAAAGCUAAGGUACGCUUUCUGGAACAUAAGAAUAACAUCCAUAAAGGGAUGUUAAAUCACUCUGUUCCAGUUCAUUGUAAUCGGUGUCCGCUUUUUGACACACAUGUUUUCUCUUGGGUGGUAAUAGAACAAAUAUCACUGGGUGUAAGGGGAGGUGAUAUUGUCAUGAACCUCAGACAGAGGGAAGGAUUUUGGAUUCACAAGCUUAAAACACUUCAACCGUUCGGGUUGAAUGUGGAUUUUGAUUUGAUUUGUUUUCUUUAAUUAUUAUUCUUUAUUAUUAAAUUAUUAUUAUAUUUUUAUUUAUUUUUAUUUAUUUUUAUUAUUAUUAUUAUUAUUAUUAUUAUUUUUAUUUUAUAUUUAUUUUUAAUUUUAUUUGUAAUUUUAUUUUUUAUCUUCAUUUUUAUUUUUUUAUCUUCAUUUAUAUUUACAUUUAUUUUUAUUCUUUUUAUUUUUAUAUUUAUUUUUAUUUUUAUUUUCAUUCUUAUUUCUAUAUUUAUUUUAUUCUUAUUUUAUUUAUUUAUUUAUUCAUAUUCAUUAUUUUUUCACAUUCAUUUCUUUUUUCCUUUUCAUUUUUUUAGAAUUUUUCAAAUUGGCACCUACCGUAUAUACUCGUGUAUAAGUCGAUCUCAUGUAUAUGUCGAGUGCAGUUUUGUGACCAACAACUGUGAAAUAUGCUAUGCCUCGUGGAUAAGUCGAGGGUAAAACUUGGGGCUAUGAAAUUCUGUGAUUUUUAUAAUUAUAUACACACAUACUCAUACAAACACACACUCUGCAAUAUAUACACACACACUCAUACAAACACACACUCUGCAUUAUAUACACACACACUCAUACAAACACACACUCUGCAUUAUACACACACACUCAUACAAACACACACACUCUACAUUAUAUACACACACUCUGUGUAUAUAAUGCAGAGUGUGUGUUUGUGUAGUGUGUGUGAACUGGGUGGGGGGAGGGCAUUUUUAUUAUUUAAAUUUUUUUUAUUUUAAUAUUAUUAUUUUUUUAUUUAAAAAAUUUUUUUGUCCCCCCUCCCUGCUUGUUAACUGGUCAGGGAGGGGGGCUAUCUUAAUCCCUGGUGGUCCAGUGGCAUGGGCUGUGAAGUGGGGGGGGGGGGCCAGCAGGAAGCAUUUACUUACCUUUCCUGCAGCUCCUGUCAGCUCCCUUCUCCUCCGUUUCGGUCAGCUCCACUGUAAGUCUCGCGGUCUGGUUGCCGCGCGGAUCGUUGCCAUGGCUCUGACGGCUGCGGCUCUCUAAGUUGCCAUAAUACAGACAGUGACUCGAGUAUAAGUCGAGUGGGGAUUUUUAAUCACAAAAAAUGUGCUGAAAAACUAGACUUAUACUCGAGUAUAUACUGUAUAUAGCUUGUGAUAUCCCUAAUCACUCCUCUCUGUGAGAAGUGCUCUACAAUGUAUAUCCAAUGCAUAUCAGAUGUAAUUUACUUUACACAUAUGGAUUGUUUUACCAUACUCAAUAUAUUUUUAUCUGGUAACUGUGUGUAACUUUGUUCAAUGCAUUUAGUUUUUCAUAUUCAGCUUUGUGUCUUGAGAUUUUCCCCGUUCAGCUGAAGUGGUGAAGUGGAACGCAUAUGCGUUCCAAGCGCAGACCGAUGACGUCUAUUUGAACCGCCGAUAGGUGGAACGCAUAUGCGUUCCACGAAGAAAAACAGAAGUCCAUAUAUGGCCACAAGUUAAUGAAGAAACUGCGGACAGGUGACCUCAGUGUCCCUGAUUGGCGGAACCAACGGAAACAAGACGGGGGGAUCUUUCAAAGGAACUUUGGACAUUUGAUACUUUGUAAUGUUUAUUCUUUGCUGCUACAAUUGUAUUUUAAUUCAUUUUCUCCUGAGGAAGUCUAUAUUAAGAGACGAAAAGCGUUGAGCUUUGUAUUGCUGCUUAUUCCUGUCUCCUAUCCAGCUGAAACAGAGGGACACAGAGACUUAUUGAUGGGCAUUUUUAUCUUUCACUUCUUGUAAGUGUGUUUAAUUAAAGUGUCUUUUUACAUUUUAAGCACUACUGUACUAUGUCCAGUUUUUUCUUUUUGACAUGUAUCUUGGGACAUUGAGGACGUCUGUAGCUGAGUACUUAAAGGAACCUUGAUGGGCUCAUAAUAUCCGUACAUCGUGUGAGUGUAUUAUUAUUACUAAGGGGCCACUUUUCAUCAUAUAGUGUUACCCUAUAAAAAAUUUUUCUCUGCCUUUAUCUUUUAGGUGUAUCUUAUAUUUUAUAUUUGAAAUAGUUCAAUGCCUUGGACGAGGUAUGAAAACAUUAGAUAUUUCACGAAAACGUAAGCGUGAUCAUUGCACUAUUAAGAGAUUUGUGGCUGGUUUAGAGCACAGAUGGGUUUGUGCAGAUAAAGGCACAUUGAGGAAGAUUUCUGCCAGAUCCAUGCAUCGGAUCAAGAGAGCAUCUGCUAAAAUACCAUUACAUAGCAGUAAACAGAUAUUUGAAGCUGCUGGUGCCUCUGGAGUCCCACGGACAUCAAGGUGUAGAGUCCUCCAGAGUCUUGCAACUGUGCAUAAACCUACUAUUCGGCCACCACUAACCAAUGCUCACAAGCAGAAACGGCUGCAUUGGGCAGAAAAAUGCAUGAAGACUAAUUUUCAACCCUGGAUGGCCCAGAUGGAUGGAGUAGUGGAUGGUUGGUGGACGGCCACCCUGUUCCAACAAGGCUGCGACGUCAGCAAGGAAAAUGGUGGUGGAGUCAUGUUUUGGGCCAGAAUCAUGUAAAGAGAGCUGGUCGGCCCCUUUAGGGUCACCAAAGGUGUAAAGAUGACCUCUGCAAAGUAAGUGGAGUUUCUGACUGACCACUUUCUUCCCUGGUACUGAAGGAAGAACUAUGAUUUCCGUAAUAAAAUCAUCUUCAUGCAUGACAAUACACCAUCUCAUGCUGCAAAGAAUACCUCUACAUCAAUGGCUGCUAUGGGGAUAAAAGGAGAGAAAGCCUUGAUCCUCCCCUGUCCUCAAUCCUAUUAAGAACCUUGGAGCAACCUCAAGCAAAAGAUGAGGGUGGUAGGCAGUUUACAGCCAAACAGCAGCUCUGGGAGGCUAUUCUGACAUCUUGUAAACAAAUUCAAGCAGAAACUGUCCAAAAACUGGAGGGAAGCAGGGGUCCCUCCUGCACUACCUGGAUGAUUUCUUGUUGCACGUCUGUGCUCUGCUGCUGCGGGUCCUUGGGCAAGUGUUUCAGCAGUUCGGUGGCCCAUUACAAAAUCGUGGGUCCGAUUACAUGCCUUAGUUUCCUGGGCAUCGAGAUCGAUUCGGGUGCCGGAGAAUGUUGGUUUCCCCAAGAUAAGGUUCUGGACCUCCGACAGGCAGUGUCACUGGACGCUGGGGUGGCGUAAGAUCCAACUGUGCUGCCUGCAAUCUCUUCUGGGUAAGGUAAAUUUUGCUUGUCGGAUUUUGCCCAUGGGACGUAUCUUUAACAGGUGCUUGGUGGCGUCGACGUCUGGGGUCGUUCGCCCUCAGCACUUUAUUCGGCUUAUGCGGCCAUUGCGAGCUGACUUGGCUGUCUGGGAUUCCUCCUUGGCCUCUUAUAUUGGUAGGACUUACUGGCAAGCUCCGGAGGUUUCUAAUGCUUACCUCCACCUGUUUACCGAUACGGCUGGCCCGGUGGGAUUUGGGGCCAUUCUGGGCUCGAAAUGGUGUGAUGACUUGUGGCCAGAGGCCUGGCAUGCGGCAGGGCUCACGUGGAACUUGGCUUUUCUGUAGCUCUUCCCCAUUCCGUGGCUUUGGAGGUGUGGGGUCCCCUACUCGAGGACACACAGGUGGUUUUUCAUUGCGACAAUUUGGGGAUGGUGCAGGCUAUUAAUCAAUUAACUGCUUCUUCUCCCCCGGUGGUACACUUGCUGCGGCACUUGAUUCUUCGCUGUUUGGGGCUUAAUGUGUCUUGUAGGGCUGUACAUAUCCCGGGGGCUCGCAAUGUGAUGGCUGAUGCUCUCUCUCAUCCACAGUGGGCCGCAUUUUGGGCGGUGGCUCCGCAAGCCGAAGUGCCCAGUGGAGAUGUGGUCACUUGGUCUAACAGACUGAGGGAGUUGGUCCGUGGGUCGGUCUCAGCGGCCACAUGGGCCAGCUAUAACAAGGUGUGGAGGGAAUGGGAUGGGUGGGAGCUGUCCCUUGGGGGUUUCCAGGACUCGCCCGUUCGCCUGCAAGGUCUGGUACGUCUCCUUGGGGCGUGGGAGGCUGCGGGUUUGUCCUCUCUGCGAUUUCUUCACACUUUGCGGGGCACAGCUUCCUGUUCAAGUUGCAGGGUUGGGAAGACGAUACCAAAGCAUUUAUAGUCUUCUAGGCCCUUAAGGGUUUGCGGCAGGGGUUGUCCUCACGGGACUCGAGGUGUCCUGUCUCAGGCAUCCUAUUGGCUAGACUGUGUGAUUCCUUACAUAGGGUUUGCCAUUCAGAGUUUGAGGCCCAUCUGUUUCAGCUGGCUUUUUCCCUGGUGCUCUUUUUAGCCAUGUGGAUUGGGAAACUGGUGUGCUCCAGUCGUCAGCAGGUGGUGGGGGGUGCUAUUUGGUGAUGUUACUUGCACAGCUGAUCAGAUUUCCUUCAGGAUUCGCCGCUCAAAGACUGAUGUCUUUGGGAGGGGUAAGUGGGUCCAACUGGGGGCUGUGCCAGGUUCCGGCAUUUGUCCCGUUUUUUCCUUUGGAGAAUAUUGUUCCUUAUGCCCAGCUUCUCCUGCCCUCCCCCUUUUGGUGCAUGAGGAUGGUAGCUUUCUUCCAGUUUAUUAGGGUGUUCCAUUUGGGGCUCAAAUUUCUGGGUAUUGAUGGCAGGGAGUUCGGGGGGCACUCGUUUCAUAUAGGGGCGGCUACUGAGGCCUCUAACCUUGGCAUUCCUGUGCAGGUGGUCCAAAUAAUUGGGUGGUGGGAGUCAGGGCGUUAUGUUUCCUAUGUUCGCCCAGCUGGUCUCCUGACUUGAUUUCUCUCCACAGAUUUAAUUCCCCCCCCCCAGGAUUUGGAUCACGGGACACUGCUAUGUCUAUUGGGUCAGGCAGCGUGCGGCAGCCUGGGCUGGAGGCGAGCAGUUGGGUUUUGCACCUUCCGAAGCGUAGGUUCGGUGGUUUGGUACGAAAGCAUGAGAUGGGUGCGGCUCCUCCCUGACGUGGUUCAGUUGCCCCGCCUCCUGGGGGUUCUGAGUGUCCUGGUGAUCCAUCUGGGGGGAAAUGACCUGGGUUCGGUGCCCAUAUGGGAUUUAGUAUCGGCCGUUAAACUGGACUAAUUCUAUUUCCCACUGUAUGCCUGGUUUGGUGUGAGGUUAUUACAUUUUCAUUAUGAUUACAGCUAUGUGUCUUGAUUUUUCAAGUUUCAUUAAUUUUUUUUUCAUUAUUGUUUCUUUUCCAAAAUUCUGCAAUUGUUUUUCUUGCUGGCAUACUAUGUUUGUUCAGAUAACCAUGUUGGUGAAACGCAAAAUUACUUUUGUAUUUUCAUGUAACAGUGUGGAAAUCUUGUUAAUAGAAAUUGUCAAUUAAAAAAAAUAAUCUAAUGGGGGGCGGAGCCUAACUGUCAAUGGAGUAAGACGUGUGUUGCCUCAGCUCUCUCACCCCGGGCACAAAAUCCGCAUCCAUCAGCCUCCACUAAGGUGCCAAAACGCGACGAAACUACCCACAGACAACGACCACACUCACCCACAUGGGGGGCUCUAAAAAGAAAAGGGAGUCAACCCCAUCAGUAGCCAUGAUGUUCCGAACAAAAGAAGACAGGCAGCCAUCUUGGGCCCAAAGCCAAGAAAACUCCGGCGCAGAAUCAGAAGAGAGCGAGCACGAGAGCACCCACGCGUCACCCUUAACUCAAGAAGUCCUUCGGAAAAUGCUGAAGGAAACUUCGGCAGACAUCAAGGCCUAUACCACAGCAGCCCUCGAAAAACAAAUAGCAGGCCUCAAAAGUGACAUCGAGGCGCUGGCCUCACGCACCGGUGACACCGAACGCACGCUUCAAGAAAUACAAACAAAGGCGGCGGACCAUGGCAGGGACAUGGGGAUACUAAAAGACAGAAUCCUAUUUCUGGAGGACGGAAUGGAAGACCUAAAUAAUAGAUCCCGGCGGCAAAACAUACGCAUAAGAGGCCUAGCAGAAUCUGUCAUGCCGGAGGCUAUACUCCCCACCAUCACAGCAAUGUUCCAGUCCCUGCUGCCGGACAACCCAGGGCAAACCAUCUAUAUCGAAAGGGCCCACAGGGCACUGAGACCCCCCUUCCCCAACUCAAAUACACCAAGGGACGUCAUCAUUAAAUUGCUACACUUCCCGGUAAAAGAGCAGCUCAUGAAGGCAGCCAGAGAUCGUCCACCAGUCUACCAGGGGCAACAGCUUCAAUUCUACCAGGACUUGGCCCCCUCAACACUAAGAAAACGGCGGGAGCUGAAGCCCCUAACUACAGCUCUGCUUGAGGCCGGCUGGCGCUACACCUGGGGGCACCCCUUUCGCAUAACGGUUAAAAAAGGGGACCAAACUUACUCCCUUCACCAAGUCUCAGAUAUGCGAGACUUCGCGACUCACCUGGGGAUACAACUGCGGUACCCGACGGCGGACCCUCAACUCACCAUCAACGAAAGCUCAGGCCGCCGAAAUGAUUCCCGCGCAAACAUGGCGCGCACGCAGCCGAAGAAGAAAGCCUCGACGGCCUUGCAAGAGCACCCACACAGGGACACCUGAACGGUAGCGCUCGAUGCACACAGGACACUACCUUAAACCAAGUCCGAAUUGAGGCAUUUACGCCAAAAACCGGGCUCACGGACGUUAAAAUCACGGCACAGCCGGUAGUAUAUUUAUAUGUUGUUAUAUGAUGUUAUGCCCCAAUAGGGGGUUAAUGAAUGGUUAAUGUUUAUGCUAGACCAAUGCAGUAAGUUUGCCACUACAGGGAACACAUAAGGCUCGGGGGGAUGGGGGGGAGGUGGGCACCACCCCAACAAAACGCGGAACAGCAUACCCUCUUAGGGGGCCAUCAAGGGAAAGGACCCCCACACUGUGACCAAAGCACUUACACCCUAAAAGAAUAGCCGGAUAGCCGGAAACAUGCACCUCUAAAAUGAAGUCACACUGACAGGCAACAGUCAAAGCUAAAAAGUUGCAAGGCGCACAAACGCAGGGUACACCCUUCAAGCUAUGAGACCAGCACCCGCAAAAUGCAGGGCAAACAACCUCCCUAAACCUAGCACCAAAACUAACCGCAACAAUGGACUCCAGCAGCAACCCCACAUCAAGUACAAGAUGUGCAGACUACCGAGAACAGUUAGCACACACACUAUGCUCUAUCAUGCUGACAAGUAACCCAGAGACAGAUAGACAGAACAAAGUCCACAUAGAUUACACCUGAGACUCAGGGGGCACUGAACCCUACAAACAGGGGAACGCUGGGUAUCGGGCAGAGGGCAUGGGACACAAGGUAACACCAACUCCCUCUAAAUACCCACCCGAAGCCCGGAUCCCCAUAACACUUCACAGAAUAGCGGGGGCCACAACACAGGCACUAGCAUGAAACCCAGAUUAAACACUAGAGUUUAAACUCAGGCCCUGCAAACGGCACCCGCAAACAACCACCGAUGCCCGGAGGGUCUCAAGCCCUAAAGGCAGAAAAGGGAGGGGGCCUCACAGCCAAACACAACGUCAGGAAACCUCACACUACACCAACCAGAGUUUAAGGCCCAAGAUUACUCUCCCAAAAAGAAAACAAGGGGUAACCGAGAAAGGCACGAAAAACCCCACUAAACAGAGGAAACCCCCAAAAACAACUAAACCCGGAAUACAACACGCACACAACAUAUCCGGGGAAAACAGGGGCCAGACAGAUGGGGGACAAGGGGAACCGUCGAAAGUCUCUAGCACACACUGAGCGAGGCCCCCCACCGCAACCCGUACCGACCUAAAACACCCACCCUGGGCACACGAUGCAAGGCCACCACGAGCCAAGGUUACAGUUGAAGUUUAUGGAUUAUUGAUAACAUGUUGUUUAUUUCUGUUAAAGUUACGACACAAGUGUCACACCACCUCCCCCAAAAGGACCCUGGCAGCCUGAUGACAGAACACCAACCCACAUACUGGACCACAAAGGCCGAAAGACGCGGACAGGUCAGUCAACAAUAUACACCAGCCUCGACUACAAACACGUCACAAUGCACGCAAACACACAAGCAUCAUACUGCCGCAAUACAACCACACACAAGGCGACCAACACCAGCAGAACAAAGACAAGCACCGAAUUCUACCAAGAACAAAACCCCACACUCGGACACUAGCAUAACAAACACCACACUGGACAUCUCAGCAGCACACCAACAAACGCAAAAGCCCCAGAUCUACACCAAGCAUACAAACUCUAGAAACGACCUGGUAACGGCACAGAGCAAAACCACAUAAAACCCCUCCAAAAGCACCGCAUCCUCGGAGUAGACACCAGACACCCGGGGUAGAGGAGAGAGCGUCACACAGUCACUCUUCUUUCCCCCCCACAAACUCCAUCGACCACAUACCACUACCCACAUUUGAAACACACCAAAACAUAUAAGCACCCACACUCUAACACACACUAAAUUCGCCCACCCUCGAACGCGACUCACACCGCCCACCAGACGCCUGGAAACUGACCUGUAAGACCAGGCCCCACCUGACACUCCCACCUACCAGUUCUACUGGUACAACUCAGUCCACACCACACACACACCUCCUCACAUCGGCACUUCUCACCAUCACCCCACCCCAAUCCCCCCACCCUACCCACAACCCCCCCACACACCACAGACUAACGCAACCGCAGACAAGAAGACAACGCGCACGCAAAGGCUCGCGUCACACCAACCAGCAUGCCAGCCACUCUGACCUGCCUAUCAAUCAACUGCAAAGGCCUGAACAGCCCCGCAAAAAGACACCAGCUUAUGAGAUGGGCAAAUAGAACUAAAGCAGACGUACUCCUCUUACAGGAAACACACUUCACGCAAACCAAACAGUUCCCUCUCCUGAGCCGACACUAUAGAGUAAACCACUUCGCCAGCUCUCCACAAGAGAAACAUAACGGGGUAGCCAUCGUUCUACGGAAAUCAUGCCCCCUCUCCAUACAACGGACGGUAGCGGACCCACAAGGCCGAUUCCUCACAGUCGCAGGCAAGAUAGGCACACGCUCCUACGCUAUCACUACUCUGUACGCACCAAAUACCCCAAGUGGCUCAUUCUGGCAGACAAUACAAGCACACCUAGCUCUCUUUCCCUCCCACCACUCCAUAAUAGGCGGCGACUUUAACGCUACCCUAUCACCCACGGUAGACAGACGCCGUUCGCAUCCAUAUAGGCAACGAAGACAACCAACAGCAAAAGCAGAUAAACUCUUUUCGGCCUUCAUCUCCCGCACACGCCUCAUAGAUGCAUGGAGAGCCCAGAACCCCACAACCCUAGACUACACCUUCUUUUCGCACCCACACCAAUCACACUCCCGUAUAGAUCUUUUUCUCACAUCACCAUCACUGGCGCCUAUGACUAAAAACACAUCAAUAGGCCCCAUCACAUGGUCGGACCAUGCUGAAAUAACACUGACCAUUAACCUGUCAGGAACGGCGAGACCCUGGACAUGGCGCCUAAACCCACACCUCCUACACAAUCCACUAAUCAAACAAACGAUUGACAAAUCCAUAACAGACUACUUCCAAAUCAACAAAGGCACAGCAACCUCCGAAGGGAACCUAUGGGCAGCACACAAAGCGGUAAUCAGGGGAGCCUUAAUCAAUCAAGCAACGAUACACAAAAAGAAGCAGGUGGCCCUCCUCGAACAAACACUGCAGACCCUAAGAACCCUGGAGGCAAAACAUAAAAUAGCACCAACACAAGAGCUCAAUGAGCAAAUCUUAACAUGCCAAAACAAGAUUAAAGAACACAUGGCGAAAGAUUCAACCAAAGCAUUACUCUGGACAAAACAGCUAUAUUACGACAAGGCUAACAAAGCUGACACGCUACUUGCCCGCAGACUCAAACAAAGAAGCGAAAAUAAACGGAUACACAAAAUAACCACCCCGAGAGGGGAAACCACAGAGGAUCCAGAGAGAAUAGCCAGAGUCUUUCAAGACUACUUCAGUACCCUAUACGACCACACCCCUGAAACACGACAACACCCAAUGUCAACCAAAACACUAAUAGACCAUUACCUAACUCAAAUCCCAUUGCCUUCCCUAUCCACGGAAGCAGCACAGGUUCUUGCCAGCCCCAUAACACCAGAAGAACUCGCAGGACAGAUAGAAGCACUCAAACCCAACAAAAGCCCGGGCCCAGACGGGUUCACUGGGCUAUACUAUAAGACAUUCGCCCCAUCUUGAUCCCACACCUCUGCACACUAUACAACGCCAUACUACAGGGAGACCAACUACCGAACGAUAUGCUACAAGCGAAUGUAUGCCUCCUCCCCAAGCCCAACAAAACAAACCUUGAACCUGGACACUAUCGUCCAAUCUCACUCCUCAAUGUAGAUAUUAAAUUAUUCACCAAAACCCUCACGGACCGACUAAGCCCCAACCUACCCAAACUCAUACAUCCAGACCAAGUGGGCUUCAUACCGUCACGACAGGCGAGCGAUAACACAAGACGUACAUACAACCUCAUUUGGACAGCCCACACGAGACGCAUCCCAACUCUCUUCCUAUCAUUGGACGCCGAAAAGGCAUUUGACAGACUGUUAUGGCCCUUCCUAUUCGCCACCCUAGAGAAAUUCGGACUCCCGAGAAGUUUUAUAAAUGCUCUACACCACACCACAAGCACAUCUCCUCCUCCCUCUCACACACCCCCCGACCUUCACAAUCCAUAACGGUACACGCCAGGGAUGUCCACUUUCCCCAGUACUCUUCGCACUGUCCCUAGAACCACUCCUACAAUCUCUCAGACUCAACAGGGACAUAAAAGGAAUGAAAAUACGUGAAGAAGAAUAUAAAACAGCGGCAUACGCAGACGACUUGCUCCUUACAAUUACAGAACCAGCAACAUCCCUACCACCACUCCUAGACGCCUUAAAAGCAUACGCCGAAGUCUCGGGAUACAAGCUCAACAUCGACAAAACGGAGGCCCUCCCGAUACACAUAGACACGACCACCAAAAUAGCUAUACAGGACACAUACCCAUUCGACCUCACACUCACCCACCUAAAAUAUCUGGGCAUAACCAUCCCAGCAGACCUCUCCCAAUGCUACGACCUGAACUACACACCCACGAUCCAAAAAAUCACCCACGAUAUCGAAAGAUGGCAAAACAUGCCGAUAUCAUGGCUUGGCCGGCUGGCAUCCGUUAAGAUGAAUGCCUUGCCGCGACUUUUAUACCUGUUCCAAACCCUCCCAAUCCCGAUACGCGCAACAGACUUCAAACAGCUGCAAACCAAGAUUGAUAAAUUUAUCUGGGCCAACAAGCGUGCCAGGAUAAAAAGACAAACCCUAUACGUACCCAAUAAACAAGGGGGGCUAGGCCUACCACACCUCACCCACUACUAUCAGGCCGCACAGCUAACACAAGCGCAGAAUUGGCACAUCAUUCCAGGGGCCAAAAGAUGGGUCGACCUGGAGCAUGAUAUAUUUGGCAGGGAUUUCCCCUCCAUGUACAUAUGGCUACCUGGCCCAGCGAGGCCCCCCCUACCCCAAACAUCCCCCGCAAUCCUAAACACCAUCAAGGUAUGGGAUAAAAUAACACACAAAAGCGGGCUUACAACCCAACCAUCACCGCUAACCCCCAUACUCCGGAACACACAAUUCCCACCAGGCAUGACGCCCAAAGAUUUCACGCGCUUCGAAGACAACGACCUAACCAGAUUAUACCACUUCUACAAAGAUGGCGUACCAAUCCUAUUCACGGAGCUUACACAAACCACCCCGUUCCGCACAUUUGACAUGUUCCGCCACAUACAAAUAAAAAGCUUCCUGGAAACACCGACAAUAUCACAGGGGGGGACCAGAACGAUGACCCACUUCGAAAAACAAUGCCUACAAUCACCAGCACGCAAAGGCCAAAUAUCAGAGAUAUACUCACACAUAAUACAACACAUUAAAGACGGAGCACUCACAUACGUGUCGGCUUGGGAGAGGGACAUAGGUCCAGCGGCAGAACCAUCAGACUGGGCCGAUGUUUGGGAAGCCACAGCGACCAUCUCAAUAUGCGUUAACCAUAAAGAACAAGCUUACAAGACGCUCAUGAGGUGGUAUCUCACCCCCCUAAAACUCAAACAGAUGGGCAGGUCAGACAACGACGCAUGCUGGAAGGGCUGUGGACAGAAGGGAACGUACCUCCACAUGUGGUGGGAAUGCCCCCACACAGCGCAACUAUGGCACCAAACUGCGACCAUGGUAUCACAGGUCCUACAUACAAACGUCCCACUAGACCCAUGGAUUUGGCUCCUGUCCAAACCCAUGGCAGGCACCCCAAGGGCCCAAAACAAACUCAUUGCCAAAAUUGCCCUGGCCACGAGAAGAACAAUCGCAGAAAAAUGGGGAAGUCCGGACAUACCAACCAUAGACACAGUUAAACGGAAAAUCAAAGACACAAUAAAAAUGGACGAAAUGUCCGCCCUAAUUCACGACACGACCAAACACUUCAACAAGAUUUGGGACCCCUGGAUCUACGAAUUCCCAACCCUUCCCUAAAUAUCAAACGGGGGAAACACCCCACAAGGUGAAGCAACACACGCCCUCACCGCAAAAGAUAGAGCCUCCCCACAACACUUCCCUAAAAGAACAACCUAACCCAGCAAACACACAGCACACAAAUACCCCCUACAGAGGGAAACUAACUGCUAACAACUGAGACCCGAAAAUACACAAGAACCUGCAAUGGGCAUGCCCAUCUCUGGACCUAGAAAACAAAAGAGAGGGAAGGUGGACAUGUGGAAAAGAGCACUUAGGGAACAGAACAAACACCCACCCACCAACACAGGGAGCACGGGGCGAAAAGACCUACCCCAUAGGACACACAGAAAAACCACAACCCACUCCAGACCGAAACCCCGACACAAACCAACACUCACAUGACUAAAUGACACCACUGACGACCACACACAUAUCACCCAAAGCGACGCACAAGCCUGUAAGAGACGAAAAGACAGACAAUCACCUUACACAUGCUCCCCGACCUAUACCUCUCCCCGCCCAUAGACAACACAGAGAAGUGCUGCGACCCAACAACCAAACACAACCAAUAUACACACUCACAGAACCGAAAGGUUCACAACAAACCGGACCCAAAACUUAGUAAGAGGAUACUGUAAUAGCUUAUCGACAAAAAGGCAACACAAUAGGGUAUCCUACCCCCUUCCCCUCCUUUUUCUGUACCCCGUCCCAAUCAGUAGACAAUCGAACCACCACACAGAACAAAAGGAAGCACUAGAUAAAGAAGCAAAGAUCGCAAACACCUAGACAGAAUGUGGUAACCAAAAUGAACUUGGACUAGAAAAGCAAAUUGAGCAUGACUCAUACUGUAACUGUCUACUCCCUAUUUCUCUUCUGUACCCUUACCCCAAAAUUCUUCACAAAUAAAGAAUUUAUAAAAAAAAAAACCCCACGAACCCCUUGCCAUCCACAGUCAUCCUGGUGUUCGCUGGAAUCCCUAUGAGAGCUUAAACAAAACUACCGAACGGCCGAUUGUUCGGUAGUUCCGGCACGAACUUACCAGCUCCUGGAGGUCUCAGCGGUGUUCGCCUGUUUGCGUAUUCGUUUUUAGUUCCAGGCGUUCACUGGCAAACACCGCCGUUCGUGCGUAAGAUGGCCGCGAACACGUGUAAAGUCCCGAAAUGGCGGCCAUCUAACCUGAGCACAAAGGAAUUCGUAUGAACCAUGCGAACGGCUCCACAAGCGCUGGGAGGUAAAAUAUCAAUUAACUGUUCCCCUGGGUGGUCCGAUGUUCGGUAUUUUGUGCUGUAUUCUCUAGUAAGAAUAUUUCCACGAAAAAUAGCCAUUCGGUUUUUGUGUGAUACAUCCAGCAGCGUUGUUAUUUAAGUCCAGGCAAAAAGCACGGGCAAAAUCAUAGUUCUGUUACACUUGUGUCCUAUGUAAAGUCCGGUUUGUGAAUAGAUUUCCACACAAUGGUUUGUAUUGGCCCCGAAUAUAUUUGUUUAAUGUUAUCAUAUCCCCUCUCAGGCGACGUUUUUCUAAACUAAAUAGGUUUACAUUUGUUAACCUUUCUUCAUAGCUGAUAUGUUCCAUUCCUUUUAUUAAUUUUGUAGCCCACCUCUGCACUUUUUCUAGUGCCAUAAUAUCCUUCUUUAGAACAGGUGCCCAAAAUUGCACAGUAUAUUCAAUAUGUGGUCUUACCAGUGAUUUAUAAAGAGGCAAAAUGAUAUUCUCGUCCCGAGAAAAAAUGCCCUUGUUCAUGCAUGACAAUUACUGGCCUUGGCCACUGCUGAUUGACAUUGCACAUUGUUGCAUAGUUUGUUGUCUAUAACAAUUCCCAAGUCCUUUUCGUGUGUUGUUAUCCCUAAUUCGCUUCCAUUAAGGGUAUACGUUGCUUGUGAAUUCUUUACGCCGAAGUGCAUAACUGCAUUUUUCAACAUUAAAUUUAAUCUGCAUUUGAGUGCCAGUCCCCCAGUCUAUCUAAAUCCCUCUGCAGCAAAGUAAUAUCUUGCUCACAUUGUAUUAUUUUACAGAGUUUUGUGUCAUCUGCAAACACUGAAACAUGACUUUUAAUGCUGUCUUCAAGAUCAUUUAUAAACAUGUUAAAUAGAAGGGGUCCCAGAACAGACCCCUGAGGGACACCAGUUGCCACCUCUGUCCAGCUUGAAAAUUUACCAUUAAUGACAACUCUUUGUACUCUGUUUUUAAGCCAAUGUUCUACCCAAGAACAAACAUUUUCAUCUAGACCGAUUUCCUUGAGUUUGAACACUAAUCUAUUGUGUGGAACUGUAUCAAAUGCCUUGGCAAAAUCCAAAUAGAUCACAUCCACUGCAACACCCUGAUCUAUACUUCUACUUACUUCUUCGUAGAACGCAAUCAAGUUAGUUUGACAUGACCUGUGCUUCAUAAAACUGUGCAGAUUUUUUGAUGUUCUUCUCAAGGAAUUCUUGAAUAUUAUCCCUUAAUAACCUUUCAAAUAUUUUCCCAGUUACAGAAGUUAAGCUCACACGUCUAUAAUUACCAGGGAAUGAUUUUGAACCCUUUUUGAAUANNNNNNNNNNNNNNNNNNNNNNNNNNNNNNNNNNNNNNNNNNNNNNNNNNNNNNNNNNNNNNNNNNNNNNNNNNNNNNNNNNNNNNNNNNNNNNNNNNNNCACUGAUAGGAGACGCGGAAGGUAUUAAACUGAUCAGAACAAUACUAAACACACCACUCCUUUUUUUGGUGAGGCUUUACAGGACAGAGUGCUUCUCCCCGGGACAUGUUAACUCACGGGCAGCUGGCUCAUCAAGGAACCAGAGCAGCUUUCCAUGUACAUGUAAGACACGUGCAGCCGGUAAGGGUUCAGGCUCUUCUUCCUGGAGGAUACGCUGCAAGCCUGUUGAACGAGGUGACCUUGCUGGGGUCCCAGGUGUACGGUUCCUAAAAUGGCUGCCAUAUACACGUCCACUGAUAGGAGACGCGGAAGGUAUUAAACUGAUCAGAACAAUACUAAACACACCACAAAUAGGUUUCUCUCCUGUAUGGCUCCUCAAAUGAUGCUUAAGAUUAGAAGCGGCUGAAAAGCAUUUCUCACACUCCGAACAAAAAUAUAUUUUUUUAACAUUCUCUCCACUUUGAACGAAAUGACGUUUGGGAAGAGAUUAACAUAAUUAAACACAGGCAGUAAAAAUACAGUUUUUAGCCAUACCCUGUAACUUUAAAACUACACAUCCCAUCUUCAUAAUUACAUAUUUUGAAUCAGCACACUUAAAACAUAAACAUAACCAAAAAAUCAGCCAAAUCCAUCCAGGGGUUAAAAAGUUAGCUGUAGGUCCCUUUAUGACCGACUGCAAGCACAUUUUCCUACCCAAAACAGUUCCAUAGAUUUGGGCUGUGAGGUCGGUCUAUUUCAGGCUGAAAAAAGACUAAGUCCCAUCGCGAAUGGGACUUAGUCUCUGCAGCUGAAAUAAGGCUGAAAAAAACGGCUGAAAAAAAGACUAAGUCCCAUCGCCGAAUGGGACUUAGUCUCUGCAGCUGAAAUAAUUUCCCAUUUACUGAACCAAGUGGGAAAUAGCAAGGCAGGCACAAAGGGUUUGCACCAGGUCUGGGGACACAGGGGACACCGUCUUAAAGGGGCCGUGUCCCCAACAAGUCUGGGGACACGGCCUUAAAGGGGCAGUGUCCCAAUCUUCCUGAUGUCCCAAAAAAGGUGUUUAAAGGGCCAGCACCAGUCACAUAAAGAGUCCAUAAGCCCCAAUAUGCCCACCGACAGUCUUAAAGGGCCAUACACACCAAAUAAAAGUGCAUACAUUUUCACAAUCUCCCAGGGGCCAUAGUCAUGCGGGAGGAGGCUGGCAAAUAGGCUUCUCCACAACCCAGGGAAGCAGGGCAAUUUGCCAUUUAAAGGGCCCGUUACAAAUAGCAGUUUGUAACAAGGUGUCAAUCCAUAUCUGCCAAGUGACCUGAUGUAGGGGGACCAGUCCCUAUUCUGCUCUGUGUCAGUGUGUAUCAGGGAACCUUAGGACAGGUGUCAAUCCAUAUCUGCCAAGUGACCCGAUGUAGGGGGAACAGUCCCUAUUCUGCUCUGUGUCAGUGUGUAUCAGGGAUCCUUAGGACAGGUGUCAAUCCAUAUCUGCCAAGUGACCCUAUGUAGGGGGACCAGUCUCUAUUCUGCUCUGUGUCCGUGUGCAUCAGGGGCUCUGAGGACAGGUGUCAAUCCAUAUGUCAAGGUGUCAAUAUGUCAUAUGUCAGGUGUCAAUCCAUAUUGAUUGUGAUUUAGGAAUGUUAGGUGAUUUCUGCCCUUUAUGGAUUAAAACCAGACUCUGUAUCAACUGUGUAAUUUUCCAUGGGAGUUUUGCCAUGGAUCCCCCUCCGGCAUGCCACAGUCCAGGUGUUAGUCCCCUUGAAACAACUUUUCCAUCCCUAUUGUGGCCAGAAAGAGUCCCUGUGUGUUUUAAAAUUCGCCUCCCCAUUGAAGUCAAUGGCGUUUCGGGCGGUUCGCCGGUUCGCGAACACUUGCGGAAGUUCGCGUUCGCCGUUCGCGAACCGACAAUUUCGGGUUCGCGACAUCACUAUAGGUGAUUAAUAUUUUAAGUUUAUUUACGUGUUCCUACCUCCAAAAUGCACACACUUAGUAACUUGAAAUAAAUCCAAAAUGGAGAUUGUAAUAAUGUAAGCAUUCAACAGGUUCUCCCAGGCUUAAAAACAGGGGGGAAGUGUCAGGAAUACAGAAUGAUCCAGCACGUAUAAUUGUGUAACACAGAGGACUGAUAGGUAACAUAUACCGGACCUUAGAAUGGCCAGCCUAACUUACCAAAGAAUAGUCAGGAAUAGCCGAGGUCAAGGGUUACAGAAAGAGACACAACGAUAAGGAAAAGCCAGGAGUCAGGGAUGCCAGAAAACAGGGAAGUCAAAAACAACGCCAAAGUCAACUAACCAUAAGCACUAUCGCGCUCUUGGACAACCACAAGGAAAACCAUGACAGGGCACUGAGCAGGAUGAGAACUGGGCCUAAAUACCCCUCCUCUAGAUCUGAUAGGCUGUAACUGGCCUUUGACCCCAAAGGCAGUUACCAGGUUUCCAUUUGCAUAAUUUCUGAUCAGCAUUAACCCUUCUGUGGAUUUGGUUGCUGCUCGGCACAACCUUUCCUGUGUGGACAGUAAAUGCCAUUAACCACAUUUUUAUAAGCGGAUGAAUAUGUGACAUUACCCCCCACCUGAAGAACACCCACCGGGCGGGCAUGACCAGGCUUGAGAAGAAAUUUGGCAUUAAAAUAGUGAAUCUUGCAGCCAGCAUGUAUAUCAGAUGCCGCAACUCAAGAAUGAUCGGCUGGUCCAUAACCUUUCCAAUCCACCAAGUACUGUAAACUGCCCAGAAAAAACCUGGAAUCAAUUAUGGAGGAGAUCUCAUACUCUUCCUGUCUUGAAACAACUAAGGAAGAAGGAGGGACAUUUGAGACAGAAUCUUUAUUGCAAAGAAAAGGUUUGAGCAAGGACACAUGAUAGGAUUUUUCAUGGAGGCCAGAAGGGCCAGAGAAUACGCAACAGGAUUGAUUCUACAAAGGACACGAAAAGGUCCAAGGAACCUAGGAGCAAAUUUCAUGCUAGGGACUUUGAGCCUGAUGUUACGAGAAGAUAACUUAACCCUCUCACCCACUUGGUAAACAGGGUUGUCACCUUCAUGUGUAUUAGCAUAAUGCUUGAAACAGUCAGCAGCAGUACCCAGAGCAGAUUGAACCCGGGUAUCAUGGAUGGAAGCCAGACGGUCAUCCAAAGCAGGAAUCCAAAGCCAUAUCAGAAAAAACAGCCGGUAGGACAGUAGGAUGCUGGCCAUUAUUAACAAAAAUAGACUACGCCCAGAGGAGUCAUGGUCAGCAUUGUUCCUAGCAAACUCGGCCCAUGGUAGUAAUUCGGACCAAUUGUCUUGAGGGCUAUUAACAAAACAACGUAAAUAUAAUUCCAAGGACUGGUUAGCCCUCUCAGCUGUACCAUUGGUCUGGGGGUGGUAAGAGGAUGAAAAAGACAAUUUAAUCCCUAAUUGUUUAUGGAAGGCCCUCCAAAACCGAGACACAAACUGAGAACCUCUGUCAGAUGCUAUAUUGUGAGGAAUGCCAUGCAGAUGGACAAUUUCUUGUAUAAAGAUUAGUACGAGGUCUUGAGAUGACGGCAAUUUCUUAAGAGGAAUAAAAUAAGCCAUUUUAGAAAAACGGUCCACAACCUUGAGAAUGGUGGUAUAACCAUUAGAUCUAGGAAGUUCAACAAUGAAGUCCAUGGACAAGUGGCACCAUGGGACCUCAGGAAUAGGAAGAGGUUGUAACAAGCCACAAGUGAGUUUAUGAGGCACUUUGGAAACUGCACAAACAGAACAAGCCUGCACAUAUUCCUUAACAUCUUAGCUGAGGGAAUCCCACCAGAAUGACCUCAUGAUAGCAGAAGUGGAUUUAUUAAUACCUGGGUGACCAGCAGACAUAUUGUCAUGAAACACCUUCAUGAUAUUAACCCUUUCCCUCUGUGACAGAACCAUCUCUAUGACUAUUCUUUGUGGAUUCGUCUAGUUUGCCUUCCUUUCGUGGAAAUUGCCUGUUUCUAUAGCCCAUGUGUACGAAUGACUUUUUUACCGAACAAAUCUACCGAACGGACGGCCACCCAGAAUAGAAGUGUGCUGCUGGUUAACCUCUUGAUCCCAAUUAGAACGUUGUGGUUAACCGCAGACACUUCUCAAUUAAAACCGAAUACAGGAUGGUCAACGUUCGCAUGUCGACCACGAGGCAGUGGCCAUUUUAGAUCGCACGAAAGACCAGCGGUGUUUGGUAUUGAUUUCAUAUAACUAAAAACUGACACUUUUUCUGCCGAACACCGCUGAAACAACGGGUCACCCUGCCCCGUUGACGAAAACUUGCGAAUACCGGUCGUGCGGGAGUUUUGAAUUACAUGCAGAGAUUUAACCCAGAUAGCCUUCCCAUGGAGUCAAUUGCAUACUGAAAGACUGUAAGAACUUUGACUCCAUGGCGAUUGAACUAUGCGUAUGGGAUCUGAGCGAUUCGCUAAUAAUAAUGUGAUACGAAUGUAAAAUGUUCAGUAGUUGUGGAAUUAUUUAUUUUUGUGUGUUUUCUGGUAUUUUACUUAAGAUGGCGAUUUGUCUUUGUCCUGUAGAUAAUUGAAUUACUUCUCAAUUAUCUCCAGGGCAGAGGGGAGGAAACCAUUUUGCAUUGUGGGAAAAGUUUGUGCCUGUAUGUCUGAAAUGUCCAUAUGUACAUCUGUCCUAGGGGAGUGUCCACCAAGUGAGAGACCUGCAUAAAUACGGGUGGGUAGCCCACAGUAAAGCCAGAUCCUGUUUGACCCUCAAUGCGGAGCGUAGUCUCGUUAUUGGGGGGAUUUAUUACCGACGACUAGAGACUGACUGCUGGAGUCGCAAGCCGCUUGGUGGAUAUAUUUGUUCGGCGGCUAGCGACUGUUCGUGGAUUUAUGUUCGGGAGUUUGAAACCACUUACGGAUCCCGUUUGGGAGAUUACCGCUUCCCCUGAUGGUGGUUCGUAUACCGCAGUCUAUGCGAACGGAGAUAGUGAGAUUGCGAAGGGGGAAGCUUAACUAAACUGCAGUUUCACUCACAGGCACCAGGGGUGUCUUAACACCCCCAAUGGAACGAACAGUUUGCCCUGAGGUUUACCGCAGGGCGCCUGAGACUGAGCCUCCAUGAUGGAGCCAAGCAGUGGAGAGGACAAUGAAAGGACGGUGGACGCAAUGAUACAUUCCAGGGGAAUGAUAUGGAAUGUUUCUUGCUCUAGUAUAGCCUCAGUAUCAAACUGCCUGGACAAGGCAUCGGCCUUGACAUUUUUAGAACCAGGUCUGUAGGUGAUAAGAAAAUUAAAGCGAGAAAGAAAUAGAGACCACCUAGCUUAUCAUCUCCUAUAUAAGCCAGGUUUUUGUGAUUAGUAAUGAUCAAAAGGGGGUCCUUGGAACCCUCUAGAAGAUGUUGCCACUCCUUGAGAGCUAGAAUAAUGGCCAACAAUUCUGUAUUGCCAAUAUCGUAAUUGCCCUCAGCAGGAGACUUUCUUGAGAAGUAACCACAAGGAUGUAAUGGAGUUUCUUGGCUCUCCCUCUGGGAGUUAACUGCCCCUACCCCUGUCUCUGAAGGAUCAACCUCCUGUAUGAAAGGUUUACUGGUGUCAGGAUAUAUGUCAGGCGGAGGCAAACCGCUGUUUGAGAGUUUCAAAGGCUUCAAUUGCCUCCUUAGACCAUAUUGUACUACUAGCCCCCUUGCAUGUCAUAUUGGUGAUGGGGGCUAUUACUGAAGAAAAUCCCUUUAUAAAUCUUCUGUAAUAAUUGGCGAAACCAAUGAACCUUUGAAUGGUUUUCAACCCAGUGGUAAAGGCCACUGUAGAACAGACUCUAGUGUUUUAGAAUCUAUCUUAAACCCCCAGGCAGAUAUAUUAUAUCCUAAAAACUGUACUUCAGACUGGACAAAGAUACAUUUUUCCAAUUUACAAUAAAAUAGUUUUUUUUAACAAGGUUUGCAGAACUUGUUUUACAUGAUCGUGGUGAGACUGGAGGUCAGGAGAAUAAAUAAGGAUAUCAUCCAGAUAGACCAAGACAAACGAGUAAAUGUAAUCCCUGAGUACAUCGUUAAUGAAAUCUUGGAAAACCGCUUGAGCAUUGCACAACCCGAAUGCCAUUACUAGAUAUUCAUAGUGUCCACUUCUGGUAUUAAAUGCAGUCUUCCACUCAUGGUUUUCCUUGAUUCUCACUAAAUUGUAAGCGCUUCUAAGGUCAAGCUUAGUAAACACUUUAGUGCCCUGGAGUCUGUCAAAUAAUUCAGCAAUAAGAGGAAUGGGGUAGGCGUUCUUAAUGGUGAUUUUGUUCAAUGCCCUGUAAUCGAUACAUGGGCGCAACUCACCAUCCUUUUUAGAUACAAAAGAGAAUCCUGUACCAGCAGGCGAGGAUGAUUUUCGUAUAUGGCCUUUAUUCAAUGAAUCUUUAAUAUAUUCCUCCAUUACACUACUCUCCUGAGGAGAUAGAGCAUAGACUGCUCCCUUAGGUGGCAUAGCACCUGGUAGUAAGUUAAUGGAACAGUCAUAUGGUCUGUGAGAAGGUAGAGUAUUAGACUGAGUCUUGCUGAAUACUUCAUUAAUGUCUUGGUAUUGUAUAGGGAUCUCGGGAUUUUGAGGUGUACUAGUGGGAAAUUCAAUAGUGCCCACUCUUUUGGUGACAUGCAAUAUGCACCUUUCAUUACAUUACUUACCCCAUUCUAAUAUUUCCCCAUUAGCCCAGUCAAUAUGAGGGUUAUGCUUGCUAAUAGAGUUGAGCAAACCCGGACUGUAAAGUUAGGGUUCAUACCAAACAUUACGUUUUUUGGACCCCGAACAUGGACAUUUCACUGUAUGUCAAAAAAACGUAAUGAAAGGUAAAAAACUUAAAAAAGAUAAUGGAAGAGAUCUAGGAACUAGAUCACUGGUAUUUACUCAAUGGACUGCAACAGUCUCAAAUUAUGCAAUUAAUCCAAUUUGUAGUGAAUAUCUAAUACACAGUGUGUUACUUUCUCUAGACACUGGAGUGUAACUAUAGAAAUAGCUUUAACCUCAUGGGAAGGAUUCACAUUUCCAUAUAGCCCCCUGUUGGUCUAUUGAGUAUAUAUGAGGGAAUAGAAAACCACAAUGUAAAUAUAGAGCAUAGGGUUGGCUUAAUGGUGUGUUUAACUAUAUAAGAUUUGAGGUUAAUAAAUUAGGUCUAAAGGAGAACUUAAUGUAUAGAAAAUAGAUUAAUCCAGUGUCUAGAAUCAACAAGUAUAUAGUGACAUAAAUUCUAGGUGCCUGUUUAAGUAAGGAUGGACGCCAGGAAAAAACUCAAAUAAAGAUAAGUCAACCCCACUUUUUCUGUGAAAAAGGAAGAGAGAUAAGGUUUGUUUCGGGAAUAGCCAUCAGUAUUAUGUAGAAUCUAUGGUUGCUUCACAAUUUAAAAUCCACACUAACUGUGUCAGCUCCCUCAAAUUGUUGCAAACCUCGAUUAUUAAUAAUAACUGGGGGUGAGAAAAACAGACUGACGCCAGCCUGAGAGUAUAGGAUUGCUGUCUAUAUAGGGGUAAACCUCAGGAGCACAUAUGCUGGGAAAAAAUAGUAAUAAUAAUGAUAAGUCAACCCCACUUCAAUCGGGCAGUGAGAGGUUGAUGUCAGUAUUAAAUAGAGUAGCUAAUAGAGUAGCUAAGUCAAAUAGCUCAGUUCCCCCAUAGUAUCAUAAACCUCAAUUAGAUUGAAGUAACAGUAGAGUUAACACACUAUCGUCACCCCGGGAGAGGACAUUCAGCAGACAGGAUGGAAGCCGAGUGCUUAGCUGCUAAUACCAAUGCCGUACCCAUGCUUGUUACUUCAAGGCAACUCCUCUAAACUGAACUGGAAUCCUAAAGAGUCACACUAUCAACCAUUAUCCAAAAAAGGGUGCUUUAUAAAAUCAAAAGUAUGUACAUGUGCAUCUGAAGGCCGACAUGUGUUUCGGCAGUAUGUCUGCCUUUCUCAAGAGCUAAAGUGACAUCCACCUAUGGAUCGUAAUUUAAAGGUGAGUUGGACCAGCCUCCUUCAAACUUCCCACAUUUGGGAAAUAGUGAUAUGGUGUCUUGAAAUAAACUCAAAAAAAGCAGAAGCACUAUACUAAAAAUUUAGGGUAUACUAACAAUAUCAUUUAUAAAAAAAAAAAAACUAUUUCAACUACGUAGUAACAUAUCUAUUUGGAAGUGCAUAGUAAUUUUCUGUUUCCAACUGCGUAGUUAAACUGAAACUUAGCUUAGUGCAAGGCUUGACCAUGUAUGGUAACUUACGGAUAACAAUUACUCCCCCAUUACACCUGCAAGCUAGCUAUAGGUUAAGAUAUGCUAAGAUGAGAUAGUCUAAUUAUGUAAUUAUUGGAUAAUGUGUAAGAACACCACUGUUUCCUUUUCAAUAUAGCCUGUUGUACCACUUAUUAAUUAUCGGAAGCCACCUUGAACCUUACACUGUGUUGUCUCAUUCAUUGGGGCUCCUCAUCUACUAGUUGUGGAUAAGGAGAAAUACAGAGAGUUCCAAAAUGAUGAAAGUCCAUUGCUUGAGUAAAUUUUCAUGGUCAUGGUCAUGGUAAAUUUUCAGGCUGGACAAAAGUGGUAAGUGGUGCCCCUCAAGGUUCUGGGACUGCUUCUAUUUAACAUGUUUAUAAAUGAACUUGAAAAAGGCAUUGAAAGUCAUGUUUCGGUGUUUGCAGAUGACACAAAUCUCUGUAAAGUAAUACAGUGUGAGCAAGAUAUUACUUUACUGCAGAGAUUAAGAUAGACUGGAGGACNNNNNNNNNNNNNNNNNNNNNNNNNNNNNNNNNNNNNNNNNNNNNNNNNNNNNNNNNNNNNNNNNNNNNNNNNNNNNNNNNNNNNNNNNNNNNNNNNNNNUGGGUACUCAAAUGGCAGAUGAAAUUUAAUGUAGAAAAAUGCAAAGGUAAUGCACAAGCAACUUAUACCCUACAUGGUAGUGAAUUAGGGAUAACAAAACACAAGAAGGAUUUGGGAUUUGGGACCAGGGAUCAGCAAACUAUGGCACAUGUGCCAUGCAUGGCACUUGAGGUGCCUUUGCAUGGCACUCAAGGAUGCCAGAGCCAAAUAGGCUCUGACCUAUCAGAAGUCCCAGUGACUUCAGAAAACUGCUAGUGCAACUUCAGCGGUGACUGCAAGUAGUGAGGGACAAUCCUCAAUUUUUGCAUUGCAGCACUUAGAGGAAGUGAUCUCAGGUCACUUCCUCCCAGCACUUGUGAACAGGAAUCUGCACUGGAGUAGAGUAGGCCAUGGCAGUUACUGCAGCUACUGCAGCUCCAGCCCUUGACCUGCACUUGGUCAUCCUGGUCCCCAUUGGACCCAAAUGAAACCACUUACAAUGCUAGAUAUAUACAGAGCUGCAGAAGAAGCCCCCCUCCUCAUGCAAAUAAUACAAACAGCCCACACACACAGUCCCCACAAACAAAACACCACUGACAAUCCACACACAUGCGCAAAACCCCACAAGAAGCCUCUCACAUGCAAUACCACAAGCAGUCCCACACAUACACAACUCACCAAACACACAAUGUGACAUAUCAUCCAGACACACAAUUUCAGAAGCAGCUCUCAUACACAGCCCACAUUCAAAGGUAUCAUACACAAUACACACCCUGGUCUUUUAAAAUGUAUUGGCAUAAAAAAAUGCACUAUUCCAUGGAGAGGAGGUAACAUCAAAAAUAUUUUGGGGAAAUGUGAAAUGGAAUGGGUCUUUAAUUUAAAAACAUUGGUCCCAAAUGGUUUAAAUGCAGACUUUGAUUUAUUUAAUUUUAUUUAAAUAUCUUACCAAUUUUUAAAUUUUAUCUUGUUUACAUUAUUUUAACAUAUACUAAUAUGUUUUAUGUGCUUAUGUUUUUAUUAUUAUUUUAAUACUUCAUAUAUAUAUGUUUUACUAUUUUCAUUAUGUUUUAUUAUUUCUAUUUUAUCUUUUGUAUAUAUGUGCCACCUCUAACAUGGCCACCUAUUUAAUUGUUCUCCCAGCCUAUAUUCCCCUCCCAAGAUGGCCGCCGCUAUUAUGUUUAUAUUAGUUCUUUCCCCUGUGUUUUUAACCACUCCUCCCUUCCCUACAGCACAUUCAUUGUGCCUGACAUGUAGUCUAAUUACAGACUACAUGUCCCAUAUUCCUUUGCGGCCGGAAGUGACGUCGCGCCCGGUACGCGCGUCACGUGCCCCUCCCUAGUGUGUCCUUCACUCCCUCCCACCUUGUAAGCCCAAUAUUGGGCUCUAUUUGCUCCAGAGACAUGUAGUCUAGCCAUAGACUACAUGUCCCAUGAUCUCGCCGAACCGGAAGUGACGUCGCGCCAAUGACGCGCGUCACAUGGUCCGGUUUUAAAAUGUAAAAACAAAGCAAUAAAUGCUCGUUUUGACAAAUAACCUAUGUUAUCAGCACUAUAUAAGUUAUAUAAACCUAAUUUUUAUUAAGAAAUGUUGUUAUGAAAGUGCAAAAAAGAUCUGUCAAUCUAUUGGUUGUACAAUUUUGGCGCCAAUUUUAACAUUAUUUUAUACCUAUAUAAACCCUAACUAGCCAGGUAGAACUGUUUGUUAUCCAUUGAUAAAGCCUUAUAUUGGUGAAACGCGUUUGGAUAUUUUUUACUAUUUUAUAUAUUGUUAAUAAAAGAUUUUGGUCAUUUUUACGUUUAUACCAUCAUCUUUUCUAUUACCUGGCUAUUUUAUAAACUUUUUAAUUACAUUUUACCUCUUUUAUUAUUUUUAAAGUCCUGUACACCAUACUCCAAGAAUCCCAGGUGGGGAUUAUACCACCUACGCUGUUACAUAGAGCAGUCAGUCUGCCCUAUACAUUGUGAGUAUAUUUUAUUAUUUUAUUUUAUCAAUUAAGAUUUUAUUGAGAGCACUAUCGCUGUUUUACCUUCUCUUCGAGCUCCUGAUAUUCCGGUCAAGAUCACUCCUCAUAUAUCCCAUAAGCGGGGAUGAUACCGCUGUACGCCUAACCAACUAGAGCUAGCCUAAGCUCUACCGAAUGUGAGUGUAUCUAUCAUAUUUUAUAUAUUUUUUAUCAGUGUACAACAUACUGCACCAUUACUGUCUUCAUUUUAUUUUCCCUAACUUUGGCCACCUGUUACCACAAAGAAGAGGACACUUGCUGAAUAUCCUGUAAGCGGGGAUAAUACCGCUACAAGCUAUCCACACCAGAGCUGGGUUAAGCUCUGUAAAUUGUAAGUAAGAUCUCUUCUAUUUUUACAUAUUUGGACCACUCUCCACGACACCGACACCUUCUGAAUAUCACCAAAAGUAGAAUUUUGGACACCAAAAUAUACAUUGGACUCAACACUCAGUGUACACAUCGGCGCAGACCCAUCCCCCAACUUUUCCUGUUUCUACCAUUUGUAUUCCAAGGACAUUAGAGGGAGUCCUUGUUUGGGACUGCUGCCUUCCCGAUUAGCGCUGACUCUACCCCCCGUUUUGUUAUCAUACACAAUACCACAAACUACUUAUGAACAUAUACAAUAUAACAAACCACAUACACACAAAUACAACAUUACAAAGCAACUGCAGUACCCAUAAAUAACACAGGCAAAAUAUGUCAACAUAUAUCAACAUAAAUAAAUAGGACCAGCACGACAAGGGACUUUAAGAUUGUGUUUGGGCACAUUACUACUGUUUUGGAGUAUUACUACUUAAAGGUUGCCUACCCCUUCUAUAGACAAUAAACUAUGCAAUGAUGUGAAUGUCAAUCAGCAGUUGCUGAGGCCAGUAAGGUAUUGUCAUGUAUAAACAGAAGCAUUCAGUCUCUGGAUAAUAUUAUAAUUUUGCCUUUUUAUAAAUCACUAGUGUAACAGAGCUUCCUGUACCCCGGUUGGGUACCUCUGCGGACGAAUGUUCCUAGUGCUUACCGAGGGCUCCAAGCACUUCUCCAGACACCAUAAUUACUGCAGACCCCACAAACUGCCACAGCUUAGUUGGGGUCUCGCCGUCUCCUACCCACCUGGACCUACAACAAGGCUCCAGGUUCCAGUGGGUGAACCUCUCUUCCUCCAGAGAGCGAAGCAGGAACAGCUCUUAAAAGAGCUAGUGAUUAUUCAAGGGAGUAUGAAGAGCAUAGCAAUCCCUUGUAGCAGUUUAUCCUAACAAGAGACAAGACUCUAGAUUCAAGGUAAAUCAGGAACAGAAAGUUUAAUGGCACACACUGGCCUUUUAUACAAGUUUUACAGCAAAGGUGACACCCAGGUGGACCUAGUUAGGCACCGAAUACAAAACAUAGAAGCCAAUAAAAAUAGAGGUUUACAUUCAGACACACCCUAAUACCGUGUACACAAUCCCUUCCCUCUGUCUCUGAUAUAAUUAACAAAGACAAUGGACUAACUCAAUUAACUCUAAGAAGAAAAAAAACAUACAUUUUUACAAACCCUAAAAAGUACCCCAAAAUACAACAUAUCCCCACAUCCCCUGAUAGCCCUGAUCUGUGUGAACAACAUAUCCAAAAAUCACCCAGAUCGGUUCAGGGGUUGAGGAAUUUCCUGGAAGUCUUAUUUUUGCCCCACCGUGCACAGUUCCAUACACUCAAUGACAAAACACUGCUGGACAAUUUAAGAUGGCUGCUGCCACAUGUUUGAAUCUGUUCCAGUUAAAAGUCCAAGGGGCAGAAAAAGUACUUGAACAUGGGUUAUCAAAGGGCCCAUAGUUCCAGGGUAGGAGGCUGGCAAGCAGGCCCCUCCAAAAACUCGUGGCAAACCCCCUUAAAAAGGGGAGUUUGUCACAACUGAUAUGACCACAUCUUGAAUAGUCCAUGCAAAAUAAUAAAAAAGCCCCCUAUAUGGAGAAUAUCCAAACGGGGGUGGUCAAUACGAGUGGUUACCAUUCACUCUGGACAUGAACCCUACUACUAAUGUAUGAAACAAAAAUUAGGGAAAAUCUCUCUUGAGAAAUCUCUCUAAGGUAUAAAGGGGUAAUUGGUUGAAUUUAAACUUACAACAUAUAAGCAAAGACGAGGAGGAGGAUAACUAUAUAAACACUAGAAAUUGGUAGUAGGUAUGCAUGUGAUGGCUAAACCAACCGGCUUUAUUGAUUUUACCAAAGUGUAUUAUCCAUACCUAGUGCCAUUUAUAAGUGCAUAGAAAGAGUCUAUUGCUUAUUAUCCUAGUAAUAUAUCACAGCAUGUAGCCUCUUAAGUUACCAAUGUCUACAUAAUAUAAGUCCAUGUUCUGAAAAGAGCCCCCUAUAAUAUAAUCCUUGUUGGACCCUAAAAAGGUGGGCGUAUAUCGACAAACAUUAGCUUAGAAAAGACAAAUAAGGGAGAGACUCGCUAAAAUGUUAAAGGGUAAGAAUAUGAGAAAAGGAAAUGAAUAUGGACGAUUAUGACGUACGUAGUUAUAAGACCUAUAUCUUGACACAGGUCAAAUGAAGCAUUCAUACAGGACAAGAUCUACUGUCUAAAUAUAUCAUAAAUUUACCCUGAACAGAGUAGAAACAGACAGUGUAUAGUGAAAGGCGCAGGAUCUUAACCUCUCAAUAUAAAAUGAUGCAGCAUAAUACUGUGGUAUAGAUACCAUGCAAGCUAUUUGGUCAACGCUUUCAAUGAAUAGAUACAAACGUAUCUUAGUGGAGUUAGUUAUAGCUACAAACAAAAUUAGAUAUUAUCGAUAUAUAAUGUCUAUCUCAGUAUGAGAAGAUAAUAAAAUACUAUAAGUACAAAGAUUAGAAUUCAAUCCGACCACAGAUUCUAACUUGAACUAAUUAUUUCUUCAUCAACACUUCUAAAGUAGAAAUAGAAGCUAAAUGGUGAAAUAGGCAGCUUUAUUAUCCAUCAGAUUAGACAAAUGUAUCUAUUCAAUUUAGGAGCAACUCCAUUGCUCAUGUCUGUAUAUGUUAAUUGAUUACCUGUAGGUAGUGAGUCAAUCAACUAAGCUAUCCGUAGAUUGCUGCAUGGGCGCCUGUUCAGCUAGACUAUUGAUCAAUUGAUAAGGUCUAUAUAGACACUUGUGAAUAGUCAGUCACAGUAAAGAUUAUCAAUUAAAAGAUUUAAACAGCCGUAUAACAUUAGUUCUAUCCAUAUAAUUGUACACUCAUAGUUUUGAUAAAAUCUGCGGUCAAACUAGUUCACUCCCCCUAUAGCACCUUAAUGGAUGCCGAUUAGAUUAAAUGUCCCUGCAAGUAUUUCUCGAUAAUGUGGAGUCCCUCAGGAAACAGGAACACCCCAAUAUCCAAAUUUCUCGUAAAGAGAAAAAAUAAUAACUAAGUGGAAAAAUAAAUCAGUACAUAGUGAAGUGAUUUAAAAUAAAGAAAUCCUGACGCGUGUUUUGGUGCUCAGAGAGGCACCUUCAUCAGGCUUUAAAACUUCCAUAAUGAAAGUUUCCAGUAUAUAUGGGUGUAUAUAUAUACUUUCAUACAUCUUGAAUAUGCUGAAUAUUUCACACAUCUUGAAUAUGCUGUGCAAUUACGGAUAGCUGUUCUAAUGAUCAUGGCACUAGAAAAAGUGCAGAGGCGUGCUACAAAAUUGAAAAAGGAAUGGAGCAUUUUAGUUAAUUAGAGAGGUUAACUAAUUUAAAUCUCUUCAGUUUUGAAAAACGUCACCUCAGAGGGGAUAUAAUAACAUUAUACAACUAUAAUGGGGGCCAAAUACAAACCAUUGUCUGUAAAUCUAUUCAUAAAUUUGACUACAUAGGACAUGCAGUCACGCUUUCAGACUGGAAGAAAGGAGAUUUAGUCUAAGGCAAAGGAAAGGGUUUUCUACAGCAAGAACAAUAAGGAAGUGAGAUGUGAAAUUCUAUGUCAGAAGAGUUGGUUUUAUCAGAGUCCGUACAGAUGUUUAAACAGCAACUAGAUGCAUACUUGCAAAAACAUAACAUACAAGGAUAUAUUUUUUAAUAUGUGGAGUAAUAGCUUCUUGAUCCAAGGAGAUAUCUGACUACCAUUCUGGGGUCAAGAAGGAUUUUUUUUUUCAGUAUGUUGCACAAUUGGAAGAACUUCAGACUGGGUGUUUUGACUUUUUUUGGAUCAAAAGCAAAAAACAAAUGUGAGAAAGGCUGAACUUUAUGGACGUGUGCCUCUUUCCAGCUAUGCAAUCAUGUAACUAAAUCACCAGUCUCCUUAAAUCAUACUUCAAAUAACAAAACUAAAAUGGGCAAUACAGUAAUAAUAUGUCCUUUAAAAACACUAUUUUAUUUCUUAAUGAAAUAAAAAUAUAUUUUAUAGUGUAUAUAUUAUAAACAAGAAGCUGCUACAACAUUGUGUGUAUAAUCUUCCAAAAACACACUUCAAUCAAUCUCAAUAAAAAAUAAAACACAGUGGAGUACUAUAUAAAUCUUAAAGUGCAAUCAUGUUCCAAUAGUGAACAAUCAAUAAAAAACACUUAAAAUAAGGACAUCUGUGUCAGUGUAUUUAACUCAUAGCUGACGUCUGUGUCUUUAACAGUCAAAUAUGAAAACAUUUUAAUACAUAAAUGAUAUAAUAGUGGAAAACCUUCAAAACAUAUACAGAAGAAAAAUGUCAAUGGAACAUUUGCAUGUACCCGAGUUACUACAGGUCCUCUGGAGAUAUUUGAGGAAUUUGUGGAUACUUUGAACAACAAGGAAAUUCAUCUUAAAUUCACUAAAGAGGUGGGCAAACCGUCCCUAAAUGUCCUAAAUCUUCGGUUACAGUCAAUGAAGAUAAUUAUCUUCAAACCACUUUAUUUAGGAAAACCACGCCACUAACAGUUUAUUACAAUGGGAAAGAUACUAUCCAAAAUCCCUCAAAAGAGGAAUACCAAUAGGACAAUACCUCAUAAUACGUAGGAAUUGUUCUACUCUAGAGGAUUUCAAAUUAAAAGCAAAAGAUCUACGUAUGCACUUUAAAGAACGAGGCUAUCCCAAUCGCUGCCUCAAACGUGCAUAAAAAUGAGCUCUAGAUUUGGAUAGGGAGACCUGGCUCACAAAUGCCCACAAAGAUCCAGAAAACUUGCAAAUUAGAUGUAUCGUGGACCGGAUCUGGCCUAUCAUUACACAGGAUACACACCUCCAUAACAUGCUGACUCCCCAAGUAGCACUUACAUCCAAAGAGGAAAAAAUCUACGGGACCUCCAGGUACCUAGUCAUCUCCCAGGUAUAAAAUCUCCACACACCUGGUUAAAAAAUACACUAACAGGAACCUAUCAAUGUGUCAAAUGUGUGGCCUGUAGAUUCAUCUUUAGAGACUCAAAAAGUAUUGAGGACUCUUCCAAGAACAAUAUAGUCCCAUUUAGGGAUUUCUUUAAUGGUAAAACCACAGGAGUCAUAUACCUCCUUAGCUGCUCCCGUGGAAAGAGAUAUGUGGGAAAAACUUUUAGACAAUUUAAAUCACAAAUUUUGGAACAUGUCCAGUCAGUCCGUUAUAAAAAUGAUACACCCAUUUCAAGACACCUCUGGGAAUAUCAUGCAGGCUGUUCAAAGGAUCUAUGUUGUGCAGGCAUUGAACAUGUCAAACUAGACCAACAAGAUAGCCAAAAACAUAAAGUGGAAACACCUUUAACUACGUGAAUAUAUAUAUAUAUAUAUAUAUAUAUAAGAAAGAGCAAAAUAACCUGGAAUCAGGUAAUUAUUUGUUAGUAGGAUCUGUGUAAAGAAUUUGAGAAACUGACAUAGCGUAAUACAGUAUAUAGCCCAGUGAGUGAUAAAUGCAAUAGUGCACUCACAAACAAACGUAAAAUCAGGCUUCUCACCCUCUCAGGGGUAAUAUGAUGUAUGAUGAAUAUAGACUUGCGGUCUCAUCCGGUGAGAUAUAUGUGAAUAGAAGAAAUCAAAUAUAGUGAAGUUUGUUAUAAGAAUACAAAAUCACAUUUAUCGGUCACACUUACAAAUGAGGAAAUUGUAAAGAGUGUAUCUCCAUACAACAUGGAACUCCUGUACAGCGUGGAAACAGGUCCAGGAGAGAAAUCAGGAACAAAUAAAAAAUGAAGACCACCAAAUACAAGUAAAAACAAAGUAAAUAAGAAAGCAUAAAUUAAAAGUCAAUAAGAAAAAUAAUCCAACGCGUUUCGUCCAGUAGAAUAUAGGACUUCAUCUGGGAUAUCAAUGAAGCAGUCCUUAUGGAUAUAUAUAUUGCCAGUAAUUGCGGUUGAUUUGAAGCCGGUGUUCAGCGUGCGUGUCAUCCAUGGAACGCAAGAAAGGGGAGGACACCCUUGGAGCUCCAGUGAAGCGUUAGUUCCAGGAAUGUGAGACGCAUGCGCUCGAACAAGCGUGCAUGCGUGUACAAAAUGACCAGGACCUGGGAGAGACAAAAAGCAUAGGGCAAAAAAGUUUGGCCAAACAUCUAAAAUACCACAUUAAAACCAAGCAUGAUUAUAAGCAUAGGGAUUCACAUAUUACAUAAGAAAACGUAGUACCAAUAUGUAGACAACUACUAAAUGGAUGAAAUACUAUAGUAAAAAUAUGUAAUAUAUGUAAACCCUAAAAAUAAUACAUUAUAAACAUAGAUCACAUUAUUUUUGUAUCACACAAAUAUAUUGAUACAAUAUAUAUAAUUAAAAAUAUAUCGGAAUUAAAUAUGGAUAUAUUGUCCAUAAUUGUAGAGAUAGAGGAAAAAAUGAGUACAGCUAAAACAUUAACCCCUUAAGGACCCAUGACAUGUGUGACAUGUCAUGAUUCCCUUUUAUUGCAGAAGUUUGGUCCUUAAGGGGUUAAACAGACAGCAGGGCUAUUAAAUAAGACCUUGAAGGUCAAUUUCUUGAUUAAGUCCCUGAUGUAAAGUUUUAAGAUUAAAAAUCCACAAAGCUUCCUUUCUAAUAUAUUCUUGUACCUUGUCUCCUCCCCUCCAGUCCAAAUAAACUGAGUCUUUUCCAAAUGCUUGAAAAGUAUUCCAUCUUAACAAAGGACACGAGUUAUAGUGUCUAGGAACACUGUGGUCAAGUUUGUUUUUUCGUAUAUUGUUAAAAUGUUCCAAAAUUCUGAUUUGUAGUUUUCUGGAUGUACAGCCCACAUAUUGGGCCCCAAAACCACAUUGUAAUAAAUAGACAACAAAAGAAGAAGAACAAUUAAUAUGUUUCUUAAUAUUGUAAUUUGUAUUUGUGUAUGUGCCUACAAAAUCAAUGAUUUUCCUUUUCUGAUGUUUACAUGUGGAACAAUGGCCACAACUGAAAAAACCCUGUAUUGGAGUUUGACGUACAUUAUUGCAGGAAGGUGUUAUCGGGAGCAAACUGGGUGCUAACUUAUUUUUAAAAUUAGUUGAUUUCUUAUAAAUUACUGUAGAGAAUUUGGGUAACAUAUGUUUUAAAAUGUCAUCUCUCUUUAGGAUGUGCCAAUGUCUUUUGAGUAUUUUUUGUCUAUUUUUUUUUGCUUGAGAAUUAUAUUGUGUCACUAAAGCAAAUUCAAAUCUGUUAUUAACGGUUUUAUUAUUAUUUUUAUUUUUAUUUUUAUUGCCAUAUACUAACUUCUUUUUAAAAUUAUGUUGAACAAUUUCGUUAUCAUUUUCAUUUUGUUUUUUAUUUUCAAAAGAAGAGUUCUCUCAGAAUUUAGAAUCUCUAUUUCUGUUUUUUCCAUUGUUUUAGGAUUAUAACCCUUAUCCACGUACCUUUGCUUAAUGAUUGUGGAUUGUUCUAAAAAAACUUGAUUAUCAGUACAAUUUCUUCUAAGCCAGGUAAACUGACUCUUAGGGAUAUUUGAAAGUCAAGGAGGGUAAUGAGCACUAGAGUAUUCAAUCGCCGUAUUGCAGUCCGUAGGCUUAAAAUAUGUUUUGGUUUUUAGUUGAUUAUGUUCUAUGUAUAUUGUCAGGUCCAAGAAAUUAAUAGAUGUGUCACUACACGUAGAAGUAAACUUUAAAUUAUAAUUAUUAUCAUUGACAUGAUCCAUGAAGGAAUUGAGUCCCUCCAAAGUACCAUCCCAAAUGAUUAAUACAUCAUCUAUGAAGCGUCGCCUUGGAACCAAGCCACCCCCAGCAUGAUCACCCAACCUAAUAUGUUGUUGCUCCCAAUGGGACACAUAUAAAUUGGCAAAACUGGGGGCAAAUUUGGUUCCCAUGGCGACACCACACUGCUGUAGGUAAAACUGGUUAUUGGGAGGAGAUAGGAAAUACUUCUUGAUAAUGAUGGGAAAAGUCCAUUUGCAUAUUAUCAUCAUUAAGUAUAUUAUCAUCAAACUCACAAUUAUUAUAGUAAUUGCGUCCUAUAUCUCCUAACCAUUUCCCUAUUCCAAAGGUCCAGUCAAACCAAGUCAUAUCCACAUACAAUUCCUCACAACAUGAGAAUCCAUCCUUGGCACACUCAACAUACAUAAACAACACAUACUACAUCCCUCCCUGGGCCAGCUAACACUCCAUCCCUCUCUGGCAAACUCUACAAAAAAUAAAAAUAACAAAAUAGUUCAAUAGUUCAGCACAGUUCAGAAAAAAUAGAAGAAGUCCUUCAAGAAGUAUAAAUAAAUCAGUUUAGACACCAUACAUUUUGUUCCAUAAAAUAGCUAAGGGUAGCAAAAUGGCUGACAACAAGACAAUGUCAGGUUACACAUAGUUCUUAGUUCUUCUUUUGUUUGCUGGAUAUUCACCACAAUGCUCUGUGCAACACCCCAAUGGUUGACCAGCGGCAUUAGACAGUACUGCACCUUCAGGACUUUCUAGGGUCUUGCGUACAAAGGUUAUGUCCUCAUAAGUAAGCAUCACAGUUUCUUCGGCCUUCUUGGAUUUUGACCAAACAGAUGUAAUACACUUUAAUAGUAGAGUUAACUCUGAGCUGGAAAAUAGCUGGACAAUACUCCCCUGUGAGAGGUAGCUGGAGUACUCCUUUAUAAGGGAGAGUCUUCUUGUUCAUGUAUACUUUUUCUCAGUGAAAGAAUCGCAUUCAGGAUUAGUCAGUUUGCAAAGGAAAACAUGGAUCCACAAUUUGAAUAGCAGAAGUUUGUGGGGCCCUUUUUACGUGAAAUGUAACAAGCAUUUUUCUCAAAGUCUCAUAUUAUUAUUAAAUAAUGUCCAGGAGUGAUAGCAAGCAGUGGAUUUAUUUUUGCCAGCUUUAUAGCAUUUUACCUGUCGUAAAAACACUAAAUGCUUUGGUCUAAUGACAUGCAAAUAUUCUUAACUUUACUAUUUAAACUCAUAAACAAUAGACAUUAACAAGGAAGGGCCACAGAACAUACCAAUUCAUUAAAACCCAUAGAACUUAAACUCAGCAAUCAUUGUAAUAUCAAACCUGUUGUCAUCUGACAAAACAGAACACAGGCAAAUAUGGGCACGCAACUAAACAAUAACCAUUCCAAAAUAAAUUAACAAAUUUCACACUCUGUUUCCCUCAGAAUAAACACAGCUUGACACAACGUAGUUCCUAUGCUCGUGAUAGAUUACAACUGCAGUCAUAAACUAACACUUCCAAUUAAAUAUGCAACACCAUUCUCAUACCUAUGUAUAAAAAGCCUUUUAAAAAAUAUAAUGAAAAUUUCUGCAAACUGUUUGACUACUACUGAAGCAGACAACCAGCACUGAAGAUAUUUUCAUAAUUGUUUUUUGCAGACCCAGAAGAGGAUAGCUCGCAAGACUUGGCAAAUGAACAGGAAAGUUGAAUAAAACAGGAAGUCAACUAUUGCAACAGCAAUACAUUAGACUAACACUGUAGAACAGACCGCAAAAUUAGAGCUGUUAGAACUACUCAAACUCCCACUGCUCUUGGACAGAAGCAAUAACGUAGCAUUCAACAGCCACCAAAACAGUUAUUUAAUAGGUUAUUAGGAUGGCAUUUCCAUCUGUAUCAAUAGACUGGGACAAACUGAUUCAAAUAUGUUUUAAAACAACACAGUACAAUACCAAUUUAAUCUACUUGCUAGUUAACCUGCACACUUCAUAAUGGGUAUUCAAAACACCUAUUAACACAGGCACCAAUUACACAGAAUAAACUCAUAACAUCUGUAUUCAGAACAUAUGAUUGUAAGGUAUACCAAUUUUAAUUUGUAUCAGAUUUAUUCUAGGGUUAUUGUAUACAUGUAUUUCCUUAAAUACCAUAUUACUUAAUCUACCAUAGUAUUGUUUAUAAAGAAGGGAUCCCUUUAUAUCACGCUCUCGACUUACAUAUUUGUGUGAAACUUGCAUUAACUUAUUGCAAGAUCUGAACCCUCUCAAUAAAAUUUCUCUCUGAGAUGAUGCUACAUCAUCCAAAAUCUUAUAGAAAUUGAGCACAUUUUGGACCAGAUUACAAAGACAUGUUAGCGCCCGAAUCUCUCAGAACUCUCAGAGACUCAACAUUAUUAUGCUAGACCAUGUUAGGCAUGGCAAACCUUUUUGAAUUGAUCCAGUUGAGUGUUUAAGAGCCACAGAGAAAUGUAUAAUCAACCUUUGUCCAUGAUAUUCUGAUCCAGUUUGCAUACCUGACCAAAACCCAAACCCAACACACAGGUUUGUGGUCACAAGACUAAAAUCUCAGCAUCCCCGUACAACAAUUUGUAGAUUUUCACAAUUUUAAAGAACACGUAUAAUGUUAGACAUAUUAGUCAUAAUAGGGAGCUUUUUCCUCAAAGAUUAAUCUACAGAGAAUCAUAAAGCAUAUUCAGCAAGUGAUGUACUGCAUUCUUUAGAGUACCUGUAGCAAGGAAAAGUUAGCUUACAGCACAAAAUGAAGCAUGUGUUGGAAAAGUAGAUGUGUCUCUCUAAUUUACAAACAAAAAUACAUUUACAGUAUGGAUCCUCUGCAAGAAACACCCAGGGCAGGGAAAAUGUGGUGCUUGAUGUUUUACACAGUUAAUCCCGUAUGGAGACUUAACUUUGAAAUACUAAUGAGUGAAUUUGCCCCAGUACGAAAAUACUAGGCUCAUCAUUCAGACAAUGCAACACAAUCACAAUAUCCCACUCUCAUGGAAAGUGUAGUGGGCUUAUAGUAUAGACAUUACAAUCAUACCAGGCAUAUAGAUCCCAUGUGAAAUAAUAUAUAACCAUAUAAACAGAAAAAGAAACUCAUACUUUAUGAAAUAGGAGACUGGAGAAAUAGACAGAGAUAUCAUGAUAAAAUGGGAUUACAGAGCUGCACCCUUAAAUACCCCCAAAAAUUCCCUUAUGGUGAAACAUAUAUAGAAUACCGCCCACACAUAACCAUCAACAAAUAUACAGCUAUAUGUUGGAAAAUAACAUAAAACUAUCAUUCCCUAUAAACUCCCUCCUCCAUCAGAGUCAUCUCCUUUACCAUACCAGAGACUUGAGUAGAUUGCUCACCCACUGAGAGUGAUAGGGAGAACCUGGCAGACUUCUUAAAUUCCUUCCAUAUCUGUGGGUUAAGGGUGCCCACUGAGGGCAUGCCAGCUUUCUUGAGUAAUUUCUUUAUUGCCUUCCUUUAAGAUGAUUAACGAUAGUUAGAACUGUAAACUCCUCCUCCUGGGUCAUUUUCAUGAGUUACCCUUCUCUAACAUGUAAGGGGUAAUUACUUCCUUAACCAAGACAAUACUAUAUAAACAGUGUUUAAACACUUAGGACCACUGCAGUGGAAUUUUCACAGUCUUUGUCUUCUUUAUAUAAACACAGAUCAAAGAUCUGACUUGGAGGAUUCUUACUCUAACUAUAAAACUAUAAAGCAAAUGACAAGGCAAACAAAGUUAAGACCCACAGAUAUAUUCAACUAUCUCAAGAUUCCAAGAUUUCUUUCACAAGACAUUCCACCUGAACAUAACCAACCACAGAAAACAAGUUCUUUAGAAGGAGACCUAUUUAAAUCCCUACUCACCCAGACUUAGGAGUCAGAGAGCUCAAUAGAGAGUGAAUCUAGAGAGGUAUAAAAGUAACAUUUUUAUUACCGCUGCAGCUUAAGAGUCACUGUCUACAACCCUCGGUUUCCCAGUAUUUCGUCCGAAUGCAAUGGAUUGUUUCCUCCCGGGUUUCGGCAUUGUUAAGGAUAUCAAUUUACCUAGAGAUAUGUUCAGGUGGAAACCAAAUUGAUACUUUUAUUACGAGCUUCUCGGAGAAAGUAAUCAGACCAGACAGUUUUGGAUUCAAACAUUACUUCCUUAUUUUAUCGUGUAAGCUUACAGAUUAUAUAGUACUUUGUAAAGACAGCUUUGUGACUUGCGCACCAAAAACCAGAUGGGUGAAGUCACACUACUAAGGGAAAUUACAGUACUAAGCAUAUUUCAAUUGUUUUAUAUAUAUAUAUAUAUAUAUAUAUAUAUAUAUAUAUAUAUAUAUAUAUAUAUAUAUGUAGAAAGGCCAUUAGGCCUGAAUUUGUGGGAGGAGUAAGUCCCCUACUUAAGCUCCCAGCCCCUACUCACCGCUGCCGCUCAGCUGAUUGUCCUUAGCAACCAGCACUUCCGGUCCAGCUUCCCGCCAGAACUGUACCUGUUUCCAGCAGCCAGACGCCCUGUGCAAUCCUCCGUCCGUCCGAGGUCCUUCCACUCCGUUUCCCUCCGGUCGAGGUACCCGACUUCCGGUCACGAGACCGGCGCGUUCACGUAAGCAAGGCGUGGGAAUUAGCGUUCGCUAUUUCCCCGCCGUUCGGGCCUAAAAACGUAGGGGUAGGCUCCCUCUUUCGCAUUUUCACGAAUACACGCUUUCGUUAAUAUCUCCAUUCGCGCCAAAAAACGCACGAACGUUCGGCUCAUUUCGCUAUCAUUUUAUGCUUUUUCGUACGGAAACAACCGAAUAAAUAUUUCAUGUUUAAGCUCAUUAUUAUCUGUAUUCACUUUUCCGUUCGGUUAUUUCUGCACCAACCUAUUCGUAUGGUCAAAUUCACGUACACCAUCUUACUAAUUUACAUUCGGUUAUUUCUAUUCUUUUAAGCUAAGCUUGCAUAAGUUCUAAUUACAGUCCUACUAUUAUUUAUUCCUUCAUAUGAGUUUACGGUUACAUUAUAUGGUUAACUACCAGCCCUGGGUUUUUCUACCUUGUUAAACCAUUUUAAAGUAUUUUUCUGUAAUAAACAUAAUGUUCACCACGAUUCAUAACUUCAUACGUGUCUAAAUUCAAGCUAUACCAUUCUUUCCUAAUAACACUCAGAUAAGUCUUUUUAAACACUAUUUUCAAGUUAUACCCUUUACACAUAAUCCGUACUAUUCCUUGCACAUAAAUCACGCUGUCACAUCUUUUGGCUUUUACAGAUUGCAUCGGUCUCUUGCUUUUCUGCAUUAAAAGUUGUUAUUUCAAGGUCCUUUUAUUACAGGAACAGGUAUGGUUUUUAUCACCUUGAGUUAUCAGGUUUUAUCAAUUAUCUCCACACCUAUUGCUAACUAUGGAAUUUUGUCUUGGUUAAACCCUUAGAUCCUUGUAUUAAUCUAAGCUUCCACCGUUUCUACGCAGUUAACCUGCCACGAUUAAACAAUCUCUGUACUUUAAACAAAGGUAUAGUUCACUCUCUUUUCAAUACUAGACCUCACGCGGUCUCAACUCCAUUACUACCUUCCCUCAGGCUUACGCCCAGGAUACGUUAUCUCUUUACUACUUGUCUACACAGACUUUCGGUCAUACGGCCACCAGGCUCAAGAAGACACCAAAAACCUGACACGGUACUCAGCCAUACCUUCAGGUACUUACAUCCUUACUCAAGUACGUCCAUUCGCUACCCCAAGGCCUCAUUCUGCCUUCUCACUCAUAUCCAAAAUCAUCCCAUUCCUACACCUAAACCUCCCAGAUCCCUCAAUGCAGGAUCUCACGUCGUGCCCCUUACAAACCUUCUCCCUAUACUAUUCAUACGACAUCACGAUACGUAUAAACACAUCAAACAUCUGUCUUAAACCCCCAGGAUUCUUCCUCAAAGACAACAUUUAAGACAGACUCUCUACACUUACCAGGAGGCUCCAGAUACCAUUUGCGACCAGUCAAGGUUAGUAUCCACACACCAUUCCAGUCCUCUAACUUUACCCUUUAGCAUACUAUCGAACUGGCUAUACGGCACAGGCUAAUGCCUUAGCCCACCCUAUCAGGAAAUCUGAUCCCGCGAGGCCUACCACCCCCACCCCACCUCAACACGGAGGUACGGCCCCACGCCCAAAUCAUAGUUAUAAGCCUCGCAUGCCUUACUACAGGGCUCUAGUUAGGGCCUCACCUGUCACGGCCACACGUUUUGAUUUCUCUUAUCGUCACCGAGAGGCCAACAUCCCGCCACCACGUCUGUGGCACCUACGUCAUAAGCCAAAUCAUAGGUAGAGCCUCUCAUCGCCACUUGGCAUUAGCAGGGCCUCACCUAUCCAGUCAUUCAACAGUUAAGUUUUUCGCCUCGGCAUCUAGCAUUAAAGUCCAGUUCUUCAAGACACACCACUCCCCAUACCCCCCCUCUUACCUCACUCCCCUUCUAAUAUAUCUUUCACAUAAUCAUUCCUUUUUUAGAAUGUCCCAAGAACCUAUUCCAACCGAAGAACUGACAGAAGAAGCACCAUUCACGCCAAUCAGACCCGUGUCUCCAGGCGAAUCACUCACUCUUUCAACCCCCACGUCCUUGAGAGCAUGGACUAUUCCCAAAAUCACAGCCGAGCUUAGGCUCAGGGGAAUCCCCUUUCCGGCCACAGCUAGAAAGGCAGAACUUUACAGGCUGCUUACCCACCAAGUCCCCGAGCCUCGGCCGGGAACUAGCUCUCAAGGACAACCACCAAGUAACAGCACGGCCACCCAGGAUACCCUGGCAGAUAUCUUGGCCAAUCUACAGGCCCUCAAUAGCAGGCUGUCUAAGGUGGAGAGCGCCAUCUCCUCCUCAGGUACUAACACCGUAGUCCCAGUCUCUACCACGGCUGUACCUGCCAUACCUUCAUGUCCCUCUAUACUCCCCCCUCCAGCACCUGGCACAGCCAUCACACCUUUCGAGUCACCAGCACACUCCGUCCCAGAUUCUAUCAGGAAAGAUAUCCUUGACGGGAAGGAUGUGUGUCUGGUGUCUUUACUCAUAGCCUCUCAGGAUGUACUCGAGAACAAGGCAUACAAUUAUGGUGACAUCUCUGUUGUGCUUAAAACGAGGGAUCCCAGGCUUAAUAAAAAAUUGUCUAUCCCACAGUUUGUGAUAGCUUUCGGGAUAUACCGCGACGUCAUUUGCACGGUGUAUCCCCAUAGGAGAGAAGAGCUAGAUCUCUAUCUCCACAAGGUAGUGGAUCUAGGCAUCAAGUACGGGGGCUCUUCCUUCUAUGACUACCACAAGUCAGUCUCAGCGAAGGCGGCGACCCAUCUCAAGCAGUUCAACAUUAGAAUGAACUGGGGUCAGAUGGACACUGAACUUUUCUGUCGCCACUUCGCCGGACUCAGGCCCCCGGCUUGUGCCAUCUGUAAUUCCACAUCCCACAUGGCGGACUUAUGUCCCGUCGAACCAGAUCCCACCACCUCCACUCUCACCCCUCACCCCACGUUCACACCUCACUCCUCUUUCACCCCUCACAAGCCAGCGGGUGGUCUCCGGGAUAAGCUGGGUAGGCCCAUCUCCUUUUUAGGUAAAGCUCAGGUGUGCAAUAAUUUCAACGCAGGCUCCUGCAGUUUCAGCGCCUGUAGAUUAUUGCACAUCUGCUCCAUAUGUUUCAGGGCACAUACCAAGACCAUGUGUCCAGCCAGGUUGUCACCAAACAAAUGACUAACCGACAUAAAUAUCGACAACCUGGUUUUUUAUCUAAGGUGUCACCCCAGCAGGCACUUAGUGGAUUUUCUCACCACAGGUUUCUCACAAGGGUUUCACACAGGCAUAAUAGCCAUUCCCCCAGGUACACUAGAAUGUCCUAAUCUCCAGUCUGCACGUUUAGACCCAGUCGCUGUAGACACUCUCAUUUCCGCAGAAACCACAAACGGUUUCAUGAUCGGUCCUUUCACCUCUUCACCGUUUUCCUCCUGGCGCACUAACCCUAUUGGUAUUGCUAUUCACAAAUAUUCUAAUAAAAAACGUCUCAUUAUCGAUUUAUCGGCACCGCACUCCUCUUUUGUUCCAAGCAUAAACGCACUCAUUCCAGCAGACGAAUUCUCUCUGCAGUACGUCACCAUCGACGACGCCAUACAGUCCAUCAUGACAUCUGGUAAUCGACCCUGGCUCAGCAAAACAGACAUCACUAACGCCUUUAAAUUACUGCCCAUACACCCUUCACUCUGGCACUUACACGGUGUUAAAUGGCGAGGGUAUUAUUACUUCUCAACACGACUCACUUUUGGUUCCGAAGCAGCCCCAAACUUUUCGACAUUUUCGCAGAGUCACUAUGCUGGCUGCUUCUGAACGUCAUCAGGUGUCACUCCGUUAUUCACUAUCUAGAUGACUUUCUACUGAUAGAGCCAGGGUCAUCAACACCCACAGCAAUCAAUAGUACUACCGCACUUUUUUCCACACUUGGAGUCCCUUUGUCCCCAGCCAAAACUAUAGGACCCACAACAAAGUUUACCUUUUUAGGCAUAGAGCUCGAUUCUGUCAAACUCAGAGCUAGCCUUCCACACGACAAACUUUCACGAUUGAGAGGGGAGAUAGACACGUUCCUGCGGAAUGACGUUUGCACCAGGAGAGAACUUCAGUCCCUUCUUGGAUCUCUGAACUUCGCCAUGCGCAUCAUUCCGCAGGGAAGGUCUUUUAUUUCCAGACUUCUUUGCCUGCUCCAUGGAGUCCCGGACUCCGGCACAGUUUCUUUGGACCCCCACGCCAAGGCUGACUUGGCUAUGUGGGGGAAGUUUUUGAAAGACUGGAAUGGUAUCUCCAUGUUUAUCCCCCCUCUCUCCACCUCUUCACCCAUCAUCCACACAGACGCAGCAGCCAACACCGGUUUCGCAGCCAUUUUCGGGAACCACUGGUUUAGGGGCCACUGGCCCACUGAGACAGAUGCCUUGCCAGGAUUCAGGGAGACCUCAACCCUAUUUGAAAUUUACCCCAUUGUGGCGGCCGCACACACCUGGGGUCAUCUCUGGUCCGGCAAGGCAGUAAAAUGCUACUCAGAUAACUCGGCAGCUUGCGAUAUUAUUAACAAAGGGCGCUCAUCAUCCCUGACCAUCAUGCGGCUGAUUCGCAAGUUGACCUGGCUGGCAGCAUCCAAUCAGUUUCACUUAGUAUGUUCUCACAUCCCGGGUAUUCACAACACCGCCGCUGACGCUCUUUCUCGUUCUCGAUUCCAGGCAUUUUCUCAGGCACUCCCAGCAGCUCACCAUCAGCCAUCCAGGACACCACGGUUUCACGAACUAAUAUUGGAUUAAGCACACUCUUGCUUCACGCUAGAUCACUCACUCACCAAGCAUUAUCACCCAACACUGCUAUCACUUACAAUAGGGCACUUAACAUAUUUAACAAAUUCACUGCAGAAUUCGGGCUACAAGGUGUCACGAUUCGGGGAACCAAACACGCCAACACACACACACACACAAAGUGCCGUACCGGACCUUAGAGUGGCCGGGCUAAGCACACAAAGAAUAGUCAGGAAACAAGCCGAGUAAGGGGAACCAGAAGACAGAAUAACGUGAAACAAGCCGAGGUCAAAGGGUAGGAGAAAGUCACAGAGUCGGAUAACAAGCCAGAGAGUACGUAACCAGAAGCACAAGUUCAGAAUCAAUACUAAUAAGCAAAGACCACAACAGGGCGAAGAGGAACAGGAAAGGUAAGUAUAUAAAUCCAAAGGUUAAUUCUGAUUGGAUAAUUUCCAAUCAGAAUUAACAAUCACACGUGGGAGAUAUCUAAACCUCCCACUGUGAUUGAGGCACUGUGCCUUUAACGCCGGGUCAGGUGACUGACCCCGGCGUUGGUUAAAGUGGGCGGUCUCCCAGCGUGCAGCGUCAUACAUGCUGCCGCUGGGAGACACAGAGGAAGAGGCGGACGGCACCCGUGGGAGAGAGGGUGCCGCCCGCCGAGCACACGGCUGAAGGGGGACCGCGGACGGCUGGAGGGUGAGUGCCGCGAGCGGACUGCAACCUCCCCUCGCAGCCGCCCGCGGGACCCUGACAGUACCCCCCCCUCGAAGACCGCCCAGAGGGCGGGAAGCAGAAGGCUUCAAAGGAAACCGGGCAUGAAAGGAGCGGACUAAAGAGGGGGCGUGCAAAUCAGAGCUCGAAACCCAAGACCGCUCCUCAGGGCCGUAACCCUUCCAAUCCACCAGGUAUUGCAGCCGACCCCUAGAAACACGAGAGUCGAGAAGGGCAGCUACUUCGAACACGUCACUAGAGACAGUACGAGGGGAAACGGGCCGUCCGAGAGGACGAGAGAACCGGUUACACAGCAAGGGCUUCAAAAGCGAAACGUGAAACGUGUGCGGAAUACGCAUGGAAGGAGGCAAGUCCAGGGAGUAGGAAACGGGGUUGAUCCUACGUAACACUUUGUAGGGACCAAGAAACCUGGGAGCAAACUUCAUGGAGGGGACCCUGAGACGGAGGUUCUUGGAGGACAACCACACCCUAUCACCCGGAGCAUAAGAAGGGGUCGCACCCCUAUGGCGAUCAGCGAACUUCUUCUGAGCAGCUGCUGAACGAGACAGCGCAAUAUGGACCUGAUCCCACGUCUUCCGUAAAGAGGCGAGGUGCUGGUCCAAGGCGGGCAUUCCCUUGUCAGAGAACGCACCGGGAAGGACAGAAGGCCGAAACCCAUAAGCAACCUCAAAAGGACUUAAGCCAGUAGACGAAUGAGACACCGCAUUCCUGGCAAAUUCAGCCCACGGAAGAAGGCGAGACCAGUCGUCCUGGUGCGCAUUAGUGAAGCAGCGCAAAUACAAUUCCACAGACUGAUUAGCACGUUCGGCUGCACCAUUAGAUUGCGGGUGAUAGGAGGAAGUGAACGACAAGGAGACCCCCAUCUCAGCACAAAAGCCCCUCCAAAACCGAGAGACAAAUUGCGGGCCCCUGUCAGAAACAAUAUCCUGAGGUACCCCAUGCAAGCGGAACACUUCCUUGGCAAACACCUGGGCAAGCUGAAUCGCAGAGGGUAGUUUCUUAAGUGGAAUAAAGUGGGCCAUUUUAGAGAACCUAUCCGUCACAGUUAAUAUCACCGUCUGACCAUCAGAAGGAGGAAGGUCCACAAUAAAAUCCAUGGACAAGUGGGUCCAUGGUUUCUUGGGUAUAGAUAGAGGCAUCAGUAGGCCUUGGGGUCUCAUAUUAGGAGACUUACACUGCGUACAGACCCGACAAGCCUGAACAAAAUCCACUACGUCUCGCUUGAGUGAAGGCCACCAGAACUGUUGAAGGAGGCUCUUAUAAGUCUUGGUAACCCCCGGAUGACCAGCAGUUUUGGCGGUGUGAAACAAUGUUAACAACUUUUUUCUGUCACUUACUUUCACGUAUAGUUUACCAACAGGCUUCGCCUGAGGCGCUUGGGUUUGGUAUGUCUUAAUAUUCUCAAGGAAGGGAGAUGAAACAACCAAACGGGUAGCAGCUAUGAUCUGAGAAGCUGGUACAAUAGGUUCAGGGGUUGGGUUAACAAAUUUUAAAGGUUCAUACUGUCGAGAGAUAGCGUCAGCUUUGGCAUUACGGCAACCAGGUCUAUAGGUAAUAAUGUAUUGGAAUCGCGAAAGGAAUAGGGACCAUCUAGCCUGUCGGGCGGACAACCUUCUAGCAUCGGCUAUAUAGGAGAGGUUCUUAUGAUCUGUCAGAACCAUAAUUUUGUGUCUAGAACCCUCUAAUAAGUACCUCCAUUCCUUAAAAGCUAACACAAUAGCUAAUAGUUCUCUAUUCCCAACAUCGUAAUUCUUUUCUGGAUCAGACAACCUUUUAGAAAAGAAACAACAGGGAUGGAGGGGUUCAUCAUACGAUAACCUUUGUGAUAGUACUGCUCCCACCCCCGAUUCAGAAGCAUCUACUUCCAUAACAAAGGGAAGAGAAGGAUUAGGGUGGUGUAGUACUGGAGCAGAGGCAAAUGCUUUCUUGAGAGUUUCAAAGGCUUUAAGGGCUUCAGGAGUCCAAACCCUAGGGUGUAGACCUUUUUUAGUCAGCUUUGUGAUAGGAGAGAUAAGUGGUGAGAAGUUUUUUAUAAAUUUUCUAUAAUAGUUAGCAAAACCUAUAAAACGCUGGAUAGCCUUAAGUCCUUGGGGAAGUGGCCAGGACAGUAUAGCUUCCAAUUUAGCAGGAUCCAUACUAAAACCCUGUUCAGAAAUUAUAUAUCCCAGGAAUUGCACAGAGGUCUGAUCGAACAGACAUUUUUCUAACUUACAAUAAAGUCCGUUCUGUAAUAAUUUUUUAAGCACCAUCCUAACAUGUUUAUGAUGUGACUUCAAAUCAGGAGAAUAUACAAGUAUGUCGUCAAGGUACACCACGGCACAGACAUGCAAUAGAUCCCUAAGGACAUCGUUUAUGAGAUCCUGAAACACAGCAGGAGCAUUACACAGUCCAAAAGGCAUGACCAGGUAUUCAUAAUGCCCACUACGCGUAUUGAACGCUGUCUUCCACUCAUCAUUCUCCUUUAUACGGAUAAGGUUAUAAGCUCCCCUGAGGUCUAGUUUAGUAAAGUACUUAGAACCUUUAACGCGGUCAAACAACUCAGUGAUGAGGGGGAUAGGAUAGGCGUUUUUAACCGUUAUAUUGUUCAGACCCCUGUAGUCUAUACACGGCCUCAAAUCGCCCUCCUUCUUUGCCACAAAAAAGAAACCAGCACCAGCAGGAGAGGAGGACCUUCUAAUAAAACCUUUCCUUAAGGAUUCUCGUAUGUACUCCUCCAUGACCUGGUUUUCUUUCUCAGAAAGAGGGUAGACCUUACCCCUAGGGGGCAUAGUGCCCGGUAAAAGGUUUAUGGCACAGUCAUAGUCACGAUGUGGAGGUAGCUUAUCUGCCUCCCUCUUUUCAAAAACCAAUGCAAGAUCUGCAUAUACAGAAGGGACAGAAACAGAGAGUGGUUUAGCCGUGGGCACGUUGAGUAAACAAACAGGAUGUACCUGAGCCAUACAGUCUCGUUGACAGGAUUCCCCCCAGGAUAGUAUAUCCAAGCAACCCCAAUCGAGAACAGGGUUGUGUUUCACUAACCAGGGAAAACCCAGAACGAUGGAAGCAGUAGGGGAGUCAAUUAUUUGGAAGGUUAACCUUUCCUUAUGCAAAACACCUACAGACAUCACUAUUUCUUGGGUCUCAUGGGUCACCAGAGGUUUCUCAAGUGGUCUACCAUCUAUGGCCUCAACGACCAAGGGUGUGGCCUUUUGGAUCAAAGUUAAGGCUGCGGUUUUAGCAAAGUUCUCAUCCAUAAGGUUGUCUGCCGCACCUGAAUCGAUCAAGGCUUUGGUGGUUAUGGUGGUUUUAUUGACCAAAAGAGAAACCGUAAUAAACGGUCUGGAGAUGGACACAUGAGGGGACAAAGUCAUAACACCCGAGGCCGACCCCUCUCUAGGCCUUAGGUGCUGUAGUUUCCCUGUAACUUAGGGCAGGCAUUACAGUGGUGCCCCCUCUUUCCACAAUAAAGGCAUAACCCCUCCCUUCUACGAUAUGCUCUUUCAGCCUCAAUUAGCCCCGUAGCACCCAAUUGCAUGGGUUCGGCGGUUGGUUGACUAGGAGCGGGUAGUGCUAGUAAAGCAGUAGAGGGGGGAGCAGGUAAUGCCUGUGCAUCCAUCCGUCUUUGACUACGCCUCUCUCUAAUACGGUUAUCAAUAAGAAUGACAUAAUCUAUGACAUCAUCUAGAAGAACAGGCAAUUCCCUGGAUGCUAUUUCAUCCAGUAUGUAGGCGGCCAAACCCUCCUGAAAGGCUGUUACGAGGGCAUCAUUAUUCCAAACCACUUCAGCUGCUAGUGUGCGGAAUUCGAUAGUAUAAUCCGCUACAGAUCUAUUACCCUGUCGUACCCUAAGCAGAGCUUUGCCAGCAGAGGCAACCCUACCGGGUUGAUCGAACGUACGUUUGAAAGCUGUCAAGAACUCUACAAAGGACAUAGGAGAUGUAUUCUCCCACAUGGGGUUAGCCCAUGCUAAAGCUUUCCCGGACAGGUGGUUAAUCAAAAAGGCAAUUUUGGAUCUGUCAGUGGGAUAGGAACGUGGAUUCAUCACCAAAUGGAUGUCAAUUUGGUUAAGGAAACCACGACACAAUGCUGGGUCACCGCUGUAGCGUUGUGGCGGUGUCAUGUGAACAACAUGAGCAGGAACGGGUACCGGAGUGGGAAUGGGUUUGUAACUGUGAGCUUCGCCAAGCUUUCAGAAACUUGGUCUUGUAAAAUGCAAUAAAGUGUGUAUUUUCUCGAAUUUAUCUUUUUGCCCUCUUUUAUUUACAGGCCCACUCGUACGUUGGUUUCGGCACACCACAACCAACUUUGCUCACAGUUACUAUCCAUCACGUAUUUAAAUUCCGAGCACAAGUAGAAAGGCCAUUAGGCCUGAAUUUGUGGGAGGAGUAAGUCCCCUACUUAAGCUCCCAGCCCCUACUCACCGCUGCCACUCAGCUGAUUGUCCCCACCCACCUACACCCUGUUUUAACUACAUUAUCCUUGGUGGGCCCUCUUUUAUUUACAGGCCCACUCGUACGUUGGUUUCGGCACACCACAACCAACUUUGCUCACAGUUACUAUCCAUCACGUAUUUAAAUUCCAAGCACAAAUAUNNNNNNNNNNNNNNNNNNNNNNNNNNNNNNNNNNNNNNNNNNNNNNNNNNNNNNNNNNNNNNNNNNNNNNNNNNNNNNNNNNNNNNNNNNNNNNNNNNNNGAACAGUCUCUAUUCUGAUCUGUGUCAGUGUGUAUCAGGGGCUCUGAGGACAGGUGUCAAUCCAUAUCUGCCAAGUGACCCUAUGUAGGGGGAACAGUCUCUAUUGUGCUCUGUGUCAGUGUGUAUCAUGGUUCCUGAGGACAGGUGUCAAUCCAUAUCUGCCAAGUGACCCUAUGUAGGGGGAACAGUCUCUAUUCUGCUCUGUGUCAGUGUGUAUCAUGGUCUCUGAGGACAGGUGUCAAUCCAUAUCUGCCAAGUGACCCUAUGUAGGGGGAACAGUCUCUAUUCUGCUCUGUGUCAGUGUGUUUCAUGGUCCCUGAGGACAGGUGUCAAUCCAUAUCUGCCAAGUGACCCUAUGUAGGGAAACAGUCUCUAUUCUGCUCUGUGUCAGUGUGUAUCAUGAUCUCUGAGGACAGGUGUCAAUCCAUAUCUGCCAAGUGACCCUAUGUAGGAGAACAAAGUCUCUAUUCUGCUCUGUGUCAGUGUAUCAUGGUCUCGAGGACAGGUGUCAACCAUAUCUGCUAAGUGACCCUAUGUAGGGGAAACAGUCUCUAUUCUGCUCUGUGUCAGUGUGUAUCAUGAUCUCUGAGGACAGGUGUCAAUCCAUAUCUGCCAAGUGACCCUAUGUAGGGAACAGUCUCUAUUCUGCUCUGUGUCAGUGUGUAUCAUGAUCUCUGAGGACAGGUGUCAAUCCAUAUCUGCCAAGUGACCCUAUGUAGGAUGAACAGUCUCUAUUCUGCUCUGUGUCAGUGUGUAUCAGGAGCUCGGAAGACAGGUGUCAAUCCAUAUCUGCCAAGUGACCCUAUGUAGGAGGAACAGUCUCUAUUCUGAUCUGUGUCAGUGUGUAUCAUGAGCUCUGAGGACAGGUGUCAAUCCAUAUCUGCCAAGUGACCCUAUGUAGGAGGAACAGUCUCUAUUCUGCUCUGUGUCAGUGUGUAUCAGGAGCUCUGAGGACAGGUGUCAAUCCACAUCUGCCAAGUGACCCUAUGUAGGAGGAACAGUCUCUAUUCUGCUCUGUGUCAGUGUGUAUCAUGAUCUCUGAGGACAGGUGUCAAUCCAUAUCUGCCAAGUGACCCUAUAUAGGGGAAACAGUCUCUAUUCUGCUCUGUGUCAGUGUGUAUCAUGAUCUCUGAGGACAGGUGUCAAUCCAUAUCUGCCAAGUGACCCUAUGUAGGAGGAACAGUCUCUAUUCUGCUCUGUGUCAGUGUGUAUCAGGGGCUCUGAGGACAGGUGUCAAUCCAUAUCUGCCAAGUGACCCUAUGUAGGAGAACAGUCUCUAUUCUGCUCUGUGUCAGUGUGUAACAUGGUCUCUGAGGACAGGUGUCAAUCCAUAUCUGCCAAGUGACCCUAUGUAGGAGAACAGUCUCUAUUCUGCUCUGUGUCAGUGUGUAUCAUGGUCUCUGAGGACAGGUGUCAAUCCAUAUCUGCCAAGUGACCCUAUGUAGGGGGACCAGUCCCUAUUCUGCACUGUGUCAGUGUGUAUCAGGGAACCUUAGGACAGGUGUCAAUCCAUAUCUGCCAAGUGACCCGAUGUAGGAGGAACAGUCCCAAUUCUGCUCUGUGUCAGUGUGUAUCAGGGGCUCUGAGGACAGGUGUCAAUCCAUAUCUGCCAAGUGACCCUAUGUAGGGGGAACAGUCUCUAUUCUGCUCUGUGUCAUGUGUAUCAUGAUCUCGGAGGACAGGUGUCAAUCCAUAUCUGCCAAGUGACCCUAUGUAGGAAGAACAGUCCCUAUUCUGCUCUGUGUCAGUGUGUAUCAUGAUCUCUGAGGACAGGUGUCAAUCCAUAUCUGCCAAGUGACCCUAUGUAGGAGGAACAGUCUCUAUUCUGCUCUGUGUCAGUGUGUAUCAUGGUCUCUAAGGACAGGUGUCAAUCCAUAUCUGCCAAGUGACCCUAUGUAGGGGGAAUAGUCUCUAUUCUGCUCUGUGUCAGUGUGUAUCAUGGUCUCUGAGGACAGGUGUCAAUCCAUAUCUGCCAAGUGACCCUAUGUAGGGGGAACAGUCUCUAUUCUGCUCUGUGUCAGUGUGUAUCAUGGUCUCUGAGGACAGGUGUCAAUCCAUACCUGCUAUGUAGGGGGAACAGUCCCUAUUCUGCUCUGUGUCAAUAUGUCAUAUGUCAGGUAUCAAUCCAUAUCCAUUGUGAUUUAGGAAUGUUAGGUGAUUUCUGCCCUUUAUGGAUUAAAACCAGACUCUGCAUCAACUGUGUAAUUUUCCAUGGGAGUUUUGCCAUGGAUCCCCCUCCGGCAUGCCACAGUCCAGGUGUUCUGUGGCCAGAAAGAGUCCCUGUGUGUUUUAAAAUUCGCCUGCCCAUUGAAGUCUAUGGCGGUUUGCCCGGUUCGCCGGCUCGCAAACAUUUGCGGAAGUUCGCGUUCGCCGUUCGCGAAACGAAAAUUUCGUGUUCGCGACAUCACUAAUCAUAUAGUGUUACCCUAUGAAUUUUUUCUCUGCUUUUAUCUUUUAGGUGUAUCUUAUAUUUUAUAUUUGACUUUUGAGGAUUUUGAGGAAUCCUUUUGUUACGCCCUGACACAUUAGGGAAGUAAUUACCUUUAUUUUGUAUAUAUUGCUGUACCUGGGUGGUCUACACAUACAUAUUAUUGAAAUAUUUCACUCUUUUCAGCAGCAGAAAAGAGUGAAAUGGUGCUCUGCUUAAUGAUGUGGAACAUCCUCCUUUAGUAGUUUUUCCUUAAAUUGGGCUCACCUUGUAAUCUAAUUAUCAAAGGUUGUCCGAGAUUGUUUUCAGUGAUCAAAAGAGCCCUGAGACACAAUGCCAUCCAUGAGUUAAACUGAAAAACAAAAUAUUUCAUCUUUGUGACACUUAAAUAGAAUUUGCAUAAUCAUUUGGAACAGGGUGUAAAAACAGGAUAGAGAGCAACCCAUAGGGAGGCAGCGAGAGAUUAGAGUGGUCAAUGUGUUGAUGAAGACUUGGUGCAGGAAAGAGGGUUUUGGGUUUUUAGAGCACUGGGCCGCCUUUGCAAUUAGGUACAACCUGUAUAGUGGUGAUGGAUUGCACUUAAACGGAGGGUCUGCUGUGCUGUGGGAUAGGAUGGCUAGAAGGUUGGAGGAGAUUUUAAACUAAUAGUAGGGGGGAGAGUCAAAGCAAUCUAGAAAAUGGAGAUAGGAUAGAAAGGAGAUGGGCUUUUGCUGAGAAUAAAGGGGGUGGAAAUGGGGGGAGGGGAAAGCUGAGAACAGAGGAGGUAUGUAAUAUUGAUAAUUCACAAAAAGUACAAAUAACUCAUGAUAAUAUUAAAUGUAUGCUUAUUAAUGCAAGGAGCCUUUAUAACAAAAUUGGGGAACUAAAGGCAAUAGCAUACACUAAACAAUAUGAUAUAAUGGGCAUAACAGAAACAUGGUGGGAUGAGGCCAAGAAGGGCAGUUAACUUAAAUGGGUACACUUUAUUUAGGAAGGAUAGGAAAAACAGGAAGGGUGGUGGGGUAUGUUUGUAUGUCAACCAUGAGUUAAAGUAAAAUCUUAGGCACGAGGCCCUGGGGACAUAGGGCAGCUAAGCGGAAAAAAGGGCACAUGUAUGAGUGUGGGGAUAGAUGCAGGGGAUUGGUUAGGAAAGAAUGUAAAAGUGGGAUUAUCUUCUGGGAAAGAAUGUGUGGGUGGGAUUAUGUUCUGUGUAAAUUAGUGUGGGGGAGGUCUUACCUCAGUGCCACUUGGGAUUCGGGCCAUUAAACAGCUUCCUGUCCUCCUGUUCCUGUUUGUCCUGGGCCUGCAGGUUUACCAGCUUAUGGGAUGGAGGUUGAGGCUGUCUGGCUUCCCUCCAAGCUGCUGCAGCGUGGAUUGUGGCCAGCAACUCCUGACAUAGGUGCCUUCCUCUCCCCUGGUGUGGGUCGUCCCCCCCGCGGCCUGUCUCCCUCUGAGGCCUUCCCUGUGGCCCCUGCUCCUGGGGCCAUGAUGGCGCCAGCCGACAUUCCCGCCCACUGGCUAAGCUAAGGCAUUCCCCCGACACUGCUCCUCAGGCCCCGUUGAGGAAGUGGAGCCUGGGCCCAAGGCAUCACCUGGCCUGCAUGUCUGAGGCUCUAGAAACGAGGCCUGUAACUGCGAUGCAGGAUGCGCAGCCUCCUGCCGCCGCACAGGACAUGCAGCCUUCCCCUCCUGCAGCCACAUGACAGGCUGCGGCCUCCGGCAUUGGGUUUCAUGCCGGAGGCAGUAGGAGGCGGGCGGCGCGUCUUGCGACUUGUGUGGCCGCCCAGUGGAGAAUGGGCCUGCGGAAUUGCGCAGGGACUAAUCUACUGCCAUUGGGGGUAGGGGGGGCCUCUCCUGGGCUCGGGCCUCCGCUGCCGGUGAGGAUGGCGCCCAUGGGGUCUCACUCUCAGUUUUCUUUCAGUUUUCUUCCCCCCCCUCUCCUUCUCUUGUUCUGAUCCUAGGGCCCUCCUUUUUUUCUUUCCGGGGGGGCCCUCAACUCCUCCCCCGGUGUCCCCCUAUUUUUCCUUUUGUUGCUGUUGAUCAAUCUUUUCUUCUUCCCCCUCUUCCCUUCUGUCAGUUCUCUCCCCCCUUCCCCUCUUUCUGUUCCUCUCCUCUGUUUCCUAUCUCCUCCCCCUUUCCUUUCCUCCCCGGCUCUUACCUGUUUCUGUCCCUUCUGGGUCUUCUCUGCCUUCUGUUCUUCUCUCUGCUGGUUAUUUACCUAGGCUGCCUCCUGGUGGAGCGUGGGCUCAGAUCCUCUCCAUGUCCUUUUCACAGGUCCUGGCUGCAGUUCACAGAAAUGACCAGCAGGUGGCGCCUGGAACACCUUGGAAGAACACAGUGGAAACUGAUCUCAGUGUCUUCUGCCAGGACCUCUACGCUUGCUAUGCCGCAGGCGGUACAACGGGGGGUGUACGUGAGUACGUUGUUUCUCCUUUUAUCCAGUCGGAUCUCCAGGGGUUCUUUUAGAUCUGGGGGGUGGGGUCUUAGCGUGGUAAUAAAAAAAAAAAUUCUGAAUAAGUAAAUAAAAUGAGAAAUAAGGGGGGCGUGGCCGACCACGGAGCUGAAUGGACGUGCUCUGAAACAGCUCCCCUAGGCCUGUUGGUGUAUCCACGUGCAUCGGAGACUCUAAAUCAACAUGGGGAAUCCCAAAAGACAGGGCAAUACCCAGGAGAGAGUGGGGAAGACCCCUACCUCAAAAUCGGGUACAUUAACACACUACUUCAAGGACAAUUUGGAAAAUAUGCCCGACGGAGAAAUAAACAAAAUGGCCGCGUCGGACAUGAGCUCGGAUCAGGACCCCGCUAGCCCCUCGGGCUCUGACCACUCCACUAAAACCCUUGACUCGAAAAAAGACGCAGACAUAAGGGAAUUAAUAAAAAACUUACCUUCUAAAUCCGACCUGGCGUCCAUGUUAAGCCGACUGGAAGCAACAUUCCAAACAAGGAUGGAGUCGGUGGAAGCAGAGGUACAGCAGGUGAAUACCCGUAUCUCAGACCUGGAAGAAGAGAGAGAUGUCACUCAAGCCCAAAUCUCUAACCUCACUAGUAUGAUAGAAUCACAAGGCAUCGCUUUAAACGGCUACCAGAGAUAUGUCGACGACCUGGACAACAGGGGCCGUCGUAACAACUUGAGGGUGAGAGGCAUGCCGGAACAACAAGAUGAAGACUUAGCCCUGGUGCUCACAGAACUUUUCAACCUGCUCUUAAAUAAGCCCGGCGACAGCCCCAUCCUACUUGAUAGGGCUCACAGAUCUCUCAGACCGAGGGGGCUAGCUCAAGAUGCUCCUAGGGACAUUGUUUGCAGACUUCAUUAUUUUUCCAUUAAGGACGACAUCAUCAAGAAGCUGAGAGAUACCACCCAGCCUCUCCUAUUCCACGGAUCACCGAUCCAAAUAUACCCUGAUCUCACCUGGUAUACUCUUCAGGCCAGGAGAUGCCUGAGACCUGUCACGGCACUUCUUCGCCAACGCUCUAUCAGAUACCGCUGGGGAUUUCCCUUUGCCCUUUUUGUGCAACACAAAGGCACUCUGUUCUCUAUAACAUCCUUCCCAGAUGUCAAACCCUUUCUAAAAGGUUUGGAUUUACCUGAUACGGCAGUUAUGGAUUGGAAUGUACCCCCCUCGACCGCGGACGAAUUGAUCUUACCUCCGUCCCAGCGAGGCAACACUCCCUCGAAAAAAUGCCGACCAGAUAACCGCUUGUUCUCACCUAACGGACGUCCUCCAGCGGGUCAACGGGACAGCAGACGCCAAUAAGAAGUUUCUCCUAUCUCCAGUCACCCCCCACAAUUAGGAAGAGUUUCGGCCGUGAUUUCAAGACACGAGUGCAAGCCUUGGACCCCUACAAUUCUUUCCGCUCCCCCUUUCCACCUUAGCCUACACUGUAAGGAAGUUACCUGCUCAAAGUACUCCUCUGGACUAUUCACCCUGAUACUGGCCUGCUGAGGGAGGACGGGAGACGACGCUUCCCGCACUUUGUACUAGAACUGUUUCCUCACCAGUCACAGGACAUUGCUUUGCCUUCUCUAACCCCCUCCCCUUUCACUCCACAAGCACCGAAACUACCUGCUGAUCCGAGACACUACAAACCAGGUCGUAUGUAAUUGAGCAGUGGUCACAUCAAGAUACCCCUACCCCCUACGCCUUAUAAAUCUCCCUAUGACUCCCUAUGAUAUAUAUAUAUAUGGUUCACAUUAUAAACGUUUGGUAGUGGCCUCCGUGCCCGACACACCCUGUGAUCUGGGGAACCUCGGGCUACCGGUUCAUCUGCCGUAUGUCCCUGGAUCUUAGGGAUUGUCGGAUGCCCAAAUUUCUGUGUACUUUAUGUAAUUGAUUCACUUCGAUUCCCUCCCCCCCCUCCACCACUGUCGCCUCCAGCUUUACCCACCCUCAAUAUCACCCUCCUAGGCGAUUAGCUGGCGUGCUUUUCGUGAAAUAUCGCCAAAUAUCUUAAAGCCACCAAACUGCACGGUGAUCAGGUUCCGGGCCAUAUCGCCUUACAGGAUAAGCGAGUUGGGUGGGCACCACCUCACUCCCCAUCUGCCUCCCUACUUCCCCACAUAGCACAAGAUAUGCAGAUUGUAAAUUAGAGAAUCCCCCCCCCUCCUUUGUCCUGAAGUCUCAUCAUACAUUCUGAAUUUGGCUGACACAAAAAUAAAAAAAAAAAUAAAAAAAGAAAUUGUUCGUCACCACAUUUAAAUAUAACAGGAAACAAUGGGCAGGCUGAGCGUAAGAUUGGGAGGCACUACAAAACCUACUCCCCAAGCGCAACAAGCUCACCCCCUACAUACCGCACUCUAGGAACAGUUACCAUACCGGGGGAUGGGGCAACAGUUGUGGGCCCUGUGCAGGCCUGACUGAGUAGCAAUAUCCCUCGUUGACUACACCUGAGGAUGAUAGCCUCUCAGCCCCCCUGCCCCCCACCCUUCCACCUUCUCACUCCCCCCCCUCUAACAGGCGUACACACUGCUAAGCAAGCAGCACUACAUGUACUCACUCCUAAACCCUCCCCCCCCCCAUCCUCUAUCCCCUAGACACAAAGUAACUCUCUAAUCUGUUUGAACAGGGAGAUAUCUAGAAUGUAUAGCUUAUACUUCAAUCAAAUGUUUGUAUGUAUGACUUGUGCUGAGUUUCCCCGACCUCCCUUCCGGCCACCUCUGCAAAGCUGGGGGACCCACUGAUGACCUGUCACAUAUAUCUCUUGUCAGUGGAGCUCCUGAAUAUGUCAUAGCCAGGUACUUACAAGGCAGACUGUACAUGAUGGUUUAAGAACCGCCCCUCCCCUACUUCCCCUCCCAUCACCCUCCCCUCACCUUACCUUCCCCCCCAGGGUCUUGCGAAUUAACCAUGAGAAACCUGAGUAUCUACACACGGGUUUAACUCUUAACUCACUAACAUAUAAGUCUCCUAAACGAUUCACACAUUAUAUAAGUGGAACAAACCAUAUAGGGCCUCCACUCGACCACCCGCCCAAGGAUUUAGCUGUUCCUCCUGCGCACGAGGAGAGAACCAGCUACUUUGUCACCUCCCCCCAGAGUGACGCGCAGCAGACGAACAAUUGGCAUAUUCAUCACUGCCAAUAGUGUUCGGACAUCUCGACAGGGACCCGAGAGGGACCGUGCCCCUGGCCCCGCCUUUUACGGUCAUCGAUAUCCCCAUUGCAGGGACCUUGCGUAUUGUCGUCUGACGACUCUAACCCCCGGUCCCUAUAGUUAAUUCUUCAAUUUUUCUAUUUUUCUAUUUUUAUCACACUCAGUUUUGUAAUCGCUGGAGCAUCAACGGAUUGCAGUUAACUGGGAGCACAUAGGUAGUAAUUCCUAGCACUAUCAGGAAGAGGAUAGGUACACAAUAUAGAACUUCACUAGGGCAAUACAGAGGGACAGCCUAUUCUGGUGAGCGGCAGAUAUACAACUUAACGUCACUCAUAUACCCGUACAUCCACACAAUCCCAAUUACAGAGCCGAAUCUUUGGAAAGGUUAGUCAAGUUGUUCAGUACAGUCAAAGUUGAGAUCGCUCCAUUCACGUAGCAUCCCAGCCUGGGUAGACAAAGCCAAUUCCCACACUCAGUAACCUAAACCUUCGCCUCACGCGCUUACUCUCUACCCGUACCGCCCUUUCCCUGCACACCGCUCGUGAGUCGCCAACCAUGGCAUCUAUUAAGCUGUUAACACAAAACGCAAGAGGACUAAAUGCCCCCGAAAAAAGAACUAUAGCUUUAUAUGACUUCAAAAGACACAAAGCGGACAUAAUAUUUGUCCAAGAAACCCAUUUCCGGGCAGACUCAGCCCCUUCACUACGGAAUAGAGACUAUCCGACGACUUUUUACGGUAAUUUUACCGGUUCUAAAUCACGGGGGGUUGCGAUUUUGGUAAGUAGACUAACCCCUUUUACAUAUCAAAGCCACCAGUCGGACGACUCAGGGAGAUACGUCUUUGUUAAAGGGAAAUUGGGAGACACCCAGAUAACAUUAGCUAAUAUUUACUUACCAAAUAGGAAACAAAAUGCAGUACUGAAGAAGAUACUACAUAAACUAUCCUCCUUUCAAGACGGAUUACUCAUAUUAGGGGGGGACAUGAAUAUUACACUAGACGGUGAUCUAGACUCCACAGCCAAAGCGCAUCCCCACAUGUCUCACCCCCGGAAACAACUCAAUAAUACACUCUUUGAAGCCCAGCUCUACGAUACAUGGAGGGCCUUACAUCCCACACGUAAAGACUACUCCUUUUUUUCACCACCCACAGGGACCUACUCCCGCAUCGAUAUAAUUUUUCUCCAACAUAGGUUCUUGCCGCUAAUCAAAUCGGCUACGUACGGGCCAAUCACUUGGUCGGACCAUGCCCCCAUGACGCUAGAGUUGUCGAUCCCAACCUUACUUAACCCCACAUCGCAAUGGAAGCUUAAUGAUCUGAUACUAAAUAGCACAGAAGUGAUUUCGCAACUUCGUCAAACAGUUGCUAAUUACUUCACCGAGAAUACACAUCCAGACAGCUCUCCAGCUUUAGUUUGGGAAGCACACAAAGCAGUUGUUAGAGGGGAACUGAUUAAAAUAGCGGCAAAACUGAAAUGGAAAAGGGAGCUUACAAUUACACAACUAACACGAGAACUGAAGACACUUGAGAGUAAUCACCAACGAGGACAGAAAGAUCUAGAAGACUAUAAAAGCAUACUGAAAACGAGGUCUGAACUGACGACACUUUUACAGCUCCACGCCAAACGUAAAAUGUCUCUAACAAAACACACUUACUACACUAAAGGAGGGAAAGCAGGCAAACUUUUAGCGCAGACUCUCCGUCAACCCAAACAGACCACAUUCAUAGCAGAAAUCGUUCAGGAAAACGGUACUAAGUCGCGACGCAUGCCAGACAUAAUAAAUUCCUUCCAUAAAUUCUAUUCCAACUUAUAUAACCUUAACCGUGCGCCCCCUUCCCCAGCAGACCUCCACCAUUUCCUAGAAUCUAGGAUCAAAAAAACCCUUCCACUAAACGACUCAACCUUCCUCGAUGGACCCAUCACGAUAGAGGAGUUCACAACCACGGUUAAAUCACUCCCUCUGGGAAAAUGCCCUGGACCUGACGGAUACACGAGCAAAUACUAUAAGAUACUCUCUCAAACAUUAGCUCAACACUUUACAGCAGCUUUUAAUGUCAAAAAUCUAGCGUCUACCUUGCCCUCUUCGGCGUUGGAAGCUAAUAUUUCCUUAAUACCUAAACCAGGCAAAGACCACACACUUUGCGGUAACUAUAGGCCGAUAUCCCUAAUUAGCAUUGAUCUAAAAAUCCUAACCAAAAUCCUGGCCACACGACUGAAACCUUUCCUUCCACUCCUUAUACACCAAGAUCAGGCAGGAUUCAUCCCAGGUAGGGAGGCUAAACAUAAUACAACAAAAAUUAUAAACCUCAUACAUUCGGCACAAAAACGCAAGAUUCACAGCGCCUUGCUGGCCAUAGACGCGGAAAAGGCGUUUGAUAGGGUCAGUUGGGCGCUACUAACACACACAAUGAGACACUUAGGUUUCGGUCACCGAUGGCAGACAUGGCUGUCUACCAUCUAUUCUGUCCCUAUGGUACGCCUUCGUAUCAAUGGCCAACUUUCUAGUCCGGUUACAAUUACAAACGGUACGAGGCAGGGCUGCCCCCUGUCCCCUCUAUUGUUUGUCCUUGUGCUAGAGCCCUUUUUUACAAGGGAUCAGAGAAAACGAAAGCAUUCAGGGAAUUCGUAUUGAAAAUACGAAUAUAAGGUCUCAGCUUUUGCGGAUGACCUUCUAUUCACCAUUUCUAAUCCCCUAACUACAAUACCACACAUCCUUGAGGAAAUGGAGAGCUAUGGCACAUUUUCGAAUUUCCAAGCCAACCUGUCGAAAUGCGAGCUAAUGCCCAUCUACUCCCCAGCAUCCCUAACCAGACUUCUCCAAGAGAGCUUCCAUUUCUCUUGGGCUCCCAAAUCACUGAAAUACUUAGGAGUUCACAUCACGUCCAACAAUAUCUUCGACCAGAACUUCCCUCCCCUUCUAAAAUCUAUUACCGAAGAUCUACAAUCCUGGCAAAGACCUUGUUUCGGUUGGUUCUGUCGAACUAACAUAAUCAAGAUGAACAUUUUGCCACGACUCCUAUACCUACUUCAAACACUACCCAUCUCGAUUCCCAAUCAGUUUUUUAAAUCGAUUAGAACCUUGAUCACUAAUUUUAUAUGGGCACAAAAAUACCCACGCAUAGCUCUUAAUACACUGUGCAACUCUAGAGAAAAAGGAGGAACCAACCUACCAGACCUCGAAACGUACCACAAGGCUACACACCUUGCCCGAGUAUAUGAGUGGACGGCAACUGCUCCCUCUCUACACUGGGUACAGAUUGAAACGGCCGCCUCCACGAUGCCCAUGGCUGUCCGCAAACCCCUCCCAACACCAACGCAGUCUUGACAUCCACCCUACAAUCAGACCCACUCUCCUAGUCUGGCACAAAUUAACCAGAGUAUCAAACAUAGCCCCCCACCCCUCUCCUCUUUAUCCCCUCACACAUAACCCUGACUUUCAAAGAGGACAAUCCGGGACUGCAUACGACACCUACCACACUGGUAAGGUCUUACAACUAAAGGACUAAUUAAAAGCCUAACCCAACUAACGUCCAAUAGGUCUCCCACGGGUAACCAACGUUUACAUUAUGUCCAACUGAUACACUUUAUUAAAAGUGCCAACCUCUUACAAUCGGGGCUACGAGCCAUGACUACUUUUGAGCAACUUUGCUCGGACCACCUACUUAAGAAAAAGGUUCUUUCCACUAUGUAUAAACUUAUUAGGGACUCUAGAGAUCUUACAUUGCCAAAAUGUACGGCGAAAUGGGCUGAGGAACUACAUACAGAGAUCUCACAGAAACAAUGGGAAACUAUUUUCCUAAACGCACACAAAGCCACCACAUCUACUAUAGCACAAGAAAGUAACUACAAACGCAUAGCCCGCUGGCACUAUACCCCAGCUAAAAUACAGCGAAUACACAACUCUGCCCCACAGACAUGUUGGAGAUGCCAACACGAAGUAGCUCAUCAUGCCCACGUCUGGUGGCAAUGCCCAAUGAUAGUUUCAUACUGGAAGAGAAUUCACGCCAUGUCACAAUUGAUACUCAAAGAAACUAUUCUUAAUACCCCCCCCAAGUAUUAGGAGGGAAAAAGCCUCCCUUUUCAGUUUUUUGGCUAUGGCAGCCGCCCACCUCAUACCUAAGUACUGGAAACAUACACAAACUCCCUCGAUCAGAGAAUGGAUAGGAAGGGUGAACGAAAUCAGACAAAUGGAAGAAAUAACAUAUGCACAAACUAAAAACUUCCAAUCCUUCACUCAAAUUUGGCAACCGUGGCAUUACUUUAUGGCAACCAAGCGUACAGCCUAAACCGAAGUCCUACCACAUUCUCUGCCUCCCGCCUAGACUCCCACACCCUACCCCCAUUCCCCCCCCCUCUUUCUGUCUACCAGCCAUACACCCUAGAAUACUCCAUGGGCCAAUCCUUGACAAGAACAAACUUCUAGGAUGUAUACUUCACCCUGCCCUCCUAGACUCACCACAUCACUGUCUCUGCACUAGUGGAAACCACUUUGAUCCCACAAUGUUUGUCACUCUCUAACAUUUAAGCUUAGUGAAAUACUUGAUUACUUAUCCAUUUCCUGAACUCACCAGCAAUACUGCAAUAUUCACACUAAGGUGUGUCACCAUGUUCAAACCUCCUUAUUCAAUUCCAGCAACAUGAUUAUCACUAUUGUUUACUAUUAUAAACAGUUGUUUGUAAAACUAUUCAUCUAUCCUACAUUGUGAUUAGACUACUCUGUUAACAAAGUUAUCUACAGAUCUAAUGUAUAUGUGUCAAGCAAAACAUUGUUGUAAUGCAUUAUCUUUUGGAAAAUAAAAAUUUGAAUAAUAAAAUGAGAAAUAAAAAAUUCAUAAAUUGAAAAAAAAAAAAAAGAAGAAGAAAAAACAGUACAUGGACGCCGCUUACCAGGGAGUCCACUCUGGUUAUUCAGCCCCGCCCUCCCUUCCAUUUUCAGUAUUUAUCAUAUGUUAAAGUACAGUUUCCUGCAGCAUCCUGCGCAGCUAUUAGCACUGGCGUUGCCUCCCAGGAGGCAGGCGGUUCAGGUGGCUUAGGACGCUGCUGAUGUGCACUAGUAUGGCCUGCUUGGCUUGUGCAUGUCGCGAAAUACUAGGGAGCAGAUUGGAGAAGGGGUUUUAUUAGAGAUAUGUUCCCUCAUGCCGCUGGGGGCCUCCUGCUUUAAAAGGACGGUAGGGACUUGGAAAAAAUACCGUAAUCGGUUACACCUCAUGAUGCGCGGGAAUUGUGUCUGGGCAGCGUAUGUUCUGGAUAGCAUCAUCGGGGAGAGGGCUCCCCGAGUAUGCUCCACGUUGUUCUGUUGUCAGGACACUCUCUGGGACACAUGUGGUCCCUAGGGUGAGCUGGGUUGGUGGAGGUAUGUCUUGCAAUUUUGUCAACGGUUGGCAGUGCGACCCUUCUUGGCCUGGGACCAGAUGGACUUAGGCCUCUGGUUUUUCCUUUAUGGUUUGCCCGGGGUUAGGUAUAUGAUGGCAUGAUGCAAUGGUCCGUGUGGUUAGGGCUGCAAGGCUUUGGGGCCUUGCUGAAAAAAGGCAGCUGUGGAAUCGGCUUUCCAGCUGUUGCGGCUGCGCGUGCCGGGUUAUUGUUUUCCAGGCUGUAUUUCUGAUGGUUAGUGUUAUGUGGCUAUGUGCCUCCGCAUGGGUUGCUCCCAAUGUCGCUUAUAAGUGGGACCGACAGUGUUGCACGUCUGUGCUCUGCUGCUGUGGUGUUUUCUUGGGGUAGUGUUUCAGCGUUUUGGAGUUCAGUGGCCCAGAACGUAACCGUGGGUCUGGAUACGUGCUGUAGUUUCCUGGAUAGUGGGAUCGAUCCCAGGGCAGGGGAACGUCGGUUGCCCCUGACUGCGGUUUAAGACAUCAGGUGGGAGGUGUCGGUGGUUUUGGGGGCAAUGUGGGUUUCAGCUGCGCUACCCGUGGGCUCUCCUGGGUAAGCUGGGCUUCGCAUGUCGGUGUUGCCUUUGGGGCUGUAUGGGGUUCCUUCUUGGCCUCCCAUAACGGUAGCUUGUGCAGGCAGCCCCCGUAGGUCCCUUCCACUGACUUUCGCCUGUUUACCGUUGCAGCAGGUUUGGGAGGCUGGGGCCAUUUUGGGCUCUCAAUUGUGUGCUGACUCUUGCCCAGUAAGCUGGCAAGCAUUGGAGCUCUUGAAGACUCUGGCUGUCUUGGAGCUCUUCCCCAUUCUCUACUGCUUCUAUUUCGUUGGGGUGUUCCACUUGGGGCUAAAAUUCCUGGGUAAUGAUUGUGUGGAGUUCAAGGGGCAUUCAUUCAUUAGGGUCGGCUCCAGACGCUGCUAGGCUUGGCGUGCCUGCGCCAAUGGUUCGAAGGCUCGGAUGGUGGGAGUCAGGGUGGUAGGUUACGUAGGUUCACCCUGCCGGUCUCCGGAGUUGAUUUAUUUCCGCAGUUUCGGUUCCCCCGGAAUAGGGAUGGUGGAAUGCUCAUUUGGGCCGGGAGGUGGGCUGACCCGGUGCGAGUGGUUGGAUCUUACGCCUUCUUGAGUGGAGGUUCGGUGGUUUGGCACCAGAUACAUGAGGUGGGUGUGGCUCCUCCCUGACCUGGGUCAGCAGUCCAGCCUCCUAGGGGUACCGUGGGUUUGUCAUCUAUCUGGGGGGAAUGACCUGUGUUCGGUGCUUGUUUGGGAUUUGUGCUGACCUUAAAUCUGGACAUGUCACCCAUUCUGUUUUCUUUCCAUAUGUUCACAAGGUCUGGGCUGAGGUCAUUGCCCGUUCCUAUUGGCAGGGCGCUCAGCAAUGUGAGUGCCCUAGUGCGCUGCGUUGGAAAUCGAACAAGAUGAGUUUCUAGGUUUGUCUUGGGGGCUUGGGGGAUUCCUGUUCGCCUUAGGGUUCUGAGCGGGAUGUGGCCUAGUUAUCUUGAGGGGCUGGGGUGCACUUGCUGGAGGUCGGACUAGGCCUUUGUUAAUCUUGCUCUACAAGAAGUGGUUGAACAGGCCAUGGAUGGUUUUGGUGGGGACCUCUGCUGAUUUUAGGCAUAAAAUAGCAGGGUUGUGGCUGCGGGUAUGUUUUUAAGGGGUUACGUUUAAUAAUAUGGAAUGAGAUGAACAAGUUUUUAAGGUCUCUACCCACCCUGCUCUAAAGGUAAUGAAUCCAACGGUUAUGACAAUGUAAUUAUCUCCAAGCGCCCAAAAUCCCACUUUUUCUUGCAACAUACAAAACGGUAUAAAAAUACAUAACUUUAGCAUUUUAAUAUAUAAUUUGUGCAUUCUACAAUUCAUUAUGUAGCCCAGAUCUGAGCGCAGCAGAUAGUCAAAUAGUGCUCAGAACUCACGAACGGUAUGGCUAGUUUCAUCAAUAUAAAGUCUGUUCGUGUCUUUUGUCCUGAACAUGAGACGAGGGCAAUGUUUUCAGGUGAGUUAAUGGGCAGCGGGACCUCGACCCCAAACUCAUGGAACGAGUAGCGGCUAGGGGUUUACACGAAUGCCCGCUCUCAUAAUGGUUGUCCCAGCCGUUCGGGAAAUGAACGGAGACUGCCGGAAAGAGGUACUUAACCUGCGGUUAACCGCAAUCCAACAUUCUAAUUGAGGCCAUACGCCAGGAUGUAGGUGGUCCUCGUUCAUGAGUCUUUCAGAAGUUUUAGUUCGGAAAGUAGUGCAUGAACGGGAAUGUCCUGGGACAGUCAAUUAGGCUGUGGUUAACCGCAGACCGCGCAUCAUGGGGUGUAACCUUAGGUUACCUGGCAUGUCGUGCCCAUCGAGCGUGGAUAAGGUCGGCUGAGGGAAGGCACUGGAAGGAAAUGAUUUUUAUGCCUAGGGGGGAGGUGAGAGGAAGUGGUACAUAGGCGCAUGGUCAGUUUAUUGGCAAGGACGGUUGGGUUCACUGUAUGACACUAUGUGUUAAGUUAUAUGCAUAUAUAUGUUAAGUUAUGGUUAUUUAUGUUUAACGUUUUGGUUAGAGAAAAGAAGAGAAAUUAUUAAAUAAAUUAUGGAUGUGUCAUACAGUAUUUGUCAUAUGUUAGAAUAAAUGCUGUGGCCUGUUUUCAUCCAUACUACGUUGUCUGUCAUUAUUUUGGAAGGGGGAUGAAUUGGGUUGGUUUAUGUAUUAUGCUGCAUCGAGAUUCCCAACUACGUACAUACAUGGAGUGUGACGAGGAAAAUGUGGAAGCCUUAUGGGUAGAUAUCUGCUUGGGGCAAACAAAGGGAAAUCAAUUAUUGGUUGGGAUAUGUAAUAAACCACCUAAUGUAAAUAUUAAUGAGGAAGAACUGCUAUUAGAGCAAAUUGGGAAAGCUGCAAAUCAGGGUAACAUGUUAAUUAUUGGAGAUUUUAAUUACCCGGGCAUAAAUUGGGAUAGAGGGACUAGUACUUCAGCAAGGGGAAUCAGGUUUUUGAAUGUGUUAAAUGACACCUUCAUGUCACAACUGGUACAAGCACCAACUAGAAAGGAUGCUUGUCUGGAUCUCCUUUAAUACAAACAAUGUUGAUCUCUUCACCAACAUUCAAGUAGGGGAGCAUUUGGGAAAUAGUGAUCACAAUAUGGUAAUUUUUUUAAUAAACUCAAAAAUCAAAAGCAUGUGGGGUAUACUAAAACGUGUAAUUUAAAAAAAGCCAAUUUCAAUAAUAUUAGGGAAGCUCUACAACAUAUCGACUGGCAUAAACUCCUUAGUGAUAAAAACACUGAGGAUAAAUGGAAACUAUUCAAACAAAUAUUAGAAAGGUACAUUUCUCAGUAUGUACCAUUGGGUAAUAAAUAUAAAAGAAACAAAUCAAAAACCAAAAACCAAGCUUAGUAGAGAAGUAAAACAAGAGAUUAAAAAAUUUAAAAAAGCAUUUAAAGCAUUUAAAUCGGAUAAAUCAGAGGCAUACUAUAUAAGAUAUAAGGAAGCCAAUAAUGCAUGCAAAAAGGCAAUUAAAGUGGCUAAUCUGGAAAAUGAGAAAUUGAUAGCCAAAGACGGCAAAUCCAACCCCAAAAAGUUUUUCAAGUACAUCAAUUCUAAAAAAACUAAAAACGAACGUACACUGGAAACAGAGUUGGAUUUGUUAGCUAAAGAAGCAGAAAUUUUAAAUAUAUUUUUUUUCUUCAGUAUAUAUUAUUGAGGUUUCUAUGGCAAGAGAUAUGCAAAUGAUUGCUGCAAAAAACUUGCAGAUAACUUGUGAUUGGAUGACUCGAGAUAAGGUGCUACAGCAGUUAAAGAAAAUUAAUGUAAAUAAAGCUCCGGGGCCUGACGGUAUUCACCCACGAGUACUUAAGGAGCUAAGUGGAGAAAUAAGUGAACCUCUGUAUUUAAUUUUUCAAGAUUCUUUUGUUUCAGGUAUUGUACCGGAGGAUUGGAGGAAGGCAGAUGUUGUUCCUAUAUUUAAAAAGGGUUCAAAAUCCUUGCCUGGAAAUUAUAGACCUGUGAGCUUAACUUCUGUGACUGGGAACAUUUUUGAAGGGCUAUUAAGGGAUAAUAUUCAGGAAUUCAUAUGGAAGAACUUUAUUAUUAGCAAUAAUCAGCAUGGCUUUAUGCAACAUAUGUCAUGUCAAACUAACCUAAUUGCAUUCUACGAAGAAGUAAGUAGAAAGAUAGAUAAGGGUGUUCCAGUGGAUGUGAUCUACUUGGAUUUUGCAAAGGCAUUUGAUAUGGUUCCUCACAAUAGGUUAGUCUUCAAACUAAAAGAAAUUGGUCUAGAUUAAUAUUCUUGUUCUUGGGUGUUACGGUUACCUCCAGGCUAGCUGGAAUCUGGACCGCUUGGAUAGUCUGGUUCCCCGGUGAAGAAAGAGAGAAGAGCCGCUCCAAUUGAUAUACCACAAGAAUCCUGUACAUGCAGAAUAAUCCCACUAGCUAUGGUAUAGCUAGGAUACCCUUUUACCCACAAAACGAGUUGAGGCUACGAUUUGAGGGUCAAGAAAGAACUGGCUUUAAUGGCACACAGGUAUCACUAUUUAUGCGAAACCCUCUGGACCUGAUGGGAUACAAGGACUAUGCAAACAGUUAACUAAUAGAAACACAAUGUAUCUUUUGAAAUUGUUACCACCCAGCUUGGAGAUAAUGAAUCCAACGGUUAUGACAAUGUAAUUAUCUCCAAGCGCCCAAAAUCCCACGUUUUCUUGCAACAUACAAAACAGUAUAAAAAUACAUAACUUUAGCAUUUUAAUAUAUAAUUUGUGCAUUCUACAAUUCAUUAUGUAGUCCAGAUCUGAGCGCAGCAGAUAGUCAAAUAGCACUCAGAACUCACGAACGGUAUGGCUAGUUUCAUCAAUAUAAAGUCUGUUCGUGUCUUUUGUCCUGAACAUGAGACGAGGGCAAUGUUUUCAGGUGAGUUAAUGGGCAGCGGGACCUCGACCCCAAACUCAUGGAACGAGUAGGGGCCAGGGGUUUACACGAAUGCCCGCUCUCAUAAUGGUUGUCCCAGCCGUUCGGGAAAUGAACGGAGACUGCCGGAAAGGGGUACUUAACCUGCGGUUAACCGCAAUCCAACAUUCUAAUUGAGGCCAUACACCAGGAUGUAGGUGGUCCUCGUUCAUGAGUCUUUCAGAAGUUUUAGUUCGGAAAGUAGUGCAUGAACGGGAAUGUCCUGGGACAGUCAAUUAGGCUGUGGUUAACCGCAGACCGCAGCUCCCUUGGCAAUUAAUUAGAUGCACGCCCCGCUCGUAGGGUGGUCGGCUGUUCAGGUAUUGGAAAGGUGACAAGGGUUAAGUGGCGGCACACGCCAGGGGCCAGGUGGUCCUUUGUUCGUAUACAUGAAUGGGUAACGGGAAAACGGUUUGGGGAUUAAGUUACACAGUUAAAAUACCGAAACAAGGUUCUGUGUGGAAACAGAAAAGAACAAUAUUGUAACAGAGCUUUUGUAACAUUGGGCAGAACAUUGGCUUAAGGAUAGAGUACAAUGAGUUGUCAUUAAUGGUACAUUUUCAGGCUGGACAAAAGUUGUAAGUGGUGUCCCUCAGGGUUCUGUUUUGGGACCGCUUCUAUUUAACAUAUUUAUAAAUGAUCUUGAAAUAGGCAUUGAAAGCCAUUUAUCAGUGUUUGCAGAUGACACAAAACUUUGCAAAGUAAUAAUAUGUGAGCAGGAUAUUGCCUUGCUGCAGAGGGAUUUGGAUAGAUUGGGAGACUGGGCACUAAAAUGACAGAUGAAAUUUAAUGUAGAGAAAUGCAAAGUUAUGCACUUCGAGGAUAAAAAUGAACAAAGGCAAUUUACACCCUAAAUGAAUUUGGGAAUUGUUAUAGACAACAAAUUAGGCAGCAAUAUGCAAUGUCAAUCUGCAGUUGCUAAAGCUAGUAAGGUUUUGUCAUGUAUAAAUAGGGGCAUAAAUUCUGGAGAUGAAAAUAUAAAUUUGCCUCUUUAUAAAUCACUGGUAAAACCACACCUUGAAUAUGAUGCGCAAUUUUGGGCACCUGUUCUAAAGAAAGAUAUCAUAACACUAGAAAAAGUGCAGAGAUGAGCUACAAAAUUGAUAAAGGAAAUGGAGCAUUUUAGUUAAGAAGAAAGGUUAAAAAAUUUAAAUCUGUUUAGUUUGGAAAAAUGACGCCUGAGAGGGGAUAUGAUAACAUUAUACAAAUAUAUUCGGGGCUGCGACAAGACCAAUCUCACCACUGUGCAUUGGAGGAGCCUGGUUGCCUGCCUGCUGCCUUUUGCCUUGCUACUUUAUUUUCCUAUGCAGAAAGGUCUAUUCAAGUAUUUCUGCCCGGGCGUUCGGUAAAUAGAAUCAAACAGCCAUCUAUUGGCAUCCCAGAAGCCGUGGUUAGCUGGCAGACGCCAUUAAUUGGCCACCCAGAAGCCGGCGAGCGAUGCCAAUUGACCACCCAGUAGCUUAAUUGACUAUACCGGGUGGCCGCGACAACGCAUACUGAAUACUGGAUGGCAGCAGUCUGCAGUUCACACGUGGCCGGUUCAUUCACGGAUGUACCGAAUUAACUCAUUUAACCCAGAUAGCUAUGCCAUGGAGCCUAUUUGUGAAAUAAAAGACUUUGGCUUCAUGGCAAUUGAACUGUAUGUGUGUGGUCUGAGCGCCAUUCAGUAAUAAUGUGCGCUGAAACCUAAGCUAUCUGGGCAUAUGUUGCAUGUCUGUAUUUUAUGUCAUAAAUGUAACCUUGUGUAUUUUAUUGUAUUUUACUGUCUUUUUACUGCCAUGUGCUUAAUGGAGUUUUGCCUCUGUCCUUGGAGAUAAUUGGAUUACUUCCCAAUUAUCUCCAGGAUAGAGAGGAGGAAUUGUGAUGUCAUUGUGGGAGUUUUUAUCUGUGUUGUAUGUUUUGAUUGGAUGUUCCACAAAACCCUGUGGGUGGGACUUUUUCUGUAGAAUGUGUAUAUAAGAACAAUAAACCCACAGUUCUGGCUGUUCCUGCUUGACCCUCAAAAUGGAGCCUUGUCUCGUUCUUGGGGGAUUUACUGUAUGCUGUUAGAGACUGAUUGCCAAGAGUGUAAGCCACUUGUGUGCUUUUCCUGUUCUGCUGCUAGCAGCUAUUCAUGAGGUUCCCAUUCGGGAGUUUGGAGUACUACUUUGUAUCCUGUUCGGGAGUUUGGGGUUCUGCAGUAGCUGUGCCUGUGUCUCUGGAAGGGGAAGAUCUUCUAAAUGUCAGUUUAACCCCUUUUAUGCCUGGGGGGUGCCGUUACAGGGGCCAGUACAAACCUUUAUCUGGAAAUCUUUUCAUAAACAGGGCUAUACAUAGGACACUAGGUCACACAUUUAGGCUGGAAGAAAGGAGAUUUAAUCUAAGGCAAAGAAAAGGUUUUUUUUACAGUAAGAGCAAUAAGGAUAUGGAAUUCUCUGCCUCAAGAGGUGGUUUUGUCAGAGUCCAUUCAUAUGUUUAAACUGAAAUUGGAUAAAUACUUGCAAAAGCAUAACAUACAGGGAUAUAAUUUCUAAUUAGUGGGGCUGCUUGAUCCAAUGAGACAUCUGACUGCUAUUUUGGAGUCAAGAAGGAAUUUNNNNNNNNNNNNNNNNNNNNNNNNNNNNNNNNNNNNNNNNNNNNNNNNNNNNNNNNNNNNNNNNNNNNNNNNNNNNNNNNNNNNNNNNNNNNNNNNNNNNUUUCCUAGUUUGUUGCAAAAUUGGAAGUGUUUCAGACCAGGUUUUUUGCCUUCUUUUGGCUCUUUAGCAAAAACAUAUGUGAGGAAGACUGAACUUGAUGGACGCAAGUCUCUUUUCAGCUAUAUAACUGUCACAGUUCCCACUGUAACUUCUGGAGUGCCCAGCAGCAGAUUUGAACCUGGGUACUUUGCAGUUCUGGGGCUGCUAUGUUACCUAUGAGCCACCAUUCAGCUUUAGUAAUGCCAGUAUCCAGCUCUGUCUUGUAUCCAGUACUGGGGGCUGGACAUGCAUUGAAGUUUCUCCUGUCUCUCAUGGUACACCUGAUGUUGAUGGUCUCGUUAGCCAGGUAUAAAACACUGCCUCUCCCAGAAGGCAGUGUCAGUUCCUUGACUCUGGUGAUCAUACUGCUGUUUUGUGUUCUCCAGUUUACUCUUGACCUUGGCUUGUUGUUUUGCUUAUUCUGAUUUCUGGCAUCCUUUGACCUUUGGCUUCCCACAACAAUUCUCCUGCUUUAUCCGUUCCUGUACUGCGACUUGGAGAAUUAUCCUGCACAGCCCCCGUGCACCGACUCACAGGCUAGGUGAAUUCUUGCCACCACCUCGGCCUGUGUUUACUUGCAAGGGUUAGCAUACAUCUGCCUGCCAGACUCCCAACCCAGGCAAGCCCUGACAUAAGGAACUGACCAUAUGAAGUCCGCAGAGAUGUGCUCACCCUUGUCCUAGCAAGUGUCCAGCCUGGCCCAGAUUGUUUCAGAGCUGCAGCGAGAAAUUUUAUUUCUUAAAGGCACAGUACGCCCAGCCCCGGAACCUGCUUAUCCAGAACCCUAUGUCAUACAGCCUGACAGGUUUGACGGUUCCCGUUGCACUUUCUCGAUCUUCAAGAUGGACUGUGAACUCCUGUUUGCCUUGAAACCCAGAACCUACGUCACCGACUUUAUCAAGGUCUGUUCUGCUAUCAAUGUACUAUAUGGACGUAUUAAAGCAUGGGCAUGUCAGAAGUUGCAAGAGAAUAAUACUGUCUUGGACACUUGGGAGUCGUUUAUGUCCACAAUGAACUCACAGUGCUUGGCUUCUAAGAAGGAAAUUCCCAAACCUGCUCAAAGUACCCGCAGAGCUCAGUUACCUAAAGAAGACUAUGUACAUACUUAUAAAGUUCCCGUCUCGUUCCAGCGUGAACCCACUUCCAGGAACCUGUCCUGUUACCCUGAGUGUACUCCAGCUAGCAAUAGCACCUUGUUGGACAGUGAGGAACCUAUGGAGAUCGGAUUUACCAGAACUAGGUUGUCUCUAAAGGAAAAAGACCGUAGGAGAGCCCAUGGCUUGUGCCUAUACUGUGGAGAAAGAGGGCAUUUCAUCUCUCUCUGCCCAAUUCGUCCACCCAGAUACUGGCAUUACUAAAGCUGAAUGGUGGCUUCUAUUGGGUGCCCUACGGACUUAUCCAGUCAUUUCAGAAACACCGUCUAGAAGCUGCCAAGGUUGCUGCUAGCCAUGUCCCUGUUCUGUGACACAGAAGGGUACUUAGACUAUGGUGAAUAACAUACCCAGUACUCCUGAGAAGUCUGAACCUCCACCGGAAAACACUCAUGUUAAAGCUGGUACCAUCACCACUUCCUGUCAACCUAAAGAGGAGUUACCUACGGACUGUACCUAUGCCUCCAAUGGUACCAUAGUUCACAAAACAGAUUUGGUGAUAUUAGAAAAAGCUUUGAAAGCCACAAACUCUGCUCCUGGUAAUGUACCUAAGGAAAAAGGUUCAGAGAAUAAAACUCCUGGGAUCAAGGUACUUGCCGCUUGCACCAAAUCCUUUGCCAACCCUAACCUCUCUCCAGUAGUACCUGAAACUGCGAAUUGUUCUGUGAAGAAAGAUUCUCCUCCUGGCUAACUUGUGCAUAUGAUGGGACGCUAGUGGUUUCGGAACACUUGCAUAACUUUGAAACGGCACUGCUAGCGAUCAAGACCGCUCAAGCUAUGUCCUCCGCUCCUGCUGGCAACACCAGAACCAAGAAAUCUAAAAAGUGACCUUUUGGGCCGUAGUUGCUUUUUUCUUUUCACCUAAGGGCGGCUUUGAGGAGGGGGUACUGUCACGGUUCCCACCGUAACUUCUGGAGUGCCAAACGAGGUUGCCCCAGGAACCUGGGUACUUUGCAGUCCUGGAGCUGCUAUGUUACCUCUGAGCCACCAUUCAGCUUUAGUAAUGCCAGUAUCCAGCUCUGUCUUGUAUCCAGUACUGGGGGCUGGACAUGUAUUGAAGUUUCUCCUGUCUCUCAUGGUACACCUGAUGUUGAUGGUCUGUUAGCCAGGUAUAAACACUGCCUCUCCCAGAAGGCAGUGUCAGUUUCUUGACUCUGGUGAUCAUACUGCUGUUUCGUGUUCUUCAGCUUACUCUUGACCUUGGCUUGUUGUUUUGUUUAUUCUGAUUUCUGGCAUCCUCUGACCUUUGGCUUCCCACGAUGAUUCUCCUGCUUUAUCUGUUCCUGUACUGUGAUUUGGAGAAUUAUCCUGCACAGCCCCUGUGCACUGACUCACAGGCCAGGUGAAUUCAUGCCUGACCACCUCAGCCUGUGUUUACUUGCAAGGGUGAGCAUACAUCUCUGCCUGCCGGACUCCCAACCCAGGUAAGCCUGGCAGUAACUAUGUAAUAGCCACAAAAAACUGGCCUUCAAAGGUACAGCCCAUGAGAUGAUGACACUCCAGGUGCACCGAAAGCAGACAAAAAGCAGAUUCCAAAUCUGCCUUUGCCAGCAGUUCCCUGGGCCCACAGCCCACACCAUGUGAACCACUGCAUCAAAGGAUGCAUAGGAAACCUGUCAGAUUUCGGCCAAAAUGUCAUCAUUCACCGAACCCCCUGGAGGGUACGAUAAAUGGUGAAUCAGGUGAUAUUUACUGGGUUCCUUCUUAGGCACCACACCUAAAAGAGAAACCUGCAGAUUAAACAUAGGGGGAGUAGAAAACGGGCCGGCCAUCUGGCCCAAGGAGACUUCCUUAUCCAGUUUUUUCUGCACCACCUGAGGGAAUUCCUGCACUGACCAAAGGUUCCAAACAGAGAGUGAGGUAGGACACUACGAGAAGGGAAUCCAAAAACCCUGCUUAAACCCCCUGUGACGAGACCAAUCUCGCCACUAUGCAUACGAGGAGCCUGGUUGCCUGCCUGCUGCCUUUUGACUAUGGACCGGCAUUUAAAUACUUUAUUUUCCUAUGCAGAAAGGUCUAUUCAUGUAUUUCUGCCCUGGCGUUCGGUAGAUUCUCGGAUUUACUGAAUGAACUCAUUUAACCCAGAUAGCUAUGCCAUGGAGCCUAUUCUUGUAAUAAAAGACUUUGGCUCCAUGGCAAUUGAACUGUAUGUGUGUGGUCUGAGCGCCAUUCAGUAAUAAUGUGCGCUCAGACCUAAGCUAUCUGGGCAUAUGUUGCAUGUCUGUAUUUUAUGUAAUAACUGUAACCUUCUGUAUUUUAAUGUAUUUUAUUGUCUUUACUACUACUAAUACAAACAUAUGUCUACUCCAAAUACAAACAUAUGUCAAAAUCAUCCAAAUUUGUCCAGUGGUUCAAAAGAUAGAUCGUAGUCCUUUGUGACCAAAGGAAGCAUGGCUUUUCUGCCCAAAACCAGUUCCACAGAGUCUUCUAUCCUGGAGAUAAUCGGGAAGUAAUCCAAUUAUCUCCAAGGACAGAGGCAAAACUCCAUUGAACACAUGGCAGCAAAAGACAAUAAAACACAUAAAACAUAUAACUGUGCAGCCAUUGCACAAAACAGGUACAUUCAACAUAUCCCCAGAUAGCUCAGAUCUGAGCGCACAUUAUUACUGAAUGGCGCUCAGAGCACACACAUACAGUUCAAUUGCCAUGGAGCCAAGGUCUUUCCCAUAGUCUUUCAUUAUACAAAUGGGCUCCAUGACAUAGCUAUCUGGGGUAUCACAACUCAAACAGGGCAAGCACCGAAUGACCCGGCUUUCGUGUCUUCACAGGGAAAAAUCAAGCGUUUCAACAUGGGGCCAUAGUCUAAAGGCAGCAGGCAGGCAACCAGGCUCCUCCAAUGCACAGUGGUGAGAUUGGUCUCGUCACAUCUCUCCCCUUUUCCAAACAGACUAACAGGGUAUCUGACCUCCUGCUGGUCAGUGCCCUUGUUAGUCCAGCAGCCCACCCACAAAACACAGUCAGUACUACAGCCCACCCACAAUAACUGGUUACUACACCUGGGUAGAGGAGAACUUUGUCCAUGUCCAGGUGCCUCACCAUGGCUGUGUGGGUUACUGGUAAGCUGCCUUGGUGGGUUGCUGAGUGGGCAGAGACCAGCGGUACUCUGCCCUGGUGCCAGCGCUACCACGGGAGUAGCCUGGUUGGAGCCUGGUUGUUGGAGGGUGAGACCGACUGUCUCCCCUUUGGAUACACAGCUCUGCUGCUGGAGGGGGAAACCAACUGUCUCCCCUUUGGAUCACAGCUCUGCUGCUGGAGGGGGGGACCAACUUUCUCCCCUUUGGCUAAACAGCCCUGUCGCUGGGGGGCAGGACCGAUCGUCCCUACCCCCUGUGCUGUAAGUGCAGAGACCACGGUCCCAUCUGCACGGUUGUGGGGCUUACUGUCUCCCCCUGGCACGUUAAGCUGCCGCUGGGGAGAGGGGGUAACAAGCUCCUCUCCCAUAUAUACUUCCAGCCGUGGGGGAGGGAGACCGACUGUCUCUGCUCCCAAAACAGAGUCCUGCUGCUGGGUAAAGGAGACUGGGCUCUCUAUUCCCUGUAGGACAUUUUGCCGCUGAGGAAUGGAGACUGGGCUCCCAAUUCCCUGCUGUAUCUCCCGCUGUGGAAUGGAGACUGGGCUCCCAAUUCCCUUUAAUUCACACUGCCACUGGAGAUCUGAGCUGACUGUCCAGCAUCCCUAUAGCUCACCCUGCCACUGGGGAGGGAGGACGCUGCUCUCCUCUCCCUGCAAGGUACACUGCUGCUGGGGGACAGGAGCAACUGUCUCUGUCCCCUGUAACUCAGCCUGUCGCUGGGGAAUGGAGACUGGGCUCCCAAUUCCCUGCUGUAUCUCCCACUGGGGAAUGGAAACUGGGCUCCCAAUUCCCUGCAGGAUCGGUGGAGAGACCUCGGUCCCAUCUCCACCAGCCACCUGAGGUUCUUCCCAGUAACACUCUGCAAUAUCUGCCCAGCUGAAUGGGUCUGGAUCUGGGUCCCCGCUUCCCUGCUGAGCCUUCUCACUGGAGUGGAACAGAUCUUGGUAGCCCUGCUCCAGCUCCAUCUCUCAGGUCACUAGGUGGACCAGGUCUUGCUCAAUCUCAUGAGUGUCAUCCCAGUCAUACCUGCUCUCUCUCCACUCAAAGAGAUCACUGAACCGGGCUUGUGUAGGGCUCCCAAACUCGGGCUCUGAAAAAGACUUCCAUAGCAAGCCAGGACCAUCAAACUCCUCUCCCUCUGGCUUGUCAUGCUCGGCUGUCCAGUGCAGGUACUGUGUCCCAUACCACCAGAGUGCCUGGUAGGCAUCUUCCAACCACAUCUCUUGCCAUACUAGGUGUUCCAAUCUCUUCACCCAUUCCUCCAGGGGCUGCUCUCCCAGGAAGGGCAUCCGCAGGGCUACUCGCUUCUGUAACCGCUGGUCUUCCUUGGGGAAUCUCUCGUCCCGCUGGUACUCCACAAUACCCAGUGCCUGGUACCAGAUGCCUUUGCGAACUGCAUCUCGGUGAUCCAUGACACUCUCAUCGUACUCCACUGCUGGUUCCAUCCUGGUGCUGUCAGGGUCGUUGUACUGGGACAUGCGUUGCCCCCAAAUUGUAAAAUCCAAAGAAAUGGUAUCUCCUGUAGCUGUCCUUCUGGCUGUAGGAACGAUCCCGUCGCUUGCCACCAAUUGUAACGGCACCCCCAGGCAUAAAAUAAUUAAACCGCAGUUGAGUAGAUCUUCCCCUUCCAGAGACACAGGCACAGCUACUGCAGAACACCAAUCCGCCGAACAGAAAACCAUAUGAAUGCCGUAAACACUCGAAUAGGAAAAACCAUACGAAAGGUUUACACUCCUAGCAGUCGAACUGGAACAGCAUACAAUAAAUCCCUCCCAAGAACGAGACAAAGCUCAGUGUUGAGGGUCAAGCAGUGAACAGACAGAGCUGUGGCUUUUAUUGUUCUUAUAUACACAUUAGUACCACCUACAGGGUUUUGGAACACAACCAAUAAACACAUACAAUACACUCAGACACUCCCACACAAAAUCCUCCCCUCUGCCUGUGAUACAAUUACCUUACACAAUGGGUAAUGUAAUUACCACAAGCAGAGAAAUACAAUUUUUCCACAUUAUUCAUAACUUGAAAAGUAUGCAUCACAUUUUCAGAAUCAGCAUACUUCAAAUACAAACAUAUGUCAAAAUCAUCCAAAUUGGUCCAGUGGUUCAAAAGAUAGAUCGUAGUCCUUUGUGACCAAAGGAAGCAUGUCUUUUCUGCCCAAAACCAGUUCCACAGAGUCUUCUAUCCUGGAGAUAAUUGGGAAGUAAUCCAAUUAUCUCCAAGGACCGAGGCAAAACUCCAUUGAACACAUGGCAGCAAAAGACAAUAAAACACAUAAAAACACAUAACUGUGCAGCCAUUGCACAAAACAGGUACAUUCAACAUAUCCCCAGAUAGCUCAGAUCUGAGCGCACAUUAUUACUGAAUGGCGCUCAGAGCACACACAUACAGUUCAAUUGCCAUGGAGCCAAGGUCUUUCCCAUAGUCUUUCAUUAUACGAAUGGGCUCCAUGGCAUAGCUAUCUGGGGUAUCACCGCUCAAACAGGGCAAGCACCGAAUGACCCGGCUUUCGUGUCUUCGCAGGGGAAAAUCAAGCGUUUCAACAUGGGGCCAUAGUCUAAAGGCAGCAGGUGGGCAACCAGGCUCCUCCAGUGCACAGUGGCGAGAUUGGUCUCGUCACAAGAAUAUUAAUAUUUUCGUCCGGAACACGUGACGCGCGUCAUGAGCGCGACGUCACUUCCUGCCGCUCGGUAUUAUGGGACAUGUAGUUGGGGAGCUUCAGAGACCACAUAUAAGAUCCAAUACUCUACUCCACCGAACUCCGUUUUAUCAAUACUAUCCCAUUCAGAAAGAUAUGGAAGGGCUGCGCCAAAUAAGGGUAGAUAGUCCAGUAAAGUAUUGCUAGGGUGCCAAUAGAUGGUCUAGGAUACUUGAUAGAGUUCCUCUGUGGAUGCGUCUGGUGUAGACCGUUCCGUAUAUGUAAAUACAAGAGAGGUAGAGGCGACUAAUGGUAUAGUAUGAAAGUUCAGGGUGUGAUAGGUAACAAAAGUAAAGAACUCACUUUCAAGAGAGCUAUGGCCAGCUCUGGUGUGGAUUGCGUACAGCGGUAUAAUCCCCGCUUAUGGGAUAUGUAGGGAGGGGUCUCCGUCAACACCGUCUGGUAGUCCAGAGCUCGAAAAAGAAAGACAGAAAGCAACAAUAGUGCUCUCAAUUUUGAUGUGGUUCAAUGUGCAGAUAAGAAGAGGUAAAAAACUCACAUUUGAGGGAGCUAUGGCCAGCUCUGGUGUGGAUAGCGUACUGUGGUAUAAUCCCCGCUUAUAGGAUAUUAAGCGGCGAUACGUCCGUCAGCACAGUCCGGUGAUCCAAGGCUCCAAUAUAGAAGAAUAAAAAGCAGCAAUAGUGCUCUCAAUUGUGAUAGGUUAAGAGAGUAGUAGAGAAAAUAAAAUAAUACUCACAAAGAUAGAGCAGAGGUACUGCUCUAUGGAUAGGCGCCGGUGGUAUGAUCCCCACCUAGGAUUUCUUGGAGUACUGGAACUUUAAAAUUGCCAAUGGAAGUAAAAGUAACCAGGAAAGGUUAAAAUGCCAGGAAUAGGUAAAAACAAAAGUUGUUUAAAGUGCAUAAAGAGUGCAAUAAAAAGAGGAUUGGUACAAUAAAGUAGCCAAAAAACUUUUAUUGAUCUAAAAUACACAGUAAAAUACAGAAUUAAUAACCAUAAACGCGUUUCACCAUAGGUGGCUUCUUCAGAAUGGGAUAAAAAGUUUUUAUCCCAUUCUGAAGAAGCCACCUAUGGUGAAACGCGUUUAUGGUUAUUAAUUCUGUAUUUUACUGUGUAUUUUAGAUCAAUAAAAGUUUUUAUCCCAUGACGGAGACCCCUCCCUACAUAUCCCAUAAGCGGGGAUUAUACCGCUGUACGCAAUCCACACCAGAGCUGGCCAUAGCUCUCCUGAAUGUGAGUUCUUUACUUUUUGUUACCUAUCACACCCUGAACUUUCAUACUAUACCAUUAGUCGCCUCUACCUCUCUUGUAUUUACAUAUACGGAACGGUCUACACCAGACGCAUCCACAGAGGAACUCUAUCAAGUAUCCUAGACCAUCUAUUGGCACCCUAGCAAUACUUUACUGGACUAUCUACCCUUAUUUGGCGCAGCCCUUCCAUAUCUUUUUGUAUCUAUCCACCGAAGGACCCGAGGGGUUUUCCUUCAUUUGGGUUGCUGCCUACCUUGACUAAUUUUGUGAUUACUAGCGCUGAAUUCUUUUUGUGUUUAACUAUCCCAUUCAGGACUGUUAUUGUUAUUUAUUUUGUGUAUUGGCGCAGACCCAUCCCUUAUUUAUUUGCUUUUGCCUAUAAUCUUUCAAUGUAGGGUAAUAACUGCUUGAUCCAAGGAUAAAUCUGACUGCCAUUCUGGGGUCAAGAAGGGUCAAGAACUGGGUUUUUGCCUUCUUUUGGAUCAACAGCAAAAAACAAAUAUGAGGAAAGCUGAACUUGAUGGACGCAAGUCUGUUUUCAGCAAUGUAACUAUUUAACUAUGUAGAGCUUAUAUGAAAAAUCAAUUAUCACCCUUUUUGGUUAAAUUAAGGAGGAAAUCCCCACUUUAACAUCAAUGGUAUUGAUAUCUAUAAGAGACAAUCAAAUAUAGAUAGUACAAGAUAACAAAGUGUACAUUUGUAUGGUGUAUACACACUCACAAACGGAGAGCUGUGGAGCCAGCUCUGGUGUGGAUCACUUCUGGGUCCGUAUAGGCGACCCAACCUUGAAAGGGAUGCAUCUUGUCCUGAGGGGAAUGAAUAGACACAAGAUAGCGUAGUAAUGUCUGUAAAAUAAGGACAGAGUUCCCAAGUGGGUACUUACAAACAGGGAGUCUCAAAUGACUCUGUAUGCAGGUGUUGUGCAGUUUAGGGACUGCACUCCCGUGUGUAGAAUAAUAAGAUCGGGAACCAGGAUGAAGAAAAGUUGAAAAUAAAAUUUAUUAAUACAAUAUAAAAUAAAAAUGGCACAAUGUCCAGAUAAAACCAGAACGAGUUUCGCCACUGCAAUGUAGCUUCUUCAACCGGAUCGAUAAGUAGAGUAGUUCCAUGGUUCACCGUCUGUCUUAUAAAUACCGCUCAAAUUAGCAAGCAGAACGCCGGUGCAUGUGAAUCGCGCGCAUCAUUACCACCCACAGGUAAGACGCGUGCGGUCUGUGCCUCGUUAUCACAUUAUAUUCCACGGUAGUCAACUGGUGCUCUCACACGGAGUCCUGUUGGCUGUGUCCAUCUUCUCACAAUUGAUUCUUCAGAGCUUCUCUUUUCAAAAAGUAAAUUCAAGUCCUUUCUUCUUGUUGUAAUUGUCAUGUAGUCUUUCUAAAUUAUGCUUUCUUUUAAAUGCCCUGAUCUUUCGUUAGGAAAUGGAAAGUCUGCUUGUAACAUAUUAACCCAUGGUGGGCCAGGGUGUAAAGCAAAAAGGCAGAUAUAUAGAAAGAAAAAAGAAGGAAAACAGAGUAUCAACUCCCGAUAAUCUUACAAUGUAAUUCAAUUAAGAUGAAUAUGAAAUUAUACAUAACAAUUAAAGAUAAUAACAUCAAACAGUCAAUAUUCUGACAUUUAUACAUAAAACAAAAUCGUCUUACAUUGUUUUGGGUUCAUACAUAAUGUUUAUAAAGAUUGUAAAAUAUAUUUGUGCUCGGAAUUUAAUAUGUAAUGGAUAGUGAAAUGGGAUGAAAGUUGGUUGUGGUGUGCCGAAACCAACGUCCGAGUGGGCCUGUAAAUAAAAGAGGGCCCACCAAGGAGAAUUGUAUGUUCUUAAGGGUGCUGGUGGGUGGGGAACACUUGAGCUCGAACGUCAGAGGUGAGUAGGGGCUGGGAGCUUAAGUAAGGGACUUACUCCUCCCACAAAUUCAGGCCUAAUGGCCUUUCUACUUGUGCUCGGAAUUUAAUAUGUAAUGGAUAGUGAAAUGGGAUGAACGUUGGUUGUGGUGUGCCGAAACCAACGUCCGAGUGGGCCUGUAAAUAAAAGAGGGCAAAAGAGAAGUACGAAAAACACACUUUAUUGCAUUUGUUACAUAACUAAAUUCUUGAAGGCUUGACGGAGUUCUCUGAGAAGUGGAACUGAAAUUUUAGAGAUACCCUUUAAUAUUUUCUUGAUGGGGUAUGAUGACAAAAAGGGGGUGUUGCUAGGGAAAUUUGUGAGGCUGUGGUGCUGCACCCCCGUGAGGUAUAAUUUAAUUGUAUUGUGGGAAAGUUUUAAAUGUAAGUGGCAAAAGGAGGCAAAAGCCACCAUAGUUUGUGUAGAGAAAUCGCCUUGUAAUCCGAAUUCAGCUGUAAAUUUGUUGAAAAGAGUAAGUGCCCUACUGUAGGUGAUAGUUGUGUUAGGUGAUAUUGCUUGGUGUGUAAGAGUCCUAGCGUGGUGCAUAAGUGUGCUCAAUCCAGGAUUAACUCGUGAAAGCUCGGUGUUCUGGAUGGUUGAUGGUGGGCUGACAGGAGUGCCUGGAAGAAUACCUGGAAUUGAGAUCGAGACAGAGCAUCAGCGGCCGUGUUGUGGAUACCCGGGAUGUGAAAGCAAAUUAAGUGGAACUGGAUGGUUGCUGCAAGCCAGGUCAGCUUGCGUAUCAGCCGCAUAAUGGUAAGGGAGGAAGAGCGCCCCAUGUUACUGAUAUCGCAAGCUGAUGAGUUGUCAGAAUAGCAUUUUACUGCCUUGCCGGACCAGAGAUGACCCCAGGUGUGUGCAGCUGCCACGAUGGGGUAAAUUUCAAAGAGUGCUGAAGUCUCACUAAAACCCGGCAAGGCAUCUGUCUCAGUGGGCCAGUGACCCCUAAACCAGUGAUUACCAAAUAUGGCUGCGAAACCCGUGUUGGCUGCAGCGUCAGUGUAAAUGCAGGGUGAGGAGUCGGAGAGAGGGGGAAUAAACAUGGAGAUACCAUUCCACUCUGUCAAAAACUUCCCCCACAUGAGUAGGUCAGCCUUGGCAUGCUGGUCCAAUGUAAUUGGGCAGGCGUCUGGUACCCCGUGAAGCAGACAAAGAAGCCAGGAUACAAAAGACCUUCCCUGUGGAAUGAUGCGCAUUGCGAAAUUCAGAGACCCCAAUAAGGACUGAAGUUAUUUUCUGGUGCAUACAUCAUUCCGCAGGAAGAUGUCUAUUUCCCCUCUCAGGCGGACCAGUUUGUCGGGGGGAAGGCUGGCGCGGAAGGUACCAGAGUCCAGCUCUAUCCCCAAGAAAGUAAGUUUAGUAGUGGGACCAAUCGUUUUAGAGGGAGACAAAGGUAAACCGAGUGUUGAAAAAAGUGCUGAGGAUAUCGGUGGGUGGGUGUGCGUGCGCUUAGUUCUAUUAAGAGGAAGUCAUCCAAAUAAUGAAUGACGGCGUGACACCUUAGAAUGUUCAGAAGCAGCCAGCAUAGAGUUUCAGCAAAAAUAUCAAACAGUUUAGGGCUGCUUCUGGACCCGAAAGUGAGUUGCGUGGAAAAACAGUACCUGUUUCGCCAUUUAACACUGUGUAAGUGCCAAAGUGAUGGGUACAUGGGAAGUAAUUUAAAUGCAUUGGUUCUGUCUGUUUUGCUAAGCCAAGCAUAGCUACCGGGUGAAAUGAUGGUUUGUAUAGCGUCGUCGAUUUUUACGUAUUGUAGUGAGAAUUCGUCUGCCGGAAUGAGUGCGUUAAUGCUGGGAACAAAAGAAGAGUGCGGUGCCGAUAAAUCGAUAAUCAAGCGCUUUUUAUUUGAGUAUUUGUGCACAGCAAUUCCGAUAGGGUUAGUGCGCCAGGAGGAAAACGGUGAGGAGGUGAAGGGGCCGAUCAUGAAACCUUGUGCUAUUUCUGUUGACAGGAGAGCGUCUGUGGCCUCAGGGUCUAGGCAGGCAGAUAGGAGAUUGGGGCAUUAAAGCGUGCCUGAGGGGAUGGCUACGAGACCCGUGAGAAAGCCCUGGGUGAACCCUGUUAUCAAAUAUUCCACUAGAGGCCUACUUGGAUGAGUUUCCAAGUAAAAAAACAGGUUGUCGAUAUUAAUGUCGGUUAGUCAUUUGCUAGGGGACAACCUGGCCGGGCACAUGGUCUUAGUGUGUGCCCUGAAGCAGAUAGAGCAGAUGUGCAACAAUCUACAGGCACUGAAGCUGCAAGAACCUGCAUUGAAGUUGUUGCACACCUGCGCUUUCCCUAGAAAGGAGAUGGGCCUACCCAGUUUAUCCCGCUGACCACCCUUGUGUUUAUUGUGAGGAGUGGAGGUGGAUUGAGGGGUGGGAGUGGGGGAGGAUUGAUCAGCCACAGAAGGACACAAAUCAGCCAAGUGUGUAGAAGAAUUACAUAUGGUACAGGACGGGGGCCUCAGACCAGCAAAGUGGCGACAGAAUAAUUCUGUAUCCAACUGACACCAGUUGAUUCUUACGUUAAACUGUUUCAGAUGUGUCACCACUUUGCUGAUAUCGAUUUGUGAUAAUCAUAAAAAGAAGAGCCCCCGUACUUGAUGCCCAAAUCCAACACUUUAUGGAGAUAGAGGUCCAGUUCCUCUCUCCUGUGGGGAUAUACCGAGCAGAUGACAUCACGGUAUAUCCCAAAGGCCAAAACGAAAUUGGGAAUAGAUAAUUUUUUAUUGAGUCUGGGGUCUCUGGUUUUAAGAACCACUGAAAUGUCCCCAAAGUUAUAAGGCCUCUUCUCCAGUACGUCUUGGGAGGCUAUAAGCAGUGACACCAGACACACAUCCUUCCCAUCCAGGAUUUCUUUUCUAAUGGAGUCUGGGACGGAGUAAGCUGGUGACACAAAAGGAGACAUAUAUAUGGCAGGAGCUGAAGGAGGAAGUAUAGGGGCAGGAGUUGGUGCCGAGAGGUCAGGAGGGUUACCUGGGAGGCUAUGGCACUCUCGACCUUGCUUAACCUGCUGUUCAAGGUCUGAAGGUUGGCCAGGAUUGCCGCAAGGGUGUUCUGGGUGGCUAUGCCCGCGUCAGAUGGUAGACCUUGAGAGCUAGUGCCUGGUCUAGGCUCAGGGGCUUGGCAUGUCAACAGUCUGUAGAGUUCUGCCUUACGUGCCGUAGCCGGAAAGGAAUACCCCUAAGCUUAAGUUCAGCCGUAAUUUUUGGGAUAGUCCACGCUCUCAAGGACGUAGGAGUAGAUGGGUUGAGAGAUUCGCCUGGAGACUCAGGUCUGAUAGGCGUAAACGGAAUCUCAUUGGUUGGCAACUCAUCAGUGGGAGACGGAUCUUGAGACAUUCUAGAAAUUAAUUAAUGAAUUGGAUUUAGUAGGGGCGUAUGAGAAAAAUGAAAUGUGGGGGGCGGAGGGAAUUCCUCAGGUGAACUGGACUGUAAGGCUAUUGCCGAAGCGAAGAACUUAACUUUGACUAGUGACAGAUGAGGCCCUACUAGUGCCAAGUGGUGAUGAGAGGCUCUAUCUAUGAUUUGGGCGAGAUAAGUACGUUGCCACAGAUGUGGUGGCGGGAUGUUGGCCUCUCGGUGACUUUUAAAAGGUUCAAAACGUGUGGCCGUGGAAAGUGAGGCCCUGACUAUGGCCCUGUAGAAGAGCGGAUGAGGCGUUAACUAUGAUUUGGACGUGGGGCCGUACCUCCGUGUUGAGGUGGGAGAAGGCUUUUGCAGGGCCUGUAAAUGCCUCGGUGAGCUAAGUCUGGAGCACAGACCCUGUGAGCCAGUUCACGUAUCAUCUAUGAGAUAAAUUGGCGAAUUAUGUAAUGGUUGGGUACUAACCUUGAUAGUGGUUAUACCCGGGAACUUGAACCUUCGAGUAUUUUAGGAAGAGAGGCACAGCGGUUGGUGAUAUCGUAGAAGAAACCUAAGGAGUUUGAGACAGAUGUGAAUCUGUGAGCGUGGUGUAUGAGUGCCACAUGAGUUUCUGCGGGGUGUGAACGAGCGAUACGAGCGAGUGGUAAGUGUAAAAUGGAAAAAAAAAGGCUGCCUGAAGCCUUAAAAACAGAAACAAAUACUAUACCUGGAUUAUAGGACAAGAACCAGGUUUCCAGUUUAGGAGAGGUACAGCGAUUGGUGAUAUCGUAGAAGACACCUAAGGGUUUGAGACAGAUGUAGAUCUGUAUGAGCGUGACGUAAGAGCUCAACGUGCGCUCACAGAGUGACAAGUGUAGGGUGAAGGCUUGCCUGAGGCUUUGAUAACAGAAACUAAAAUUAAAAUAAAUACUAUACCUGAAUUGAGGGAUAAGAACCAGGGUUUCAAUUUUGGAGGACAUGAGGCGGUUUGUGUUUAUUGCAGAAGAAACCUAAAGGUUUGAGACAGAUGUAGAUCUGAGAGUGUGACGUUUGAGCGCAACGUGAGUUGAGCAAGUGUAAGUGAAUGCUGCCUGAGGUAUUCACAAAACAGAAACUGAAAAUAAAUACUCUACCUGGAUUAAAGGACAAGAACCCAGUUUUUUCAAUUUAGCCGUAAUAUGACAAAAAAGGGGAGCGAUCUGUGGAGAUCAACAAAAAUUUUAACAGGGCUUGCACACACAGAUUAGCUUGCACAUACAGGAAUGAUAUAACAUUGUGUGAAUAGAUAUUUUGUGGCACCUCUAAGUAAGAUUGCAGCUACUGCUAGAGUUUAGUGCAGAGAAGCUAAAAUAUAUACAAACCAGCAACUACCAUAAAAAACCACUAGGUGGCGGUAACAGCCCACUAAUUUUUUCCUGUUGUAACUGAGACAUGAAAAUAAUAAUGGAAAGAAUGAAUGACAGUUUACUAUCAAUAUGUCAUAUACACUAGUAAAAAUACUGGCAUCCCUUACACACACAUUAUAAAAGCAUAGUUAUAACAGCAGGGACUUAACCCCAAAUGGAUAUAUGUGUCCUUUUUAGCCAGAGUGACGUUUGGCUUGUGGGUAGUUUGCCGUGAACCUGAGUCCGUGGGGGAGGGGGUGAGGGGGGGUGUAGGACCCCCCAGAGUGAUGUACGAAACCGACCGCUUAGAUGCCGAAGUGUGGGGACCGUGGGUGGUCCCCGGUAAGAUUGCCGUGAUGUGCGUUCUGGCCCCCGGAUAAGACCACAGUGCGGCGUGGAGGGGACCAGAAUGUACCGCAAGUGUGACUCACAGUUUAGCAGCCAGGUGGCCGGAGCGCCGAAAGACCGGAGGAUUCUGCCGGAGACUGCAGCUGCUACACAGGACACCCGGACCGGAAGUCACGCGAACCGGAAGUAGAUCAGGAACACUUGAGCUCGAACAUCAGAGGUGAGUAGGGGCUGGGAGCUUAAGUAGGGGACUUACUCCUCCCACAAAUUCAGGCCUAAUGGCCUUUCUACAUAUAUAUAUAUAUAUAUAUAUAUAUAUAAAAUAUAUCGAUUUGUUUCAAUAACCUUCUAUAGUGCAGACCAAUUUAAUAAAAUAGUUGCAAUGUAAAAUACGUGGCGGAUCCUGUCUUAAAAAUAUAAUUGGCAGUAUUCUCUAAAACACUUAUGGCUUAGUUUCAGGUUCAUACAUAAUGCGUAUAAAGGUUGCGAAAAUAUAUGAUUUAUCGCUUUAUUCCAAUAACCUUCUUUGAUGCAGACCAAAUUGGGAAAAUAGUUGCAAUAUAGUAUAUGGCAGAUCUCGUCUUAAAAAUUUUUUUGCCAUAUUUUGUAAAACACUUAUGACUUCUGUCAGAGCCUGAAUUAUGUGUCACUAUCCGCAGAGGCUCCAGUAACAAGGGUAGAUUGUACAAUCCCGCUUUGAACCGCCUUGUACGGAAAAUAAAGGAAAGUUAUUCCUAAUUGGAAAUAUAAAAAGUAAAAUCUAAACCAAUAAAAUAAAUAAAUCUGGGACUUAAUUACAUAUAGUUAGACAAGGUCUCCCAGAAUGAGUGAAUAGCUGAAAAAAGGAUAAUCUAAAAAUUAUUGCAAAACUUUUUUUUAAAGAGUCAGAGGAGAGGAAUAAAAAGGGAGAGAAAUAAUGAUAAAUUAAUAUAUUUGUAUAUCCCACAACUAAAAAUUGCCUGAUACAAAAAUAUAAUCAAAAACUUUGUUUAAAUACUAAAAAAGGAAAAUAUAGUACUAGGCAAGCAUAACGAUUACAAAAAAAUGGCUAAAAGUAUAAAAUACAUAUGAAUAGUGAAUAAAGUAUAAGGAAUAUAUACUAAAAAAGUAUCAUAAAAAGUGGUAUAACUCGAAGUCGGAGUUGAGACCAUGGGGAAUUAAUGUGUUCAGUUUGUAUAUCCAUUCCAUCUCUGACUUCCCAAGUUCCUUCAUAAAAUCCCCACCUCUCCAAUUCUUUUCUAUCUUUUUUUAUCCCCAUAAAAGACAGGCCUUCUGGUUUUUGGGCAUGAAAUAUUUUAAAAUGACUAAACACUAUGUUCAAAUCCUUUCUUUAUCUUAUAUAUGUGCUCCUUGAUUCUGAUAUGUAAGGGUCUGGUGGUCCGCCCAACAUAUCUCAACCCACAUGGACAAGUUAAAAGGUAAAUUAAAUUCUUUGUAUAGCAUGUCAUAAAUUACCUGAUUAAUACAUGAGUACUUUCAUUUAAAACAAUGUCUUUAAUUACCCUUCUAUUACAACCAGACCUUUUGCAAGAUGUGCAUUGGCCACAACCAUAAAAGCCCUUUUUUAUUUCCAAGUAUAGUGGGUGAAUCCUUUUUUUCUCUAAGGGAACUCCUUACUAAUGUAUUUUUAAGGUUCAUACCUCCCCUAUAGAUUAUCCUAGGUUUACUGUAUAUAUGUAUAUAUAUAUAUAUAUUUAUUUUUUCAAAUUAUUUUUAUAUAUAUAGUGAUAUAUACGUAUAUACUUAUGUGUAUAUAUAUAUAUAUAUAUAUAUAUAUAUAUAUAUAUAUUACAUGUAAUAUUAAUAUGUAAAUACGGUAGAAAAUAAAAUUAAAAAAUAAAUAAAUAAUAGAUAUAUUUAAUCAAUAUCAUUGUACAUGUAUUUUGAUAUUUAUAUAUAUAUAUUCAUAUUAAAAUACACUUAGUGUAUGUAUAUGUGUAUGUAUAUGUGUAUAUAUUAUAUACUUAGAUCAUAUAUAUAUAUAAAUAUAUGUAUAUAUAUAUAUAUAUAUUGUGUAUAUAUAUAUAUAUAUAUAUAUAUAUAUGAUCUAAGUAUAUAUUAUUUAAUUUUACACUGUUUUAAUAUGUUUUAAUCUUUUUUUUCAGGCAGCAGGGGAGUCAUUACAGGACCUUGCCAUUACCUGGGAGCCCAGGGAGUCCCCCUCCAUCCUCUUCGGCCUCCCCAUACUGCGAUCGCUGGCGUGGGAUCACCGGUGACCGGGUAAAUAGAAAGGACGUUCUAUGCCGCCCUCUGGCGUUUAGAGCUGGUCCCCUAAGGGGUUAAUCUAUUUUAAUUGUUUUCUUAGAUGUUAAAUUGUAUGGCUUCACUGCAUUCUAAGUUUAAAUAGCAAACAGUUUUUUGUUUUUGUUAUCUUUUGUCUGUUUGAACCAUUGAAUUCUGGAUAGGGGCAUUGUGUUUGCAUGAUAAAGGUAUCAGGGCUAAUACAGUGUGGUGGCCAUUAUUUAGCCAGGUUAACAUUUCCAUUUUUAGACUGGAGUGUGUUUAAUAGAAAAUUAACAGUUUGUGUUUGGGGUAAAUAUUAUGAAGAAGUAAAGGUGACUAUGUUAGAUUGUUAUAUGAAAACGGUUACUAUACAGAUGAAGUGCUAGGAUUACCAAGCCAAACUAUUAUCCUGAAAAUGGUUACUAUACAGAUGUGCUGGGAUUACACAUCAAACUAUUAUCCUGAAAAUGAUUACUGUACAGAUGAAAAAGUGCUGGGAUUACCAAGUCAAACUAUUAUCCUGAAAAUGGUUACUAUACAGAUGAAGUGCUGGGAUUACACAUCAAACUAUUAUCCUGAAAAUCAUUACUGUACAGAUAAAGAAGUGCUGGGAUUACCAAGUCAAACUAUUGACACAGCCCAGAAUGAGUUUAAAGUAACAGCAAGAAGCAGGAAUUUGAUAACAUGACAGGAGGCUUCGUAUUUGCUUUAAUCUCUCUUUACUAGAACUCUACAGCAGCACAGAAAAACAACCAAUCAGAAAAAAAGUUAGGUACUAUAAAACCCCCUUCCCAUUGCAUCAUUUCAUCUUUCUUUGCUGCUCCGCAGUCAGUACAGGUCAGAGUACCACUGCCUCCUGCUUAUAGUGGGUGGCUUUGGGAUUUAGUGUGAUUUAUUUAUGUUAUUGUUAUUAAUUAUGCUUGCUUGUGAGAUUUAUGUGCCUUUCUGGCUCUUUUUUUUCCCAUGUGUUUAUUUAUACAGAUGACUGGUAGUUUGCCAUGUGUUUGUUUAUUUAUACAGAUUACUGGUAGUUUGCCAUGUGUUUAUUUGUACAGAUUACUGGUAGUUUGCCAUGUGUUUAUUUGUACAGAUUACUGGUAGUUUGCCAUGUGUUUACUUAUACAGAUUACUGUUAGCUUUCCAUGUGUUUAUUUAUACAGAUUUCUGUUAGCUUUCCAUGUGUAUAUGUCACAGAUUUCUGUGAGUGUCCAUAUGUAGAUAUAUCACAGAUUGCUGUGAAUUUCCAGGUCUAUAUAUCACAGACUACUGUGAGUUUCCAUGAGUAUAUAUUCCACAAAUUACUGUGAGUGUCCAGGUCUAUAUAUCACAUAUUACUGUGAAUUUCCAUGUAGAUAUGUCACAGACUACGGUGAGUUUCCACCUAGAUAUAUCACAGAUUUCUCGGAUUACUAUGAAUUUCCAUGUAGAUAUGUCACAAACUACGGUGAGUUUCCACCUAGAUAUAUCACAGAUUUCUCGGAUUACUGUGAGUUUCCAUGUGUAUAUAUAUUGCGGAUUUCUGUGAGUCCUUGGGCAGUAUAUACUUAUAUUGCGGAUUCUGUGAGUUAUAGGACAGUGUAUACAUAAAUCACAGAUUUCUGUGAGUUCUAUGUCAGUGUAUAUAGCAUGGCUUGCUGUGAGUCUUAGUGCUAUAGAUAUCACGGAUUGCAGUGAGUUUCACUGACGGUAGAUAUCAGUCCUGUCUAUGCCGAUACUAUUCUAUCUUAUCAGGCUUCUUGGGAAGAUUCAUUGAGUUGGCAAUUGUUUUUGCCCUACUCCUGAAGAGACCAUGAGUACAAUACCCUUCAGGCGGUACGAUGAUGGUGACCUACAAUAAAGAUAAGAUAUCGCAUACGGAUCUGUAUGUACAUGUGCAUUACAAUUUGCACUUUAAAGAAGGUAUUGCUCAGAAGAGCUUGAUUUUAUGGACACUCACUGGAACAUGUCCAGCUUAAACCCAAUACAACUGGUUUUACCUCCAUGUUGCCUGCUGGGCACUUAGGGACCGCCAGUCCCGGUUACGGUUUAUUCACACAGUAGUACGCUGUCUAAGAUUAGUGUCUAACACAUAGUGUCUAAGAUUAGUGUACUAGGUCACAGGAUACCCGGAGGAUAAUUAGGGGAGUCUGCCAAACUCUGCCAAACUCAGAGGUCCCCAUUACUCAUUUAAUAUGAAACCCAGGAUUGGCCUGCUAUGUCUGUUCCCCAUUAAUGGGCCUGCUAUGUCUGUGCCCCAUCGAUUGGCCUGCUAUGUCUGUGCCCCAUCGAUUGGCCUGCUAUGUCUGUACCCAUAAGAUUGGCCUGCUAUGUCUGUGCCCAUAAGAUUGGCCUGCUUUGUCUUUGCCCAUAAGAUUGGCCUGCUUUGUCUGUGCCCAUAAGAUUGGCCUGCUUAGUCUGUGCCCAUAAGAUUGACCUGCUCGGUCUGUGCCAUAAGAUUGGCCUGCUCUACCUGUGCCCGAACCCCCCUUUGGACCACAAACCUGGGGGAAUAUCACUGAAGUAAGCUCAGUACCCUCUAGGUGGGUGUCCGGACAGGCACUGCUGCCAGAUUAUCCAAGAGGACACCAGGAUAUGGACAUCUAACUGUGAUUGGAGGGGUGAAGGCCCUGCACCUCAAGCUCUGAAGGGCAAAGUUUUUAUGAGAAUUCCCGGGCACGCAAUUACGGGUUAUACCCAACAACGACACAUCUCCAAGGGGAACAGUGCUCAGACGCCAUAUUAGGUAUUGGUAGUGUUUUUCUAUGUCAUGUUUAGCUCCUGACCUUUUCAACUGGAUUCACUUGAUUUGUUUUUUCCAGUCUUCUAUCCGACCUGCUUUCCGAGGUAUGUAUUUUCCAUUUUCUACUUCAUUGGUCGUUUCUUUGUUUUCGUGCCUUCUAUUGUCCUAUCGCUCGGGUCGUCGAGAGGCCUGACUUGACCUCCUCCGACCUCCCGGGCACUUGUGGAUUGCGGAGAACGUCUCCAGCUUUCCUCAGACUACCGACGGUCAUCCUGGAGCCCGCGCACACGCACGGGAUCCGGGCGGUCCGUUGAUAGUUACCAUCUUCAGCUCCGAAACGUACUUUUCUCAUCACCCUUUUCUCUUAGGUCGGACAAGGCCCGAGGUUGUAUACUUUGCUUAUAUUAAAUAAGGGUGUAACCCCACAUUUGGUCACCCUGAGUCUCUACUGGACUCUGGUUUGGAUUACAGAGGGUGCGGCCCUCCUUCACCUCGGCCCCAGACUGAUAUUUUUAUUUUCAAGAGUAGAGUGCGAACCCCUCUCAUUUACCGAAUCCGACACUGAUUCAUUAUUAGAGGGCGCGGCCCUCCCUCAACCUCGGCCCGAUACUGAUCUGGAUAUAGAGGACAUGCUCAGAGUGACUCAUUCUCAUAGAAGGAACCGGACACAGAGGUAGACUCUAAGUUUGACUUCUAACGGGUGUGGCCCGCUCAUACCACCAACCGUGCGCAGACUCAGAGUGCGAUCACAUUUUACAGAGUGCGACUCUCUCAUACACUCAACGCACUAUGGUGCCGUCCAUUUGUUCCUCACACAGGCUUGUACCUGUACAGGUCAACUAUGACCGCAUAGAGGGGCGUCCCUACUACAUCCAAUUUAAAUAUGAUGACCGCGCUACUGAUUUCGUUCUAGAGGACUACCUGAUCGGGCAAGGUAUACAUAGUUUGACUGGAUCCAUCUUGUAAUCCAGAUGAGAAAUACCCUCAGAGGUAUUAGUGUGGGAGGUUUCCCACUUAUGUACACACAUUCCGGGAGACAGUACGGCUAAGGAGGAGCCUCAGUUUUUACAAGAGUACAGGUUUUGGUAUAACCGGUGCUAUAUCAAACAGACAUUGCACUCUGUUUCAGAUAUUCAUUGUGUACAAACUGUGCAGACUAUUCUCCCGUGUCAGGGUGACAUGAGAUCCUGAGACCUGCAUAGAGCAAACGGGCACUGCAAUGCUCGAGUAACAAGACUAGAAAAUUCACAUAAACGGUCUUCAGGUGCACCGUAUGCAUGGAUCGCAUGGAGAAACCGAAAUUCUCAGGACUUGGCUUCCCUGGUCCUUACAAUCUUGAGAUAAAGUUGGCAGGACUGCUCCUACAACUCUGAACACAUCUUGAGUACAGUGUUCGGACUCUAUAUCCAUCACGGGAACCAUCUUGGUUUAGGUUCUCACUAGCCUUCCUAUUGAACUACCAUCAAGGAAACCUACACUGGGAGAUACAUGCUUGGACAGUCUAUGAGACAGGAACCUAGGGGUCUCACUAUAUUAUUCCCUAUCUUGUAGGUGAUGUGUAGGCCAGGAACCCCUACACGAAUAUUGACAGGUCAGGCAUGGAACAGGAUUGUACAAAUGGUAAUCAGAGUAUCUCACACUCUCACUGCAACACGUAAGGGCUCUUCUGUGUGAUACGGGUCCUAAACUCUAUUGGAUCCGGCCAUCUUAGCACUCUUAGAGGAUGAUGUAUUUGGAUGGAAAUCUCAACCCAGGUUUCCGGUCCCAUCCUUUUGAGCUUUCCAGGAUCCACAAUUCCCAGAAUAGUUGACCACCGUUUACCACACGAGUUCAGUUUGAGACCUUGAUUGGACGCCCUUUGGAUGUCUUUUCUAGACCGCAGCCAUGGAUUACGCAGUCCAGUUGGUAGACUGGAGUCUCUUAGGGUACGGCUAGUAUUGUCCACACUAUUAUCUGCAUAUAACUUUAAUUUCGGAGGAGACAAUUCACCAGGUAGGUCAUAAAGGAACGAAUAGACACUAUUCGGUUCUAUUCGAGUAUUGACGGUGGACUUAGGCGCAGGCCGGAGGUUGGAGUUUGUCUGCAAGGCCACAUCGCCUGGUGAACCUGACACGAUCGGAGGAAUCACCUCCCACAUCAAGAGUCGAGACACGGUGGAAGUCUCUUCUCGCGACCCCUCAGCACUUUACACCUACAGGAAUAUGGCUAAUAGGUCAACUUGGCAGCCCAUGGACCGACUGCUAGGGAACAGGUCGUAAUCCCACGUACAAUGGAUCUAUCAACGGAUGUCACUUCUCGCAGUUAGAAGGUCCAUUUAGGAUUGCUCUAAUAUUCUCGGAAUGGGUACCAGCGAAACAAGCAGCGUUGGAUUUGUUGGCUGAGCGUUAAAACAGCAAAUACGAAGCCUCCUGUCAUGUUAUAAAAUUGUAGAUUAUGCUAUCUUUAGUGUACCUAUAAUCUUAAUUUUAUUAAUGACAGGAGGUGAGUAUUUCCCACCCAUUCUUAUCCCUCCCUUGUUUAAUUUUAUAGUUUGGAUUUAUCAGGUACGUAUACAACUCUGCUUGUUGUUUCUGCUACCUGUCACCUGUCCUUAUGUCUGUUUUUCAUAAGUAGGGUUGGGAUAUCUACAUAUUAAGAUAAUUUUGUUUGCUACAUUGGGUAUCUACAAGUUUAUUCAAAAUACAUUUCAUUGGAUAAUCAACCUGUUCGAUUCUGUUUUUCUCUCGUUUCAGUUUCCAGUCCUUCAGCACUAUCUGGUGUGGCGCUUUUUCGUGGAUGGUGGACAUUGACUUAUUUUCAGUCCAUCAACGCUAUCCGGUUGACAGUUCUUCUCAGACGUUGGACAUUGCUGUAUUCAUCGUAUCUGGACUUCGUUGCUUCCCAUUAUUUUUUCUGCCUUUGUUCUGUUUUGUCGCAGCUUGAAAGAGGAAAUGAUGCAAUGGGAAGGGGGUUUUAUAGUACCUAACUUUUUUCUGAUUGGUUGUUUUUCUGUGCUGCUGUGGAGUUCUAGUAAAGAGAGAUUAAAGCAAAUACUCGCCUCCUGUCAUUAAUAAAAUUAAGAUUAUAGGUACACUAAAGCUAGCAUAAUCUACAAUUUGUGUCAUUUCAAGGUGGUCACAGAAUGAGUUUCCCCUACACUCAUGAACUUGCAUGUGUCAUUAACCUACAAACUUCAAGCUUUUUAAUAGAUUGGCAAAGACAAUAUUAAAGGAGAGUUCAUUCUAAAAUCACAGCUAUCAAGCACACAGAUCAGUCAUUGAGUAAUGGACUCACAGUCUUCAGAUUCCAGUCCCAGGCGAAACUAAACAUCAUACUGUGUCAUAAACUAGUGAUAAUCACUGUAUGGGGUUGAUGGUGUCUAGAUUUUACUUUACUUCACAUUAACACAUUAACAUAGAAUAUUAAUGAACAACUACCAGGGUUCUUACCAACCCACUAGGGUAGUGGUUAAUUUAAAAAUGGAACAACUGAAAACAAUUGAAAUUGGGGGAAUGUGGGGUGAUGCAACCCCUGUUUGACUAUAUUCUUCUUUCUCUCACUCACUAUAAUUAUUUUUAAAUGUGCUCAACAUAAAAAAAGAAAAAGUGAGGGAUUGUGGUGACAUUCUGUCAUCAAACUAAUAUGGUGACCAUGGGUCAUGUGACCAAGCUCAGGUAUGCCUUUCUUAUGGGUGAUAAGCUUUACCGUUUGGUAUGGUAAUUAGGUAAUUCAAUACCUUUACAAGUAAGGAAAGAGAUACCACUUCCCCCUAUUGCCUUUCCUCCCUGUUCCUUCUUGGCUGUGCUACUGAGCAGACACGUGUGCUGAGCAGGGGCGUCCAUCUUCGUCUCAGGGCCUACCAGGCUCAGAUUUGGAAAUAGUGACAUCAUGUCAGAAUCUGAUAACCCCCCUCUCUAAAAAAGAGACCUUUGGAAACUGCUGAAGGAAGCCACAGAUGACUACAAGUGCUACACAGCAGCCCAACUGGAGAGAUAAGUGGCAGGCCUCAAGGCUGUCGUAGAAGUGCCCACCUCCAGGACAGGCAAGGCUGAAUCUCAGGUUAGCAGCCUAUUCACCAAAACAGCAACUCAAGAUCAAGACAUUUGUGGCCUAAAGGAAAAAUCCUUUAGAGGAUGGUCUGGAGGACCUUGAUAACAGAUCUUGCAGGAAUAAUGUAUGAAUAAGGGACUUGCCGGAAUCUGGCACAAAUUUUGAUGUCUCUCUUACCUGAAGCCUCCGAAAAAGGAGCUCAAGAUCGGCGCGCACAUAGAGCUCUGUACCCCCCAAUAAUCACAUCCUCUAGCCCCAGGGAUGUUAUAAUAAAAUGAUCUACUUUACAGUGAAAGAAAACCUAAUGAAAAUCAUGAGAGAGAACCCUCCUAUUGCCUGAGGCAAUAUGCUGCAUUUUUUCCAAGAUCUGGCUCCAUCCACACUCCACAAACAAAGAGAGUUCAAACCCCUCACUGCCGCCCUUGUCCAUUACGGCUGUCGAUACAAGUGUGGUCACUCAUUUAAACUUGUAGCAGAAAUUAAGGACUUCACCGACCAUCUAGGCCUCGAGCUUCUCCAUCCACCCCACAAUGUGCCACUGGGAUCGGAACCUAAACUGGUGGGUAAAGACUGUGAUGCCCCCCUCCCACCUCACCAUCACUCCCACAAGAGACGGACACCCACGGCCAAGGGCUUCUCUCAAGCUACCACUUAAACUGCUCCCAGCCGAACAAGCGGCACACCCUCGGAAAUGAAGACUUCCGCAACAUUCUUUUUCCAGGGUCUUUCCUUACAAAAGGUUAUGGAGGGGCUCACAGUUUAUCCACAGUUUUUGUUUAAACGAUUAGAUGACUAACCGGUAACUAAAAAACAGCAAAAGGUGAUAUAAAAUCAAUAAAUAAUAAUUAGAAACUAUGAAUGGGCUGCUUCACAACACAGAAGAGAGCGGUAAUAGUUAUAAAAUGAAUCAAACCUAUGUGUAUGUGAGCGCUCCAGAGAACUCAAUUAUAUUCCAGCAAAAGAAGGGAGGUCAAAAAAAUCUCAUCAGCAAAUGACAUAAACAAGUAUCAAUCUGUUGCAUCUAUUAAUGUCUGAAAAUAAAAAUUAUAUAGAAUAGCCCUUAUAUCCUAAACAUAGUAAAGGAGGAUAUAUAGUACAACAUCUAAGUAUAAAACAUCUGACGUAUAAAGGUAUGUAACAAAAGGUUACAAUGUAAGUUAAGUAGUGCAAAAAACUGAGAUGUGUCAACCUUUACAAAGAUACAUAAACUGCAUUUAUUGAAUCAUAAUAUCACAUAAAAUGAAACACAGUAAUUGUGGAAUUCCGAUAUUAACAGAAAUGUAUGUACAUCUCCAGUGAGGGGCCCCUUCACUGGAGGACUAUCGGAUAAGUCAUCCCAAAAAAAUUAUAUAGAUAAAAAUUAGUCUAAUGAGAGAUAAAAAUAAUGAUGGUAAAAAGGACGGAAUUCUAUUGGCUUAAAGUUGAAAGUGAAUGCAUGCUCAGUGAAACCGGGUGGAUAGGACAUGGAGCUCUUAAACCCCUCCGGCUAUUGUGGCACUGCUAAGGGCAUACUGAGAAAACUCAUAAGCCUGAAAAAGCUCUGGGGGAAUCCCCAGUCUCACUUACCCUGUUCGCUGCAUCAGAAGCCGGGUAGAGGAGCACGCCGGUCCACACCCACACGAUAUAGAAAGAACUUGAUCAGUUGUCGGCAAAUAGUCAAUCGAGCUGCCGUAAUCAGUUGCAAAAAAAAUGAAAGCUUGAACUUAGAGUAAAAAUGUUGCAAUCAGUCUACACGUUUCGGCUUACUUGAAGACUUUAUCAAGACUGAUCCUCCAGGGAUCUAAUCGGUGUAUAUAUACGGGUACUCAGAACUACCUAAAGGUAAACGCGUGACGUCACUUUUCGGCCAAUCAGCCGUUCUUAAAGUGACAGUACGUAAUCAAACAGGUUUAUACAGGGAUUAAUAAAAAUGCACAAAAACGAACAUCAGAGAUAUGGUUUAUAUUGUUUUCUUUGCAGAGAAGCAUAUCACCCUCUCUCCCCACCGGCAGUUUAUCCUACAAAGGGGAGAAACUAAUCUCCCAGAUGGUGCAGAUGGGACCGUGCUCUCUGCACCCGACCUACAGGGAUGCUGGACGGCCUGUCCAGAUCCCCAACUACCCUUGCAGGAGUACCAGGAGGAGGAGGUAAGCGAUGUCUCCCCUCCGCAGCCAAGUUUAAUCCCGGCUACCCCAGCAGAAGCACUGGCAUCGGGGCAGAGUGCAGCUGGCCUCUGCCCCCCCAAGUCCCCACAGUGUACUGCCCGUUACACCAGAGGAAUUACCAGGUGCAUUAACCGUUUGUUGUUUGUAGGGCUACUCUUGUACUUUCUUAUUGUGGUUGGGUGGAUCGACUAACUUAGGUACUGACCGACAGAAGGUCAGGUACCUGGUUAGUCUACCCCCCAAAGGGGAGAUGUGUGAUGAAGUGCCCUUCGACACUUGUGCCUGUAAAGGACUAAUUGCCAGCCACUUGCCUUGUGACUUUGGCCCCUGGGAGAUUUUGCCAGUUAAAAACACUGGGCUUAUAGGCUUUUAAAAGACUGUUUCUGCCCCUCUAAUUCCAUGGGAAAAUGUGCCUCUUCCCCUCCCCCUUUUUCCUGUCCUAUUGUUCUCCAGCAGGGUGUUGUCCCAGGUACACUGCCAGACCAGUUGAAACUUGCUGCUUUGUCCCUCCUCAAUUUCUCAUCAGCCUUGCUAUUGUUUAACCUCAUGGCGUUCCAACUGUAUUUGUGAGAUCUGAGAGCUUUUCGGACAUAUUAAACGCUCAGAUCCAAACUAUCUGGGGAUAUGUUGGACAUAUAGGUUAAACAUUGUAUUAUAAGAGUUAUGUAUUUUUAUGUGGUUUUUGUAACAGUUUUGACAUAGAGAUAUUCCCUGUAACUGGAGAUAAUUAAGUUACCACACCCACUUAAGCCAUUCAUCUCCAGGAUAGAGGAGAAAAAAGACCGGCUGCACAGCCUAAAUCUGUGGAACUGUUUUGGGCAGGAAAGCCAUGCUUGCAAUCGGUCAAAUGGGACUUCCAUGGAAUUCGUGAACCCCUGCUCUGAUCUGGGUGAUUUUUGGAUAUGUUGUUCACACAGAUCAGGGCCAUCCAGGGAUGUAUGGGGAUAUGUUUGUGUUUUGGGGUGUUUCUGGACUUUGGGUAAAACUAUACAUUUUCUGCCUGUGAUAAUUAAGUUAGCCCAUUGUGUUUGUUAAUUGUAUCACAGGCAGAGGAGAGGGUGUGUGCAUUAGCUGGGAGUGUCUGACUGUACUGCAGUGUGUUGAUUGGCCAUUGUAACUUUGUGUCCUGUGUUCCAAAAGGUCCAUGUGGGUGGUAACCUUGUGGGGAAAUGUGUAUAUAAGAAGCAAUUAAGACUCAGUGCAUUCUGUUCCUGUUUGACCCUCAACACGUAGUCUUGGGGAUUGCGAUACCCUGUAUACUCUCCUGAGCUUUAAUCAUUUAGCUCUUUUAAGAGCUGUUGCUGAUAUGCUCUCCUGGAGGAGAGGUCUUUCCCACAUGGUCCUGGAGGACAGAGGCUGAUCCAGGGUGGUAGGAAGAUGGCGAGAAUCCAGUUAAUCUACAGCGGUUGUGGAGUCUGCGGUGUCCAGUGCGGUGCUUGUGGUCCUCAGCGCAAGCUAGGAAGCGUCCAUCAGUGGAAGGUACUCGGUCGGUGUAUGGGUGAUCCAUUACACAGGGGCAAUCCCCACUAGACCCAAGAGUAGACUACAGUAAAACAUACACACACUUACAUUGGGUCUCAGGGUAGGGGGGUAAUCCCUCCCUUGUGCCUGAGAGAUAAUUGGGUUAGGAACUGUACUGAACUCAAUUAUCGCCAGGCACAGAAACAUACAAAACCCCCAAAAUACCUUCAAGGGUUUGGGAAUUUCAUGGAUGUCAUAAUUUAACCGAGCGCACGCAUGGUCCCAUGCCCAAACCAGUUUGAGAAUCAGGACUUGCUCUUGGUCUACUUUGGUAGUUUAAAAACCGAACAAUCUACCUAACAUAGUCAAUAGUCUUACUCUGGAGCUUGUUCACCUUGUUUGUGGGAACGUUUCCACUGAACAGUGCCCUUCUAAGUUGUGUAGAACCAAAUGCAGGCGAUCCUGGAAAUCCAGUGGUGUUCGGGAGUUUCAGUGUCCGAAAACAGUUCCAUGAACUCGGCAACCAAACACUACUGCCUGUGUUUGCGGGAACAAGAUGGCUGCCACCUUCUGGUCGUUCAUGCCAACAGCGGCCACCCAGAAGAACACUUAAAACACUGCAGUGGAAAGUGUUACAAACUGUCAAUUAGUCUUAAAAAGCUCCCGGGUGGUCUCUGGUUCAUGUGGCUGUUCGGUUCCCAAACCAAAUAUAAAAUCCCACGAACCAAGUUUGUUCACAUGUGCAAGCAGGCCCCUCCAAGAACAUGUAGCAGAGGCAUUUCUGCCACAGAAUCUUUGACCACCACAAUCAUAUCAUUUCCUCAAAUUCAUGGAAUUAUAUUCCCACAUGUAUCAAGCUCAGCAUUUUUGCAGACACUAACAGUAAAUUUGACAAAAUCGCUAAUUUUACAUUUUGGUUCCUCCGCACAAGAAUUAACCCCAUCUUAAGGAGAGAUAUCCUACGAUUGCAGUAUCUCAAGUCAAGUCUCUAAACUUUACAGCUUUAUAGAGAUUAGUAAAACUUGACUUUGUGUUACUUAUAUAUCUUGUCCUGGAUUGGCAGAAUAGCAAACUGUUGUUGAUUUGACAAAUGUCUUUAUUUAUUGCAAACCUUUCUCAUUAGUAUUUCAAAAAUAUUAUCCUUUUAGUCCAAUGAUUAAUUUGUCACAAACUUUGAAUAUUAUUACCACAAAGCAGCCCCCCUCUCCCAAACUUUAUUGGCACAAACUGCUUCUUCUCCACUGACAUGGGUUAACAUUUAAGACCCCUAAAUAACACCCAAUCUACUACUCCUGACCAAAAAAAUUUGUCUUUUUUCUAAAGCGUAUCUACUAAAUUAUAGAUUUACAUGUAAAACUCCAAUGACGGUCUUAUCCGUUUAUAGGCCCAGUUUCUUCUUGGUGCACUCGAAUAACAAAGUUUUAUAUAGAACUGGAGAUUUACUGUAAAGUAAAACAAUUGCCUAUUAGAGGCACACCCAAUGUUUGAUAUCAAGGGAAGAGAAAAAAAGACACACACACACACACACGCCAAAAUCAUCUUCAAUUUAUUCCACAGUCCCACAAGUCUUUUAUGCUAUGCAGCUAAUAAACUGUGUACAUGCAAAGCAGCAUGCUCAUUCUUCAAGCAAUUCUUUCUUGAGAAAUGAAACAUGGAAGAGUUUUGGUUUCUCGUGAAAUAGGAAGCUACCUGUUUGUUUAAUUUCUUAAGUAUUGUGUAACCGCGGCUGGUUCCCUUAUUUACCACUAUAAUGUCUUAAAGCAUAGAACUUAGUAGGGCUAACCAUACAGAUAUCUUAGCCAUAAUUUUAUAUAGUUCGUGUAAGAGAUCCUCUAUUUAACAUAUAUAAAUAAUUGAGAAUACAAUAUAAAAUAAGGAUUGUCUUGGAAGCAAUAGUUUUGUCUUUUAGAUAUUUAGUAUAUAAAAAUAUAAAUAUAGACAUAUAAAAUGUAUUAUAGCAGAGUUUAUAAGAUUAAAUUAAAUGCUUGCAAAUAUCAUUAACAGGUUAACAUACCCUUCUGAACAUGUGAUCAUGUCAGCCUCUCUGUCAUUUUAAGAUGGAGCAGCGUCUGUCUCCAAGUCUCUCCUCUGUGUCUUAACAUUUAAAAGUACACCUAUUUAUUCCUUAGGUGUCUCCAUUUUAGGGUUACCGUAGUUCAUAUAUGAAAAAGUAACACUUCUUUUACUUUAUUCAUUUUAGGACCUCCCUUAAUUUGGCAAAAAUACAAGGCCAUAACUAAAGGGUGUAUACGUCAUGGAAAUUUUCCUGACUUAGUUCAAGAUGGCAUCUUAAAGUCUCGACAUCCUUAUCUACUUAAGGUUACCAAAGUAUAUUGUGUACUGAAAGAGUCGUAGCUUAGCCUUGAAGCUUGUUUAUGCAUUAUUGUUAUUGUAAUUUGUCUGGGACAAAAUGGCGCAAACAUAUUAUGCACUGAGGUUAUUACUUAAAGAAACAGUUAUGAAAAACAAUAUGUUCCAUUUCUAACACCUUGUCAAUUUGCAAUAUCUCCUAAAGACAAAGUACACAGUUUAAGAAAUACAACAUUUCAUUCUAAAACUUGUAAUAUUUGCAUUUGCCCAUAACACCCUCUCCAUUAAACUGUGGGCAUUGUAGAGCAUUUCUUCCUUAAAUUAGUGAACCAAAGUUCUCCAACACUCUUUAGGUUUUUUUGUGCUCCCAGCAUCUUUGAUCAUUGUUGUAACAGUAAAAUAUCCAUAGUGUGAUCUUUGCCUGUAAAGGUGGUUGAUUAAAAUGAGCAAAGCUUUUGUCUGGGAAAGAAUUGAAAUGAACAUCAGGUUCCAGAGUAAGAUAUUCUUGAAUGGAUCCGGAUACGAAUUGUAAUCCAAAGUUAAAAAUAGUAAUUGUAUUUGUAAUUCAAAGUCUUAAAGGCCUGUAAAAGUUUACAUUCCUUAGAUACAUUGCUGGAGGUUGUGUUUGUAGAAUGGAAAGGGUAUAUCUUGUCUAUAAAAAAUAGAAAGAUCAUAGCAUAAUACUGUGAUGAUAGAUAAAUUGAAUAAAACAAUCUGUAUGGUCCAACUCACAUAUAAUAGAGCCUGUUACAAACUGGCUCAGGUAUAGUUGCUCAAACAAGGUAUCCUCAAAUGGAAUCACGAAAGCUGCAGCUUGGUCCUCAAUAUAAAGUGCAUAGACAUCAAUUAGAAGGAUAGCAGCAAUAUAAUUUAUUAAAAUUAAUAGUAAAAGCUUACAUAUAAAAUUCUGGAAAUCCAGCAAGUAGCACAACGCGUUUCGACGUUAUAAUACGUCUUCCUCAGGUGCAAUAUUAUUAUAACAUUUCAUCCACAAUUUAAAACAAAAUUGGGCGCGAAAAACGGGUACUUAGAACCCGCCCCCCGCGUCCAUAAACCAAUCAGCUUCAUUCCUCAUGUUUCCUAAUCCAAUCCUCUAUGAUACCGUCGUCAUAUUCUUCUAUUUUCGCAUUAGUGCGUUCCACCGCGAGCACUUCCGGGUUCGCUUGCAUUCCAUCCGUGAUACCGAUGCGUUCCAGCGUUCAUUUCAUGCGGUUCACAGCGGAAAGUCGCCCAAAAUACCUCUUAACUUUUACUGUUGUGUCAAAUCAUUGUCCUAAUUAGUCCUCAUAGUAUGGUACUCCGCAGCAAAGUCCCAACAUGAAAAUAGAAACAAGGGGAAAGGUGAAAGAAGAGGGAGGGGGACAUAAAAAUAUAUAAAUAAGAAUACCUAUAGAUAAUAUAUAUAAUAAAAAAUAAAAUACAUUAUAUAUAAUUAUACAUCUCAAAGUCAAUGUUAAGGCCAUUUGGAGAGAGGGUUUCCAACUCAAAAAUCCACUUCAUCUCAGUUCUAUUAAGAAUCCUUAAGUGGUCUCCCCCUCUCCAAGGCUUUAAAACUCUCUGUAUUCCCAUAAAGUGCAAAUUAUCAAUUCCACCACCAUGAACUUGGUUAACAUGUGCAGAUACAGAGUGAUUGAGGACCCCAUUCUGUAUAUUCCUAAGGUGUUCACAGAUUCUAACCUUAAGGGGUCUGGUCGUGCGACCUACAUAUUGUAGUCCACAGAUACAAGUUAACAAAUAAAUUACAUUAGUUGAAUUACAUGUGAUAAAAUCCUUUAUCUUGUAUUCCUUCUUUGUCUUAUUAGAAUAAAAUCUUUCAGUUUUUUUACUUAACUUCCUACUGGUACUACAUGCUUUGCAGUUCCCACAAUUAUAAAAUCCUUUCAAAUCUUUCCCCUGUAUAUCUCUAUUCCUUUGGGAAUUUUUGGGGAUAAAACUACUGCUUAAAACAUUUUUAAGAUUACUAGCCCCUCCAUAUACUAUACGCGGUUUUUCCCCUAUAUAUGUCAGGAGAUCCUCAUUUUGUCUCAAGAUAUGCCAAUGUUUCUUGAGAAUUCUAUGAAACAGAUGACUUUGGGAAUUAUAAUCGCAUACAAUAGGGACUUGUUGUUCUAAAACAGUAUUCUCCUUCCUCUUAUAUACUAACAUAUCUUUUCUAGGUUUAGUACAUAUAUCUUUAAAUUGGGUUUCUACACACUCCUUUUUAUAUCCCUUUUGAUAAAAUUGAUUUUUAAGGAUGUCUGAUUGUUCCAAAAAAGUAUUUUCAUCCGUACAGUUCCUCUUAAGUCGCAUAAAUUGCCCUUUCGGGAUAUUAGUAAGCCAUGUCUUAAAAUGACAACUGUUGUUAUCGAUAUAACUGUUGACAUCGACCGUUUUGAAGAACAUACUGGUUUUAAUAAUCCCAUUGAAGUGUUGAACUGCCUCACAACCAAUAUGAUGUUCUAUGAUCGUAUAUAAGGUGCUCACAUCACUGGUUACAAGAAUAUAUUCUUCCGACCAGACAAAAUCAUAUAAAAUCUGGAGAAGAUUGAUGGAGUCUUUUAAAUGAGCUUUGGUUUUCAACACCAACGGUUGUAAAAGGGUGUCAAUAUAUUGAGACAAGGGCGAUAAUAAAGAAUCCACCCCGGCCACAAUAGGUCUGCCUGGGGGUUGUACUGGAUCCUUAUGGAUCUUGGGGAGAAUGUAUAUAACGGGAAUAAUGGUGAACUCUUUAUUGAGGAAAUUAUACUCAUCUUUAUUAAGGAUCCCCAAUUCUAACCCUUGAUCUAAGAACCUAAUCAAUUCUUUUCUGAUAUUAGGUUCUGGAUUAGUUUUAAGUUUCCCAUAUGUAUUAUCAUCCUUUAAUUGUUUGGAAAUUUCUUCAAUAUAAUAUACUUUAUUCAUAAUGACAACUCCCCCCCCCUUGUCUGCCGGUUUGAUGAUAAUACUAUCAUCUUUGGCCAAAUCUUCCAGAGCUUUCUUCUCUCCCCAUGUAAGAUUUUGUUGGAAUUUAGUAAGAGGUUGGAUUUUUUUGAGCUCAAUCAUACAUGCUUUCUCAAAGGAUUUCAUACUGGGACUUUUUAAAUAAUACGGGAAAAAGGUAGAAACAGGUUUAAGUGCAGUGUGUUGGAAUUCAGAUAACUCAUCUAGCUUUACAUUUGCAACAUCUUUUGAGAGAAAAAUUUUUUUUAAACAAAGCUUCCUCAUAAAUCUAUUAAGAUCAAGGAAAGUAUCGAAUUUGUUGAUAUAGCAACUCGGGGCAAAUUUGAAACCCUUUGUUAGGACUUUAGUGUGAUUUACGUCCAAAGUUUUAUUAGACAAAUUGAAAAUUUUUAUAGGUUCAGGUGGCUUUUUAUUUCUUUCUAAAAUUCCCUUAGACGCCUUCUUACUCUUCACUCCUCUGGUUCCUCUUCCAUAGAAAACCUUCGUCUCUUUUGAGUGGAAGGUUGGGAUCUUAUAAAGGCCUGAUUGGGAUUCGGGGAUCCUAAAAAAAUACUUUGUUCUGUGUUUUGGAGAGGUUCGUAUCUGUUUCUAUGGGCAUAAGUUUUCUCAGGUACUAUGUUCUUAAGGGAACGUUCCCUAAACUGGGAUACUUGUAUAUUAGAUGUUCUCGUAUGGGUAUAGUUCCUAGAUGUUCGAUCAUGGUGUUUUCUUCUCCUAACUUCUGUCCAUUGUUGUUCAUCUAUUUUACCUCUCUGUCCCUGUUGUUCUCUGUAAUAAUGUCUAGAUCCAUCUCCAGAAUUCCAAGAUAUAUUAGGUUUCUUAUUAAUAUCCCAAUUUUUCUGGAUAUCUUGUCUAUAAUGUUCAACCAUUUGAUUGUAUAUUUUACUUACAUUACCUCUUUUAUAAUCAUCUAAAUCUCGUUUAAAUUUUUUCUGUUUAAUAUAAAGGGUAUCUUUUUCAAUUUUAUCCAAAUUUUUAUUAAUCUUAAUGGAUAGAUCCUUGAGAUCUUUCGUACCCGACAAAGGUUCUAAUUUCUCUUUAAUAUUUUUGAUAGCUGUAUCUAAUUUUUUUAGAGUUAAAGAUCUCUGUUCUACUAUUAUUUUGAUCAUAGUAACUGAAAAUGACUCAAGAGCAUUAUUCCAUAUGCCUAUGAAUCUAUUAUCAUCCUUAUCAAAUGUAGGGACUUUGUGAAAUCUGAGCCCUCUAGGUGUAAUUUCUUCUUUCAGAUACUUUUCAAGGGUAAAGAUCUCCCAUUUUAUUCUAAGCUCCCUGCUUAAUAGUUUCUCUAAUUCUUCACCCAUAAUAUCUAAAUCAUCACUCUCUUUAAAUGUGAAGUUAUCAUCUUCCAAAAUUUGGUUAAAUUUGUUGUUAAUAUUUUCCAUCCAUCCCUCUCUUCUUUCAAAUAAAUCCAUAAUAGAGGGGUAUGGAUAAUAAGCAGCCCAAACUAUACCGGUGGUUACAGAUACUAGAACAAAAUCCCAAAGGGAGGUGCAGUUUGUGGCGCUAGAAAAGCUGCUAGAACACACAAAUAGGACUUAACCACAGAGGUCCUACAAAAAACAAGUUACAACUAUACAAAAUAGUGUGCAGCGCAUAAAAAAUCACAUAUACGUGAAAACUUCCACCUUAGGUGAAUAAAUGAUAAUAAAUGAGUACCCCAAUGCGAUGGUAGAUCAGAAAGGGUAUAUCUUGUCUAUAAAAAAUAGAAAGAUCAUAGCAUAAUACUGUGAUGAUAGAUAAAUUGAAUAAAACAAUCUGUAUGGUCCAACUCACAUAUAAUGGAGCCUGUUACAAACUGGCUCAGGUAUAGUUGCUCAAACAAGGUAUCCUCAAAUGGAAUCACGAAAGCUGCAGCUUGGUCCUCAAUAUAAAGUGCAUAGACAUCAAUUAGAAGGAUAGCAGCAAUAUAAUUUAUUAAAAUUAAUAGUAAAAGCUUACAUAUAAAAUUCUGGAAAUCCAGCAAGUAGCACAACGCGUGUCUCAAUUUAACCAAAUUUUGGAAGAUGAUAAUUUCACAUUUAAAGAGAGUGAUGAUUUAGAUAUUAUGGGUGAAGAAUUAGAGAAACUAUUAAGCAGGGAGCUUAGAAUAAAAUGGGAGAUCUUUACCCUUGAAAAGUAUCUGAAAGAAGAAAUUACACCUAGAGGGCUCAGAUUUCACAAAGUCCCUACAUUUGAUAAGGAUGAUAAUAGAUUCAUAGGCAUAUGGAAUAAUGCUCUUGAGUCAUUUUCAGUUACUAUGAUCAAAAUAAUAGUAGAACAGAGAUCUUUAACUCUAAAAAAAUUAGAUACAGCUAUCAAAAAUAUUAAAGAGAAAUUAGAACCUUUGUCGGGUACGAAAGAUCUCAAGGAUCUAUCCACUAAGAUUAAUAAAAAUUUGGAUAAAAUUGAAAAAGAUACCCUUUAUAUUAAACAGAAAAAAUUUAAACGAGAUUUAGAUGAUUAUAAAAGAGGUAAUGUAAGUAAAAUAUACAAUCAAAAGGUUGAACAUUAUAGACAAGAUAUCCAGAAAAAUUGGGAUAUUAAUAAGAAACCUAAUAUAUCUUGGAAUUCUGGAGAUGGAUCUAGACAUUAUUACAGAGAACAACAGGGACGGAGAGGUAAAAUAGAUGAACAACAAUGGACAGAAGUUAGGAGAAGAAAACACCAUGAUCGAACAUCUAGGAACUAUACCCAUAUGAGAACAUCUAAUACACAAGUAUCCCAGUUUAGGGAACGUCCCCUUAAGAACAUAGUACCUGAGAAAACUUAUGCCCAUAGAAACAGAUACGAACCUCUCCAAAACACAGAACAAAGUAUUUUUUUAGGAUCCCCGAAUCCCAAUCAGGCCUUUAUAAGAUCCCAACCUUCCACUCAAAAGAGACAAAGGUUUUCUAUGGAAGAGGAACCAGAGGAGGGAAGAGUAAGAAGGCGUCUAAGGGAAUUUUAGAAAGAAAUAAAAAGCCACCUGAACCUAUAAAAAUUUUCAAUUUGUCUAAUAAAACUUUGGACGUAAAUCACACUAAAGUCCUAACAAAGGGUUUCAAAUUUGCCCCGAGUUGCAAUAUCAACAAAUUCGAUACUUUCCUUGAUCUUAAUAGAUUUAUGAGGAAGCUUUGUUUAAAAAAAUUUUUUCUCUCAAAAGAUGUUGCAAAUGUAAAGCUAGAUGAGUUAUCUGAAUUCCAACACACUGCACUUAAACCUGUUUCUACCUUUUUCCCGUAUUAUUUAAAAAGUCCCAGUAUGAAAUCCUUUGAGAAAGCAUGUAUGAUUGAGCUCAAAAAAAUCCAACCUCUUACUAAAUUCCAACAAAAUCUUACAUGGGGAGAGAAGAAAGCUCUGGAAGAUUUGGCCAAAGAUGAUAGUAUUAUCAUCAAACCGGCAGACAAGGGGGGGGGAGUUGUCAUUAUGAAUAAAGUAUAUUAUAUUGAAGAAAUUUCCAAACAAUUAAAGGAUGAUAAUACAUAUGGGAAACUUAAAACUAAUCCAGAACCUAAUAUCAGAAAAGAAUUGAUUAGGUUCUUAGAUCAAGGGUUAGAAUUGGGGAUCCUUAAUAAAGAUGAGUAUAAUUUCCUCAAUAAAGAGUUCACCAUUAUUCCCGUUAUAUACAUUCUCCCCAAGAUCCAUAAGGAUCCAGUACAACCCCCAGGCAGACCUAUUGUGGCCGGGGUGGAUUCUUUAUUAUCGCCCUUGUCUCAAUAUAUUGACACCCUUUUACAACCGUUGGUGUUGAAAACCAAAGCUCAUUUAAAAGACUCCAUCAAUCUUCUCCAGAUUUUAUAUGAUUUUGUCUGGUCGGAAGAAUAUAUUCUUGUAACCAGUGAUGUGAGCACCUUAUAUACGAUCAUAGAACAUCAUAUUGGUUGUGAGGCAGUUCAACACUAGUGAUGUCGCGAACCCGAAAUUUUCGGUUCGCGAACGGCGAACGCGAACUUCCGCAAAUGUUCGCGAACCGGCGAACCGCCCGAAACGCCAUUGACUUCAAUGGGGAGGCGAAUUUUAAAACACACAGGGACUCUUUCUGGCCACAAUAGGGAUGGAAAAGUUUUUUCAAGGGGACUAACACCUGGACUGUGGCAUGCCGGAGGGGGAUCCAUGGCAAAACUCCCAUGGAAAAUUACACAGUUGAUACAGAGUCUGGUUUUAAUCCAUAAAGGGCAGAAAUCACCUAACAUUCCUAAAUCACAAUCAAUAUGGAUUGACACCUGACAUAUGACAUAUUGACACCUUGACAUAUGGAUUGACACCUGUCCUCAGAGCCCCUGAUGCACACGGACACAGAGCAGAAUAGAGACUGGUCCCCCUACAUAGGGUCACUUGGCAAAUAUGGAUUGACACCUGUCCUCAAGGAUCCCUGAUACACACUGACACAGAGCAGAAUAGGGACUGUUCCCCCUACAUCGGGUCACUUGGCAGAUAUGGAUUGACACCUGUCCUAAGGUUCCCUAGUACACACUGACACAGAGCAGAAUAGGGACUGGUCCCCCUACAUCGGGUCACUUGGCAGAUAUGGAUUGACACCUUGUUACAAAAUGCUAUUUGUAAUGGGCCCUUUAAAUGGCAAAUUGCCCUGCUUCCCUGGGUUGUGGAGAAGCCUACUUGCCAGCCUCCUCCCGCAUGACUAUGGCCCCUGGGAGAUUGUGAAAAUGUAUGCACUUUUAUUUGGUGUGUAUGGCCCUUUAAGACUGUCGGUGGGCAUAUUGGGGCUUAUGGACUCUUUAUGUGACUGGUGCUGGCCCUUUAAACACCUUUUUUGGGACAUCAGGAAGAUUGGGACACUGCCCCUUUAAGGCCGUGUCCCCAGACUUGUUGGGGACACGGCCCCUUUAAGACGGUGUCCCCUGUGUCCCCAGACCUGGUGCAAACCCUUUGUGCCUGCCUUGCUAUUUCCCACUUGGUUCAGUAAAUGGGAAAUUAUUUCAGCUGCAGAGACUAAGUCCCAUUCAGCGAUGGGACUUAGUCUUUUUUUCAGCCGUUUUUUUCAGCCUUAUUUCAGCUGCAGAGACUAAGUCCCAUUCGCGAUGGGACUUAGUCGUUUUUUCAGCCUGAAAUAGACCGACCUCACAGCCCAAAUCUAUGGAACUGUUUUGGGCAGGAAAAUGUGCUUGCGGUCGGUCAUAAAGGGACCUCCAGCUAACUUUUUAACCCCUGGAUGGAUUUGGCUGAUUUUUGGUUAUGUUUAUGUUUUAAGUGUGCUGAUUCCAAAUAUGUAAUUAUGAAGAUGGGAUGUGUAGUUUUAAAGUUACAGGGUAUGGCUAAAAACUGUAUUUUUACUGCCUGUGUUUAAUUAUGUUAAUCUCUUCCCAAACGUCAUUUCGUUCAAAGUGGAGAGAAUGUUAAAAAAAUAUAUUUUUGUUCGGAGUGUGAGAAAUGCUUUUCAGCCGCUUCUAAUCUUAAGCAUCAUUUGAGGAGCCAUACAGGAGAGAAACCUUAUUUGUGGUGUGUUUAGUAUUGUUCUGAUCAGUUUAAUACCUUCCGCGUCUCCUAUCAGUGGACGUGUAUAUGGCAGCCAUUUUAGGAACCGCACACCUGGGACCCGAGCAAGGUCACCUCGUUCAACAGGCGACAACAUUUGUCCCUGGAAAACUAUCCUGGACAUUCUGUACAAUUUGUAUGGAUAUGGCAGUGAUUUCUGUAACAGGGAGAUGGAAGAAGAUGCUUGGUCGGUCCUCUUAAUUCAAAUUUGGGGCACUGCGCGGUCAAGCUAAUGUGCCACCAGAUAGGAGUGGUGUGUUUAGUAUUUUUCUGAUCAGUUUAAUACCUUCCGCGUCUCCUAUCAGUGGACGUGUAUAUGGCAGCCAUUUUAGGAACCGUACACCUGGGACCCGAGCAAGGUCACCUCGUUCAACAGGCUUGCAGCGUAUCCUCCAGGAAGAAGAGCCUGAACCCUUACCGGCUGCCGUGUCUUACCUGUACAUGGAAAGCUGCUCUGGUUCCUUGAUGAGCCAGCUGCCCGUGAGUUAACAUGUCCCGUGGAGAAGCACUCUGUCCUGUAAAGCCUCACCAAAAAAAAGGAGUGGUGUUUUUAGUAUUGUUCUGAUCAGUUUAAUACCUUCCGCGUCUCCUAUCAGUGGACGUGUACACGGCAUUGAUUUUUGUAACAGGUAGAUGGAAGAAGAGGCUUGGUCGGUCCUCUUACUGCAAAUUUGGGGCACUGCGCGGUCAAGCUAAUGUGACACCAGAUAGGAGUGGUGUGUUUAGUACUAUUUUUAUUAGUUUAAUACCUUCCGCGUCUCCUAUCAGUGGACGUGUACACGGCAUUGAUUUUUGUAACAGGGAGAUGGAAGAAGAGGCUUGGUCGGUCCUCUUACUGCAAAUUUGGGGCACUGCGCGGUCAAGCUAAUGUGACACCAGAUAGGAGUGGUGUGUUUUGUACUAUUUUUAUCAGUUUAAUACCUUCCGCGUCUCCUAUCAGUGGUCGUGUACACGGCAGUAAUUUAUGUAACAGGCAGAUGGAAGAAGAUGCUUGGUUGGUCCUUCUAACUGGAGACUGUGUUGCUGUACGGGUGGCAGGUGGAGCCAUUUAUAAAGUACACACUGCUUUAUAAAGCCAUUUAUAAAGUACACACUGGCGGCUUGAACCCAAGUUGGUGGCGGAUAAGUCACGCAAGUCAACAGGCAUUCAGAGCUAAAAUACAGCAGCGUGUGGACCAUUUUUAGCCCAAGGCAGCUCAUCUCAUCAGGCCUUUUUUACAUAGGGUCACUUGGCAGAUAUGGAUUGACACAUGUCCUAAGGAUCCCUGAUACACACACUGACACAGAGCAGAAUAGGGACUGUUCCUCCUACAUAGGGUCACUUGGCAGAUAUGGAUUGACACCUGUCCUCAGAGACCAUGAUACACACUGACACAGAGCAGAAUAGAGACUGUUUCCCCUACAUCGGGUCACUUGGCAGAUAUGGAUUGACACCUGUCCUGGGGAUCCCUGAUACACACUGACACAGAGCAGAAUAGAGACUGUUCCCCCUACAUAGGGUCACUUGGCAGAUAUGGAUUGACACCUGUCCUAAGGGUCCCUGAUACACACUGACACAGAGCAGAAUAGGGACUGUUCUCCUACAUAGGGUCCACUUGGCAGAUAUGGAUUGACACCUGUGCUAAGGAUCCCUGAUACACACUGACACAGAGCAGAAUAGGGACUGUUCCUCCUACAUAGGGUCACUUGGCAGAUAUGGAUUGACACCUGUCCUCAGAGACCAUGAUACACACUGACACAGAGCAGAAUAGAGACUGUUCCCCCUACAUAGGGUCCUUGGCAGAUAUGGAUUGACACCUGUCCUAAAGAUCCCUGAUACACACUGACAUACAGAUCAGAAUAGGGAAUGUUAUCCCAACAUAUAUGAGGUCACUUGGCAGAUAUGGUUGACACCUGUCCCUGGGAUCCCUGAUACACACUGAUACACACCUACUUGUGGAUAUGGUAUAGACAUUUUUAGCAGCUCCUGGCCCGAACACCCCUGACCCACAUAGGAGCCGUAUGAGCCGGAUUAGGGAGUCAGGACUGACCCUAAAGCCCAGUAGGGUGCCAUAUAGAGGCGUGUAAAAACCUCCCAAGAUAGUAGUAUGGGCCCCAGAAUGUGAACAGGCCUUCCAGCAGCUCAAGGCAGCUCAUUAAAUCACCUGUACUUUCUUCUCCCUGAUCAACUAAGCACUUUCUCGUCCAUGCCAGGCGGCUUCUAUGCUUGGAUUGGGAGCGGUAUUGAGCAAGUGGAGCAGAUGGUGGCUAGCAACCCGAGGGCCAGCCGUAAACUUUUGCACAGCGAAGUAUAUUCACUGCCAUUGAAAAGGAGUGCAUGGCGGUGGUGUGGGCCCUCAAAGCUGCAACCUACUUGUAUGGACAACCGUUUACCUUACUCACAGAUCACAACAAAUUUGGGGCACUGCGCGUGCAAUCUAAUGUGCCACCAGAUAGGAGUGGUGUGUUUAGUACUAUUGUUAUCAGUUUAAUCACUGUUAAGCCCCCUAUCCGUUGAUGUGGAGCAAGACGCAGCAGCAGAAGAGGACUAAGCCGAGGAGGUUAUGGAAGAGGAUGGAGUAGGAGGAGUAGAGGAGGUGGCAGCGUACUGGCAGAGUACGCUGUAGGGCUGACACACCUGCUUGAAGAUAACUAACUGCUAUUCAAUCUAUAACAGUGAAAAAAAUAAUUUGUUUUUAAAUCCAAGCUAUUGUGUGACACCAGUGAGGUGAGUGGUGUGUUUUUAGUACUAUUGUUAUCAGUUUAAUCACUGUUCGCCCCUAUCCGUUGAUGUGGAGCAAGGCAGCAGCAGCAGAAGAGGACUAAGCCGAGGGAGGGUUAUGGAAGAGGAUGGAGUAGGAGGAGUAGAGGAGGUGUGGCAGCGUACUGGCAGAGUACAGCUGUAGGGCUGACACACCUGCUUGAGAAGAUAACUAGCACACUUCAAUCUAUAACAGUGAAAAAAAUUUUUUUGUUUUUAAAUCCGAAGCUAUUGUGACACCAAUUGAGUGGUGGUGUGUUUAGUAUAUAUUGUUAUCAGUUUAAUCACUGUUAAAGCCCCUAUCGUUGAUGUGGAGCAAGGCGCAGCAGCAGAAAGAGGACUAGGGCAGGGGAGGUUAUGGAAGAGGAUGGAGUAGGAGGUAAGAGGAGGUGGCGGCAUUACUGGCAGGUACGGCUGUGGGGCUGACACACCAAAACUUUGAGACAACUUAACUGCUAUUCAAUCUAUAACUGAUGUUUGUUUUCACAGGCAGAAAGUGCCCUAAAAGAUGAUGGCUGAGAAGCGAACCCAAGUUGGUGGUGGAUCAGUCAACGCAUAAAAGUCAACAGGCAUUCAGAGCUAAAAUACAGCUUGGCGUGUGGACCAUUUUUAGCCCAAGGCAGCUCAUCUCAUCAGGCCUUUAGUCGGAUGUAUCGCCCACUGUCAGUCCCGCCGGGAUCCAUCCCUCAUUCAUCUUAAUAAAAGUGAGGUAAUCUAGACUUUUUUGACCUAGGCGACUUCUCUUCUCAGUGACAAUACCUCCUGCUGCACUGAAGGUCCUUUCUGACAGGACACUUGAGGCGGGGCAGGCCAGAAGUUCUAUCGCAAAUUGGGAUAGCUCAGGCCACAGGUCAAGCCUGCACACCCAGUAGUCAAGGGGUUCAUCGCUCCUCAGAGUGUCGAUAUCUGCAGUUAAGGCGAGGUAGUCUGCUACCUGUCGGUCGAGUCGCUCUCUGAGGGUGGAUCCCGAAGGGCUGUGGCGAUGCGUGGGACUUAAAAAGGUCCGCAUGUCACUCCAUCAACAACCUGCGUCUCUAAAAGCGUCCUGUCCUUGCCGGCGUGGUCAUGGGAGGGAGGAUGACUUCCACCUCUCCCUGUUGGAGUCCCGUUGUGCUGUGACAUCACCCUUAUAUGCUGUGUAAAGCAUACUUUUCAAUUUAUUUUGCUAAUGCUGCAUCCUUUCAUACUUGUUGUAAUUCGGUAACAUUUCCGCCACUUUCUGCUUAUACCGGGGGUCUAGUAGCGUGGACACCCAGUACAGGUCGUUCUCCUUCAGCCUUUUUAUACGAGGGUCCCUCAACAGGCGCGACAGCAUGAAAGACCCCAUUUGCACAAGGUUGGAUGCCGAGCUACUCAUUUCCCGUUCCUCCUCCUCACUGAUGUCAAUGAAGGUAUUUUCUUUCCCCCAGCCACGUACAACACCACAGGCACCAGAUAGGUGACAACGAGCACCCUGGGAUGCCUGUUGUGGUUGGUCUUGCUCCUCCUCUUCCUCCUCCUCAAUGCCACUUUCCUCCUCUGACUCCUCUUCCUCACAAUCCCUCUUCCAGCGUUGCCGCCCAGGUCCAAUAGCGAUGCUGAUAAGGAAAGCAUUUCUGGAGGUGAUGGUGACCACAACUCUUCCUCUUCCUCUUCACGCUCAUCACGGCCCACGGAAUAAAACUGCGCUGCUGGCGGGCAGCUCCAGGAAGAAAACAAAUGGUAUAUGAUGUCGCGUGGUGCCUUGAUGCGACUGACGAAUUGUGCCUCCUCAAAGGGCGCGCCGAGCCUACGAGAAAAAUUGCGCGCCAGUAACAUGGCAAAAAAAUUCCCAGCUCCCCAGAGGCUGUCCUAGCACCCCGGUCAUACAAAUAUUAAUUAACGGCUUUUUCUUGUUUGAGCAGGCGGUCGAACAUUAGGAGUGUUGAAUUCCAACGCGUCGGGCUGUCGCAAAUCAAGCGCCUCACUGGCAUGUUGUUUAGCCGCUGGAUAUCGGCGAAGUGCACCAUGGCCGUGUAGGAACGCCUGAAAUGGCCACACACCUUCCUGGCCUGCUUCAGGACAUCCUGUAAGCCUGUGUACUUAUGCACAAAGCGUUGUACGAUCAGAUUACACACAUGUGCCAUGCACGGCACAUGUGACAACUUGCCCAACUUCAAUGCCGCUAACAAAUUUUGCGACUGCGUUGUCACGGCCGCUUUACGCGAUAUCCGGUAAACAACGAGUCGGCCACUUUUUCCCACCUAAUGCGUUCAGGAAGGACAGGAGUGCUUAUCGGUGUAUUGACUCUCUGCUUUUAAACAAGUCAAGCCAAGGCGGUAUUGACACUGCAUUAUCGGGAUUAAUGGAGAAUAGUACCUGGGGAGCUGGGGGGGAUUACUUGCGUUGAUGUGGGCAAGACGCAGCAACAGAGAGGACUUCCAGCGAGGAGGUUAUGGAAGAGGAUGGAGUAGGAGGUAGAGGAGGUGGCAGCAGGACUUUGCCUGCAAGUCGUGGCGGUGUCGCAGCUCUCUCUGAAACCAUGCAUUCCAUGCUUGGCGGCAGUCAGCAGAGUUUACCAAUGCGCCAGUGUAGGUGAUAUACCUGCCCCUGACCAUGCUUUGCAGACCAGGUAUCAGUGGUCAAAUGGACCCUUGCCCCAACACUGUGUGCCAGAGAUGCUAUUACUUCCUUUUGCACAAUUAAGUACAGGUUGGGGAUUGCCUUUUGCGAAAAGUAAUUUCGGCCGGGUACCUUCCACUGCGGUGUCCCAAUAGCAACAAAUUUUUUGAACGCCUCAGACUCCACCAGCUUGUAUGGUAAAAGCUGGCGGGCUAAUAGUUCGGACAAGCCAGCAGUCAGACACUGGGCAAGGGGGUGACUUUCUGACAUUGUCUUCUUACGCUCAAACAUGUCCUUGACAGACACAUGACUGUGGGAAGAUGAGCGUGAACUGCUCAAGGCGGGAGGCGGAGUGGCGGAUGGUUGAGGGGGGACAAGGAGGACAGCAGUGGUUGACGUGGCUGAAGAUGCUGGACCAGGAGGAGGCUGGCGGCUUAGAGUAGGCGAGCUGCUUGUACUCAUGUGUUGAUCCCAUAGGCGUCUGUGAUGUGAGAUCAUGUGCCUACGCAAAGCAGUUGUACCUAGGUGGGUGUUGGACUUCCCACGACUCAGUUUCUUUUGGCACAGGUUGCAAAUGGCAUUGCUGUUGUCAGAGGCAGACACACAAAAAAAAUGCCACACUGCUGAGCUCUGCAAUGACGACAUUCUGGUGGUGGACACAGCAUGCGUUGAUUGGCGUGCUGUCUGGCUGACCCCGGGUGCCGAUGCAUGCUGUCUGACUGUGCCACCAGCUCCGCGCGACGACCCCUCCCCUGCUUCCAACUCGUCACUCCUCCUCCUCCCUGUACUCCCCCAUCUGAACUUUAAGCCCUCUGUUCUUCUUCCAACUUCUAGCAGUGGCCCGAGGGCACCACGUCGACAUCAUGGGCCUUUCGUCAUCAUCAACUGCUGCACUUGUAUCUGACAACUCAACAAAGGAAGCAGCAGCGGGCACAACAUCAUCAUCAUCACACCGUACGUCCAUGUGUGUAAUGCUUCCUGACUGAGACAUAUCCCUGUUAUCUACAUCCUCUGGCAAUAAUGGUUGCGCAUCACUCAUUUCUUCAAGCGGAUGUGUGAAUAACUCCUCUGACAUACCAACUGAAGCGGCUGUGGUGCUAGUUUUGGUGGUGGCGGCAGGCGGGUGAGUGGUAUCUUGAGAGGUGCCUGAAGCUAAGCUGGAGGAGGAUGGUGCGUCAAGGUUCUGAGCGGAGGCUGUAGAAGAUUGGGUGUCCUGUGUUAGCCAGUCAAAUAUGUCCUCAGAACUUUUCAAGUUCAGGGUACGUGGCCUCUGAAAACUGGGCAUUAUUCUAGGGCCAAAGGGAAUCACAGCACCACGACCACGAUGGCCCCUGCGGGGUGACCUGCCUCUGCCUGUCAUUUUUUUGGGGAUUAGUGGUACUAUGGGUGCAAGCUACNNNNNNNNNNNNNNNNNNNNNNNNNNNNNNNNNNNNNNNNNNNNNNNNNNNNNNNNNNNNNNNNNNNNNNNNNNNNNNNNNNNNNNNNNNNNNNNNNNNNCUGACUGCUAUUCAAUCUAUAACAGUGAAAAAAGUGUUUUGUUUUUAAAUCCAAGCUAUUUUGACACCAGAUCUAAUUGGUGGCACUGGUCAAAGUAUCCACUGUUAGCGUAACACACCUGCUUGAAGAUAACUAACUGCUAUUUAAUCUAUAAUAGUGAAAAAAGUGUUUUGUUUUUUUAAAUCCAAGCUUUGUGUCACCAGAUCUAAUUGGUGGCACUGGUCACCGUAUCCACUGAUAGCGUAACACACCCGCUUUAAGGACACUAGCUGCUAUUCAAUCUAUAACAGUGAAAAAAGUGGUUUUUUUUUAAAUCCAAGCUAUUGUGACACCAGAUCUAAUUGGUACCUUGUCUUGGUAUCCACUGUUAGCGUAACACACACCGGCUUUAAGGACACCUGACUGCUAUUCAAUCUAUAACAGUAAAAAGUUUUUGUUUUUAAAUCCAAGCUAUUGUGACGCAGAUCUAAUUGAGUGGCACUUGUCAGCGUAUCCACUGUUAGCGUAACACACCCGCUUUAAGGACACUGACUGCUAUUCAAUCUAUAACAGUAAAAAAAGUUUUUUGUUUUUAAAUCCAAGCUAUUGUGACACCAGAUCUAAUUAGUGGCACUUGUCAGCGGAUCCACUGUUAGCGUAACACACCCGCUUUAAGGACACUGACUGCUAUUCAAUCUAUAACAGUAAAAAAAGUUUUUUGUUUUUAAAUCCAAGCUAUUGUGACACCAGAUGUAAUUGGUGGCACUGACUGGGGAAAUGGGCACAGUAUGCACUGUGAGCCUGACACAGAAGCUGGCAGCAGUGGCAGACAACUGACUGCUAUUCAAUCUAUAACAGUGAAAAAAGUUUUUUGUUUUUAAAUCCAAGCUAUUGUUACACCAGAUGUAAUUGGUGGCACUGACUGGGGAAAUGGGCACUGUGAGCCUGACACAGAAGCUGGCAGCAGUGGCAGACAACUAAGUGCAUUUACAUUAGAUAGAAAAAAAAAAUCCAAAAAAAGCAUACCCUUAUCCCUAACCUAGCUAUGCUUUUCCCUAUCUUAUGAACAGCAGCUACACUUUCCCUCCUCUUACUAAGCAUGCAGCUUGAGAAUGAAUCUAAAAUGGAUGCCUUCCAGGAGGUGGGAGGGUCUGCUAGGGAGGGUGUGCUGCUAAUUGGCUGGAAUGUGUCUGCUGACUGUGAGGUACAGGGUCAAAGUUUACUCAAUGAUGACGAAUAGGGGGCGGGUCGAACCGCGCAUAUGUUCGCCCACCGUGGCGAACGCGAACAUGCUAUGUUCGCGAGGAACCGUUCGCCAGCGAACCGUUCGGUACAUCACUAUUCAACACUUCCUGAGGGAAUCCAACUCCUUCAGAGAGGAACAGAUUCAGUUCAUUAUUGAUGGUAUUGAGAUUAUCCUUAAGAACAACUUUUUCUGGUUCGAGAAAGAUUUUUAUAUCCAGAAAAAGGGUACGGCCAUGGGGACCAAGUUCGCCCCCAGUUAUGCUAAUCUAUUCAUGGCUUAUUGGGAGGAAUCCUUUAUUUAUGCCCAGCAUGACUGGAGGGAGAACUUGGUCCUCUAUCGGCGAUACAUCGAUGACGUAUUUUUCAUCUGGAAAGGGAGUAGAACAACUUUGGAUGACUUCUUAAUCUACCUGAACAACAACUCCUGGGGUAUCAAGCUUACCUCAGAGAUUAGCUGUCAAGAAGUACAUUUUUUGGACUUGAGAAUAUUUGUGGAUAAUGGGAUUAUUAAAACCAGUACGUUCUUCAAAACGGUCGAUGUCAACAGUUAUAUCGAUAACAACAGUUGUCAUUUUAAGACAUGGCUUACUAAUAUCCCGAAAGGGCAAUUCAUGCGACUUAAGAGGAACUGUACGGAUGAAAAUAUUUUUUGGAACAAUCAGACAUCCUUAAAAAUCAAUUUUAUCAAAAGGGAUAUAAAAAGGAGUGUGUAGAAACCCAAUUUAAAGAUAUAUGUACUAAACCUAGAAAAGAUAUGUUAGUAUAUAAGAGGAAGGAGAAUACUGUUUUAGAACAACAAGUCCCUAUUGUAUGCAAUUAUAAUUCCCAAAGUCAUCUGUUUCAUAAAAUUCUCAAGAAACAUUGGCAUAUCUUGAGACAAAAUGAGGAUCUCCUGACAUAUAUAGGGGAAAAACCGCGUAUAGUAUAUAGAGGGGCUAGUAAUCUUAAAAAAUGUUUUAACCAGUAGUUUUAUCCCCAAAAAUUCCCAAAGGAAUAGAGAUAUACAGGGGAAAGAUUUGAAAGGAUUUUAUAAUUGUGGGAACUGCAAAGCAUGUAGUACCAGUAGGAAGUUAAGUAAAAAAACUGAAAGAUUUUAUUCUAAUAAGACAAAGAAGGAAUACAAGAUAAAGGAUUUUAUCACAUGUAAUUCAACUAAUGUAAUUUAUUUGUUAACUUGUAUCUGUGGACUACAAUAUGUAGGUCGCACGACCAGACCCCUUAAGGUUAGAAUCUGUGAACACCUUAGGAAUAUACAGAAUGGGGUCCUCAAUCACUCUGUAUCUGCACAUGUUAACCAAGUUCAUGGUGGUGGAAUUGAUAAUUUGCACUUUAUGGGAAUACAGAGAGUUUUAAAGCCUUGGAGAGGGGGAGACCACUUAAGGAUUCUUAAUAGAACUGAGAUGAAGUGGAUUUUUGAGUUGGAAACCCUCUCUCCAAAUGGCCUUAACAUUGACUUUGAGAUGUAUAAUUAUAUAUAAUGUAUUUUAUUUUUUAUUAUAUAUAUUAUCUAUGGGUAUUCUUAUUUAUAUAUUUUUAUGUCCCCCUCCCUCUUCUUUCACCUUUCCCCUUGUUUCUAUUUUUAUUUGGGGACUUUGCUGCGGAGUACCAUAUUAUGAGGACUAAUUAGGACAAUGAUUUGACACAACAGUAAAAGUUAAGAGGUAUUUUGGGCGACUUUCCGCUGUGAACCGCAUGAAAUGAACGCUGGAACGCAUCGGUAUCACGGAUGGAAUGCAAGCGAACCCGGAAGUGCUCGCGGUGGAACGCACUAAUGCGGAAGUAGAAGAAUAUGACGACGGUAUCAUAGAGGAUUGGAUUAGGAAACAUGAGGAAUGAAGCUGAUUGGUUUAUGGACGCGGGGGGCGGGUUCUAAGUACCCGUUUUUCGCGCCCAAUUUUGUUUUAAAUUGUGGAUGAAAUGUUAUAAUAAUAUUGCACCUGAGGAAGACGUAUUAUAACGUCGAAACGCGUUGUGCUACUUGCUGGAUUUCCAGAAUUUUAUAUGUAAGCUUUUACUAUUAAUUUUAAUAAAUUAUAUUGCUGCUAUCCUUCUAAUUGAUGUCUAUGCACUUUAUAUUGAGGACCAAGCUGCAGCUUUCGUGAUUCCAUUUGAGGAUACCUUGUUUGAGCAACUAUACCUGAGCCAGUUUGUAACAGGCUCUAUUAUAUGUGAGUUGGACCAUACAGAUUGUUUUAUUCAAUUUAUCUAUCAUCACAGUAUUAUGCUAUGAUCUUUCUAUUUUUUAUAGACAAGAUAUACCCUUUCUGAUCUACCAUCGCAUUGGGGUACUCAUUUAUUAUCAUUUAUUCACCUAAGGUGGAAGUUUUCACGUAUAUGUGAUUUUUUAUGCGCUGCACACUAUUUUGUAUAGUUGUAACUUGUUUUUUGUAGGACCUCUGUGGUUAAGUCCUAUUUGUGUGUUCUAGCAGCUUUUCUAGCGCCACAAACUGCACCUCCCUUUGGGAUUUUGUUCUAGUAUCUGUAACCACCGGUAUAGUUUGGGCUGCUUAUUAUCCAUACCCCUCUAUUAUGGAUUUAUUUGAAAGAAGAGAGGGAUGGAUGGAAAAUAUUAACAACAAAUUUAACCAAAUUUUGGAAGAUGAUAAUUUCACAUUUAAAGAGAGUGAUGAUUUAGAUAUUAUGGGUGAAGAAUUAGAGAAACUAUUAAGCAGGGAGCUUAGAAUAAAAUGGGAGAUCUUUACCCUUGAAAAGUAUCUGAAAGAAGAAAUUACACCUAGAGGGCUCAGAUUUCACAAAGUCCCUACAUUUGAUAAGGAUGAUAAUAGAUUCAUAGGCAUAUGGAAUAAUGCUCUUGAGUCAUUUUCAGUUACUAUGAUCAAAAUAAUAGUAGAACAGAGAUCUUUAACUCUAAAAAAAUUAGAUACAGCUAUCAAAAAUAUUAAAGAGAAAUUAGAACCUUUGUCGGGUACGAAAGAUCUCAAGGAUCUAUCCAUUAAGAUUAAUAAAAAUUUGGAUAAAAUUGAAAAAGAUACCCUUUAUAUUAAACAGAAAAAAUUUAAACGAGAUUUAGAUGAUUAUAAAAGAGGUAAUGUAAGUAAAAUAUACAAUCAAAUGGUUGAACAUUAUAGACAAGAUAUCCAGAAAAAUUGGGAUAUUAAUAAGAAACCUAAUAUAUCUUGGAAUUCUGGAGAUGGAUCUAGACAUUAUUACAGAGAACAACAGGGACGGAGAGGUAAAAUAGAUGAACAACAAUGGACAGAAGUUAGGAGAAGAAAACACCAUGAUCGAACAUCUAGGAACUAUACCCAUACGAGAACAUCUAAUACACAAGUAUCCCAGUUUAGGGAACGUCCCCUUAAGAACAUAGUACCUGAGAAAACUUAUGCCCAUAGAAACAGAUACGAACCUCUCCAAAACACAGAACAAAGUAUUUUUUUAGGAUCCCCGAAUCCCAAUCAGGCCUUUAUAAGAUCCCAACCUUCCACUCAAAAGAGACAAAGGUUUUCUAUGGAAGAGGAACCAGAGGAGGGAAGAGUAAGAAGGCGUCUAAGGGAAUUUUAGAAAGAAAUAAAAAGCCACCUGAACCUAUAAAAAUUUUCAAUUUGUCUAAUAAAACUUUGGACGUAAAUCACACUAAAGUCCUAACAAAGGGUUUCAAAUUUGCCCCGAGUUGCAAUAUCAACAAAUUCGAUACUUUCCUUGAUCUUAAUAGAUUUAAGAGGAAGCUUUGUUUAAAAAAAAUUUUUCUCUCAAAAGAUGUUGCAAAUGUAAAGCUAGAUGAGUUAUCUGAAUUCCAACACACUGCACUUAAACCUGUUUCUACCUUUUUCCCGUAUUAUUUAAAAAGUCCCAGUAUGAAAUCCUUUGAGAAAGCAUGUAUGAUUGAGCUCAAAAAAAUCCAACCUCUUACUAAAUUCCAACAAAAUCUUACAUGGGGAGAGAAGAAAGCUCUGGAAGAUUUGGCCAAAGAUGAUAGUAUUAUCAUCAAACCGGCAGACAAGGGGGGGGGAGUUGUCAUUAUGAAUAAAGUAUAUUAUAUUGAAGAAAUUUCCAAACAAUUAAAGGAUGAUAAUACAUAUGGGAAACUUAAAACUAAUCCAGAACCUAAUAUCAGAAAAGAAUUGAUUAGGUUCUUAGAUCAAGGGUUAGAAUUGGGGAUCCUUAAUAAAGAUGAGUAUAAUUUCCUCAAUAAAGAGUUCACCAUUAUUCCCGUUAUAUACAUUCUCCCCAAGAUCCAUAAGGAUCCAGUACAACCCCCAGGCAGACCUAUUGUGGCCGGGGUGGAUUCCUUAUUAUCGCCCUUGUCUCAAUAUAUUGACACCCUUUUACAACCGUUGGUGUUGAAAACCAAAGCUCAUUUAAAAGACUCCAUCAAUCUUCUCCAGAUUUUAUAUGAUUUUGUCUGGUCGGAAGAAUAUAUUCUUGUAACCAGUGAUGUGAACACCUUAUAUACGAUCAUAGAACAUCAUAUUGGUUGUGAGGCAGUUCAACACUUCCUGAGGGAAUCCAACUCCUUCAGAGAGGAACAGAUUCAGUUCAUUAUUGAUGGUAUUGAGAUUAUCCUUAAGAACAACUUUUUCUGGUUCGAGAAAGAUUUUUAUAUCCAGAAAAAAGGUACGGCCAUGGGGACCAAGUUCGCCCCCAGUUAUGCUAAUCUAUUCAUGGCUUAUUGGGAGGAAUCCUUUAUUUAUGCCCAGCAUGACUGGAGGGAGAACUUGGUCCUCUAUCGGCGAUACAUCGAUGACGUAUUUUUCAUCUGGAAAGGGAGUAGAACAACUUUGGAUGACUUCUUAAUCUACCUGAACAACAACUCCUGGGGUAUCAAGCUUACCUCAGAGAUUAGCUGUCAAUAAGUACAUUUUUUGGAUUUGAGAAUAUUUGUGGAUAAUGGGAUUAUUAAAACCAGUACGUUCUUCAAAACGGUCGAUGUCAACAGUUAUAUCGAUAACAACAGUUGUAAUUUUAAGACAUGGCUUACUAAUAUCCCGAAAGGGCAAUUUAUGCGACUUAAGAGGAACUGUACGGAUGAAAAUACUUUUUUGGAACAAUCAGACAUCCUUAAAAAUCAAUUUUAUCAAAAGGGAUAUAAAAAGGAGUGUGUAGAAACCCAAUUUAAAGAUAUAUGUACUAAACCUAGAAAAGAUAUGUUAGUAUAUAAGAGGAAGGAGAAUACUGUUUUAGAACAACAAGUCCCUAUUGUAUGCAAUUAUAAUUCCCAAAGUCAUCUGUUUCAUAAAAUUCUCAAGAAACAUUGGCAUAUCUUGAGACAAAAUGAGGAUCUCCUGACAUAUAUAGGGGAAAAACCGCGUAUAGUAUAUAGAGGGGCUAGUAAUCUUAAAAAUGUUUUAACCAGUAGUUUUAUCCCAAAAAAUUCCCAAAGGAAUAGAGAUAUACAGGGGAAAGAUUUGAAAGGAUUUUAUAAUUGUGGGAACUGCAAAGCAUUUAGUACCAGUAGGAAGUUAAGUAAAAAAACUGAAAGAUUUUAUUCUAAUAAGACAAAGAAGGAAUACAAGAUAAAGGAUUUUAUCACAUGUAAUUCAACUAAUGUAAUUUAUUUGUUAACUUGUAUCUGUGGACUACAAUAUGUAGGUCGCAAGACCAGACCCCUUAAGGUUAGAAUCUGUGAACACCUUAGGAAUAUACAGAAUGGGGUCCUCAAUCACUCUGUAUCUGCACAUGUUAACCAAGUUCAUGGUGGUGGAAUUGAUAAUUUGCACUUUAUGGGAAUACAGAGAGUUUUAAAGCCUUGGAGAGGGGGAGACCACUUAAGGAUUCUUAAUAGAACUGAGAUGAAGUGGAUUUUUGAGUUGGAAACCCUCUCUCCAAAUGGCCUUAACAUUGACUUUGAGAUGUAUAAUUAUAUAUAAUGUAUUUUAUUUUUUAUUAUAUAUAUUAUCUAUGGGUAUUCUUAUUUAUAUAUUUUUAUGUCCCCCUCCCUCUUCUUUCACCUUUCCCCUUGUUUCUAUUUUUAUGUGGGGACUUUGCUGCGGAGUACCAUAUUAUGAGGACUAAUUAGGACAAUGAUUUGACACAACAGUAAAAGUUAAGAGGUAUUUUGGGCGACUUUCCGCUGUGAACCGCAUGAAAUGAACGCUGGAACGCAUCGGUAUCACGGAUGGAAUGCAAGCGAACCCGGAAGUGCUCGCGGUGGAACGCACUAAUGCCGAAAUAGAAGAAUAUGACGACGGUAUCAUAGAGGAUUGGAUUAGGAAACAUGAGGAAUGAAGCUGAUUGGUUUAUGGACGCGGGGGGCGGGUUCUAAGUACCCGUUUUUCGCGCCCAAUUUUGUUUUAAAUUGUGGAUGAAAUGUUAUAAUAAUAUUGCACCUGAGGAAGACGUAUUAUAACGUCGAAACGCGUUGUGCUACUUGCUGGAUUUCCAGAAUUUUAUAUGUAAGCUUUUACUAUUAAUUUUAAUAAAUUAUAUUGCUGCUAUCCUUCUAAUUGAUGUCUAUGCACUUUAUAUUGAGGACCAAGCUGCAGCUUUCGUGAUUCCAUUUGAGGAUACCUUGUUUGAGCAACUAUACCUGAGCCAGUUUGUAACAGGCUCUAUUAUAUGUGAGUUGGACCAUACAGAUUGUUUUAUUCAAUUUAUCUAUCAUCACAGUAUUAUGCUAUGAUCUUUCUAUUUUUUAUAGACAAGAUAUACCCUUUCUGAUCGCAUUGGGGUACUCAUUUAUUAUCAUUUAUUCACCUAAGGUGGAAGUUUUCACGUAUAUGUGAUUUUUUAUGCGCUGCACACUAUUUUGUAUAGUUGUAACUUGUUUUUUGUAGGACCUCUGUGGUUAAGUCCUAUUUGUGUGUUCUAGCAGCUUUUCUAGCGCCACAAACUGCACCUCCCUUUGGGAUUGUGUUUGUAGAAUACUCGGGUAUUUAUUGUAGAGUAUAGGUUGUAGAGUCCAGCUUUUCAAAUAUUUGGCUAGAAUUGGUUGCAGAUAUUGAAUCAGCAUCAUCUGUUAUCACUGUGGUGAUGGUGUUGGUAUUUGUCUUUGCUUGUUUGCUUUGUUUUUUCCAUGAAACAUUUUUACACAGUUUAUGAUGUGUAUAGAUUGGAUACUCUCCGAUAUUCUUUUACGGAUUCAAUUAAUUGACAGCAUUUCCAAGACAUUGUCUUAAGUGAUAUGGAUCCCAUUAUAGUAAAUGUUAUGUUGAUACAGCAAUCAAAGUGGAUUCUCAAGAACGCCUCUUUUUGCGUAAAUGUAAUCUUUGCAACACCUCUACAUCUCAAUGACAUAUAACAACAUCAGGUGCUGUUGUGCUAAAAAUGUUAACAGGUAAAAUCUGUGGAAAAAUCUUUACAUUUGUUAUACUUUGUAUAAUAAUGAUUGAUGAAAUAGUAACAUAGUUAAUCUUUCUAGUGUUUUGUAUUAAAGAUAAACACUCUUUUAUAUGAUUUAGAGAAAUAAGAAUAAUUUGAAGCAGCAAAGUAUUUACCGCCUUUGUUCACAAUGGUAUGUAAAAUUACAUUCUCUUUAAAUGUUAAAAAUACUCCUUUAUUCAAAAUAUCUCAAUCUAUUUAGAAUAGUUAAAGAAUAAAAGGAUUCACACACACUAACAAUUACAGUAUAUAGAUAUACCACCUAUAACAGAUAUGGGUAUAAUAAUUACACCUGUAAAACAAAUGAAAAGUACAUAGUGUUUUCCAUAUAAACAAAUACACAAUGUAUAAAGUAUAUGAGGAAUAAACUCACAAGGCUGGAGCCUAAUAGGCUCUGUGUAUAUCGCCCUUGGGUGCCUAUCCAGGCUCUCGAUAAACUUCUUGUGAAGAACUUGAAUUCCACGAAGAGAUAAAAAUGUGAAAUAUUUUUUAUUAAAUGUAUUAUUAAAAAAUAUAUAUCCAAUAGGGACAAAUAAGAGGCAGGUAUAAAUAAAUUAAGUAUAACACAGUAUCACACCACAAAUCUGGCCAAGGAUAAAAGCAGUGAAAAUACUAAAAUGUAUAUACAACAUAACAAUACCGCCAAACAAAAAGUCCCAAUGAAAGUCCAAAAUGUGGCAAACGUGUUUCAGCCCUCAAUGGGGCCUUCCUCAGUGCUGUGGUCUUGGGAUAACUUCAAGGUUUAAAUACCCCCUUGAUUUGAUGAAGUCCAUUCAGCUGGGAUUGCGGUGUGAUACUGUUACUGUGUGAUACUGUGUUAUACUUAAUUUAUUUAUACCUGCCUCUUAUUUGCCCUAUUGGAUAUAUAUUUUUUAAUAAUACAUUUAAUAAAAAAUAUUUCACAUUUUUAUCUCUUUGUGGAAUUCAAGUUCUUCACAAGAAGUUUAUCGAGAGCCUGGAUAGGCACCCAAGGGCGAUAUACACAGAGCCUAUUAGGCUCCAGCCUUGUGAGUUUAUUCCUCAUAUACUUUAUACAUUGUGUAUUUGUUUAUAUGGAAAACACUAUGUACUUUUCAUUUGUUUUACAGGUGUAAUUAUUAUACCCAUAUCUGUUAUAGGUGGUAUAUCUAUAUACUAUAAUUUUUAGUGUGUGUGAAUCCUUUUAUUCUUUCACUUUGUUUUUUAGGCGUUAAGGGAUUACACCUUUUUCACACUCACUUUGUUUGGUUUAUUUAAUAUUUGAAGCGCCUACACAACUUACUGUAUUUUUUAUUAUCUCUUUUAUCCCUUAACGUUGUGGGCUGCUCACAUUUAGAAACUAAUUGUAUUUUAUUGAUUGAGUUUUAUCCACAAUGGAGGUAUUUGAAGCCAGAGAAAAUUGGCAAAAUAUGGUCGCCAUGAGAUUUGAUCAUACACAAGGACCUAUUAUUUAAUCAGAAGAAAAUCUAGAUUUUACAUGUAAAAAAUUAGAAAAAUUAUUAAUUAAGGAGACUAAAACUAAAUGGGAUAUCUUCACUUUAGAACGGUAUUUGGAGCAAAAAAUUAGCCCUAUGGGCCUUCGUUUUUUUAAAACUCCUAUGUUCGAUAAGGAAGAUGAGGACUUUAUGGAGAUUUGGAACUCCGCUUUGGAGUCCUUCUCGGCUAGGAUGAUAUCUAUCAUCCUACAACAGAAAAAGCGUAACCUAAUGCAGCUAGAUAUUCAAAUUAAUAAUAUUAAAGAACAAUUAAAACCAGUAGUGAACUGUACAGAAAUUGAUAAUGCUUUAAAAAUGGUAAAAAAUAAUGUAGAGAAGGUGGAAGAAAAUACACUUAUUAUAAAAAGGAGGAAGUUCCAAAGGGACCAGAAUGAUUAUGCUCUGAAUCAGGUUAGGUCCUUCUCUCGGAAAAAAAAUUUUCAUUCUCAGGACUACCAUCAUCGUAAUAAAUCUAAUUACUCUAAAAAUUUAGAGCGUAAGCCUUCAGGCAUUGCUAAAACUAAAAUCCAGAAUGAUGUGUCACCUAUGGUUAGGAAUGUUAAGGAGCCUACUAAUUCUUUUCAUCGAUAUCACAAUAAGAGAUCACCAGCCCCUGCUCCUUCACCAGGGUGGCAAAGAAGCAGAAAUAGAAAUGUCUCUAGGACUAAUUUUGCUCAACCUCCACCUCGGUUUACCCAGUAAAAUAGAUAUAGAAUUUUGUCAGAAGAUUCCACAGGAGAUAGACCACAAGAGAAUCUCUCAUCUUUCCCCUCGUCCACUACUCCUUUUUUUAGGGUCACAUCCCCCUCAAAGAAUAGAACGCCCAAUGAGAAAGAGGAAUUGGGUUCGAGAAGAAGGGGAAUUAGAAGCGGAAGACCCAUCAAAGGAAAGGAAGAGAGGAAAGAUGAACACUUAGGAGUGGUUAACCUAUCAAAUAAGAUCCUUACCAAAGAUUAAUUAGGAGUACUUAGUAAGGGACUCAAAUUUGCCCCUUCAUGUUUUAAUGAUGCUUUUAAUUCUUAUAUAGAUUUACAGAAAUUUAAUUGCAAGUUAUGUUUAAAGAAAUUUUUUUCCAAACAUCCGCCAAAGAAUUUAUUAGAAAAUACCAAUGAGGAUGAUAAUAUGAUACACACUAAGUUAAAGAAUAAGUCUAAAUUCUUUCCUAAGUACCAUUCUAGUGGUGCAAUGCAGGUUUUUGAGAGACUGGUUAUGGAGGAUAUUAAGAAGAUCCCAAAAAAUAAAAAGUGUGACAAUAAUCUCAAACCAAUGGAAAGAAGAGCGCUUAUGGAAUUAAGUAAAGAUGAACAGAUUAUUAUUAAACCUGCCGACAAAGGGGGAGACUAUAGUUAUUCAAAAUAGGGAAGACUAUAUAAGAGAAAUGUAUAGACAGUUGGGGGAUUCGAAUACUUACUCUAAAUUGAAAGGUAACCCCAUGGAGUCUAUUAAGAAUAAAUAUUUUAAAAUGAUAGAAAAAGGGAGAACUUUAAAUAUUUUAAAUAAGGAGGAGUAUGAUUACUUAAAUGUAAAAGUUUCUAAAAUUCCUGUUUUUUAUACCCUUCCUAAAAUUCACAAACAUAAAAACCAACCCACCAGGCAGACCUAUAGUUGCCGGGGUAAACUCCCUAUUGAGUCGACUGUCUGAAUAUAUUGAUAAGCUUUUGCAACCAAUAGUUAUCUCACAACCCAUCUACCUCAAGGAUUCCACCCAUCUUAUUAGAGAAUUACAACAUAUAACAUGGGAGGAAGGUUACAUAUUGGUAACCUGUGAUGUUAAUAGUUUAUAUACUAUUAUUAAACAUGAUUUGGGAUGUGAAUCCGUGAGACAUUUUUUAUCAGACAGUUUGGUCACCGAAAAUCAGAGAGAUUUUAUUAUAGAAGGUAUUUUACUCAUUUUACAAAACAAUUUUUUUUGGUUUGAAGGGUCAUAUUUUUUACAACUUAUUGGUAAUGCGAUGGGGACCAAGUUCGCACCGGGCUACGCCAAUUUAUUUAUGUCUUUCUGGGAGGAAUCUUUCCUCUCAGGGGAUAUACCUUGGAGUGCGAACUUGGCCCUCUAUCGCAGGUACAUUGACGAUAUUUUCUUUAUUUGGAAGGGGGGAGAAAAGUCUCUCACUACUUUUUUACAGUUUUUAAAUAGUAAUUCUAGGAAUAUAUCUUUAACUAGUGAGUUUAGCACUUCUCAGGUGAAUUUUUUUGAUUUAGUCAUUUAUAUAGAGGAUUCCCGUAUUAAAACCAAAACAUUUUUUAAACCGGUUGAUGUCAAUAGUUAUAUUGACACAACCAGCUGUCACUAUGCACCUUGGAUUAAUAACAUGCCUAAAGGACAGUACAUAAGAAUGUUGAGGAAUUGUACCGAUCCCCAACAAUUUGAUACUUAAGCCGACAUACUAACUUCAUUCUUUAAAGAAAAACGUUAUGAUCCGAGAAUUUUGAAACAGGUUCAUCAAGUUAAAAAUAUGGAGAGAACUGAAGUGCUUAAGUAUAAACCUAAAAAGGAUAUAUUAAUAAAAGAAAAUGAACAUGUACCUCUGGUUUUAGAUUAUAGUGUCAAUUCUAAACAGGUUAAGCAUAUAAUUAAUAAACAUUGGCACAUUCUUAAAACAGACGAGGAUUUGAAAAACAUUAUAGGGGACAGACCGAAUAUUAUUUUCAAAGGUGCUAAGAAUAUUAAAGAUUGUUUAGUUCGAAGAUUUAUAAAUUGUAAACAGCGAGAAAAUUUUUUUUUUAAUCAAAAAACAGGUUUUUAUCCUUGUAAAAUGUGUCUACCAUGCAAGAACACCCUCUUCAAGAAAGAUACACAGACUAUGUUUAAGUCUAAUGUUACGGCAAUAGUUUUAAGAUACGUGAUAUUGUCACAUGCCAUUCUACAAAUGUGGUGUAUCUCCUCUGGUGCCCCUGUGGACUCCAAUAUGUGGGCAUGACCACUAGGAGUUUUAAAACCCGCAUUAUGGAACACAUGGGGAACAUAAGGAGGGGAUACACUAAACAUAUUUAAGUUUUAUGGUGAUUGGGAAGAAGCGGAUGGAUUGGAGAGGGGAAGAUAAUGUUCGAGAACUAAGUAGACUAGAGGGCAAGUGGAUUUUUACUUUAGAUACCAUGUGCCCCAAAGGUCUGAAUAUAGAUUUUGAGUUAGUCCAUUUCUUAUGAAUUUUUACAUGAGAUUAAAUCCAUAUUUUUAAGACUUAUACACUUUUUAUAUUUUUAUAUUUUUAUAUUAUAUAUAUUUUUAUAUAUUUUUAUAUAUUCUUAUAUUGGCAUUUGUAUAUUUUUUAUAUAUUUUUUUGUUAUUACUUCUUAAUAUCUGGAUAUAUUUGUUAUUUCAUUUUUGGAUACUUUCCCUUUAAAUGUCCAUUCUGCUUUACAUUUUAUAUAUUUUUCUAUAUUUCCCUAUGCCAUUUAAAGUUGAAGGUUUAUUAUAUUUGUUUUAUGCAUUUUCACAUUGUUUAUAUGGGCAAAUGAUUCCCUAUUUUGUAUUUUGUAUGUAUAGGUAUAUAACCUUUAUUUAUAUGGACUCUUCUGACAUCAUUUCCACCAUGCCUAGAGAUGGAACGCAUGGCGGAACGCAAAAGAUCACGUGACCGGAAGUCACGUGUCCACGGCCGAAACCGGAAGUGGUAUUAGUUUUAGUUUUUAUCUUAUUCCACAUUUUUUGCUUUACCUUUUCAUUAAUUGACUAUUGUUUUAUAGUUUCACUAUCUCUAUUUCCACCAUGCUUGAAAAUGGAAUGCAUGGUGGAAUGUAGAAUAAAUCGGAAGUCACAUGAUCUGCCGAAACCGGAAGUGACCUGACUGGCAUUAAUUUUGAAUCCCAGCUGAAAGGACUUCAUAAAAUCAAGGGGGUAUUUAAACCCUGAAGUUAUCCCAAGACCACAGCACUGAGGAAGGCCCCAUUGAGGGCUGAAACGUGUUUGCCACAUUUUGGACUUUCAUUGGGACUUUUUGUUUGGCGGUAUUGUUAUAUUGUAUAUACAUUUUAGUAUUUUCACUGCUUUUAUCCUUGGCCAGAUUUGCAGUGUGAUACUGUGUUAUACUUAAUUUAUUUAUACCUGCCUCUUAUUUGCCCUAUUGGAUAUAUAUUUUUUAAUAAUACAUUUAAUAAAAAAUAUUUCACAUUUUUAUCUCUUCGUGGAAUUCAAGUUCUUCACAAGAAGUUUAUCGAGAGCCUGGAUAGGCACCCAAUGGCGAUAUACACAGAGCCUAUUAGGCUCCAGCCUUGUGAGUUUAUUCCUCAUAUACUUUAUACAUUGUGUAUUUGUUUAUAUGGAAAACACUAUGUACUUUUCAUUUGUUUUACAGGUGUAAUUAUUAUACCCAUAUCUGUUAUAGGUGGUAUUUUUUAUUUAGAAUAGUUGCUAAUUGGAAAAAUAACGUUAAUUAUUUUUCUUUGACCUGUUCGGGAGAAGACAACUUAUUCCCUAGUUAUUAGUGGCUUAAAAUACCAGAAACACCCCAAAAUUGUCUUAUUUUUUUUUUUUAACCAAGAUCUGACAGCCAUUGUGGAAAGUUACGUUCGUGAGAUUGGAUCCUUAACAAUGUGAAUCUUAAUUGUUUAAGUAUAUUUUUCAGUGGCUGUUGGGUGUAAUUUAAGAUGAUUUGAAUAUUUAUUAUUAUUUCUAAAAGUGAGUUAAGAAAGCACUCAGAUACAAUAUUGAAGGUAUAAUAUGUAGAGUUUAAGAAAAGCUGCAAAUCGUGCUUUAGUACAAGUGUCCCAUGAUGUCAGGUUUCUGAAAGGUUUUGCUGGCCUUUUAUAUUCAAUUCUCUUGGCAGGGCAUCUGCUCUUAGUAAGUCGGUCUUGUUAUUAUUUAUUAAUUGCAUCAAGGUUUCUUUCGUUAAUUGAUGUGUUUUUUCCGAAUUCAAAUUCAUAUGCCACCAAAUGUCAUUUUAAAGUUCAUUGUUACAGAAUAUUGUUCCAGGAUGGUUUUUCACUCCAGUAGGAAAUCUAUAUUCCUCUUCUUCUGCUCCUUCCUAUUAACCACUUUUUCUGAGUUGGAGGCAACAAUCUGUGUCUUGUACUGUGAGGUGCUUUGAUAGUCAAUCUGGUUUUGUCAGUACCAUGUUCCAUCUUGAGAAACAGCUGGGUGUUGACAGUUAUCAGCCUUUAUUUCUUUUUCCGGUCAUCUUCUGUCUGG